rnacentral:lncRNA from 1 species
UGUUUUUUUGUAGUGCAAGCUCGGUAUGAUGACUACUUAAUAGUUUAGUGCACCAUGCUUUACGGCUUAGAACCGGGACUUAAAAAACGUUUUGAACGCCACAGAGCAUAUAGAUGUUCCAAGAGCUGAAUUUGGUAUUUCAGACUCAUGCCCGUGUCGAGAGGUAUGAGACCUCUGACAAGUACUUUGCCUACAAGAUGGAGGAGAAUAGCUCAGCCAGUGAGCAUGUGCUUAGAAUGCCUGGGUACUGCAAUCGCUUGAAUCAAGUGGGAGUUAAUCUUCCAGAUACGAUAGUGAUUGACAGAGUUCUCUAGUCACUAUCACCAAGCUACUAGAACUUCGUGAUAAACUAUAAUAUGCAAGGGAUGACGAAAACGAUUCCCGAGCUCUUCACGAUGCUCAAAUCGGCGAAGGUAGAAAUCAACAAAGAGCAUCAAAUGUUGAUGAUUAACAAGACCACUAGUUUCAAGAAAAAGGGCAAAAGGGAAAGAAAGGGAACUUCAAGAAGAAUGGCAAACAAGUUGCCACUCCCAUGAAGAAACCCAAAGCUAGACCCAAGCCUGAAACUGAGUGCUUCUACUGCAAAGGAAAUGGUCACUGGAAGUGGAACUCCCCAAAUACUUGGCGGAUAAGAAGGAUGGCAAAGUGAACAAAGGUAUAUUUGAUAUACAUGUUAUUGAUGUAUACUUUACUAGUGUUCAUAUUAGCCCCUGGGUAUUUGAUACCGGUUCAGUUGCUAAGAUUAGUAACUCGAAACAGGAGUUACAAAAUGAAUAGAGACUAGUCAAGGGCGAGAUGACGAUGUGUGUUGGAAGUGAUUCCAAGAUUGAUAAGAUCACCAUCGCACACUCCCUGUACCUUCGGGAUUAGUGUUGGACCUAAAUAAAUGUUAUUUGGUGUUUGCAUUGAGCAUGAAUAUGAUAGGAUCAUGUUUAUUGCGAUACGGUUAUUCAUUUAAGUCAGGGAAUAAUUGUUGUUCUGUUUACAUGAAUAAAACCUUCUAUGGUCAUACACCCAAUGGAAAUGGUUUAUUGAAUCUCGAUCAUAGUGAUACACAUAUUAAUAAUAUUGAUGCCAAAAGAUGCAAAGUUGAUAAUGAGACUGCAACAUAUUUGUGGCACUGCCGUUUAGGUCAUAUUGGUGUAAAGCGCAUGAAGAAACUUCAUGCAGAUGGGCUUUUGGAAUCACUUGAUUAUGAAUCAUUUGAUACUUGCGAACCAUGCCUCAUGGGCAAGAUGACUAAAACUCUGUUCUUCGGAACAAUGGAGCAAGCUAAUGACUUAUUGGAAAUAAUACAUACCGAUGUAUACGGUCCGAUGAGUGUUGAAGCACGCGGUGGGUAUCGUGACCUUCACAGAUGAUUUAAGCAGAUAUGGGUAUAUCUUACUUAAUGAAACACAAGUCUCAAACAUUUGAAAAGUUCAAGGAAUUUCAGAGUGAAGUGGAGAAUCAUCGUAACAAGAAAAUAGAGUUUGUACGAUCUGAUCACGGAGGCGAAUAUUUGAGUUACGAGUUUGGCCUUCAUUUAAAAAAUGUGGAAUAGUUUCGCAACUCACGCCACCUGGAACACCACAACGUAAUGGUGUGUCCGAACGUCGUAAACGUACUUUAUUAGAUAUGGUGCGUUCUAUGAUGUCUCUUACCGAUUUACCACUAUCGUUUUGGGGUUAUGCAUUAGAGAUAGCUCCAUUCACGUUAAAUAGGGCACCGUCUAAAUCCGUUGAGUUGACACUAUAUGAACUAUGGUUUGGCAAAAAACCUAAGCUGUCGUUUCUUAAAGUUUGGGGAUGCAACACUUAUGUGAAAAGGCUUCAGCCUGACAAGCUCGAACCUAAAUCGGGGAAGUGUGUCUUCGUAGGACACCCUAAGGAAACAAUUGGGUACACCUUCUACCACAGAUCCGAGGCAAGAUCUUUGUUGAUAAGAAUGGGUCCUUUCUAGAGAAGGAGUUUCUCUCGAAAGAAGUGAGUGGGAGGAAAGUAGAACUUGAUGAGGUAAUUGUACCUUCUCUCGAAUUGGAAAGUAGCACAUCACAGACAACCGUUCCCAUGAUGCCUACACCAACUAGAGAGAAAGCAAAUGAUAAUGAGCAUGAAACUUCAGAUCAAGUUACUACUGAACCUCGUAGGUCGACCAGAGCAUGAUCCGCACCAGAGUGGUAUGGUAAUCCUGUCCUGGAAGUCAUAUUACUAGACCAAGGCAAACCUACGAACUACGAAGAAGCUAUGAUGAGCCCAGAUUCCAACAGAUGGCUUGAGGCCAAUGAAAUCUGAGAUAGGAUCCAUGUAUGAGAACAAAGUGUGGACUUUGGUGGACUUGCCCGAUGAUCGGCAAGCCAUAGAGAAUAAAUGGAUCUUUAAGAAGAAGACUGACGCUGAUGGUAAUGUUACUAUCUACAAAGCUCGAUUUGUCGCAAAAGGUUUUCGACAAGUCCAAGGGGUUGACUAUGAUUAGUCUUUCUCACCCGUAGUGAUGCUUAAAUCCGGCCGAAUCAUGAUAGCAUUUGCCGCAUUUUAUGAUUAUGAAAUCUGGCAAAUGGACGUCAAAACUGCAUUCCUUAAUGGAUUUCUUAAAAGAGUUGUAUAUGAUGCAACCAGAAGGUUUUGUCGAUCCUAAAGGUGCUAACAAAGUGCGAAAGCUCCAGCGAUCCAUCUAUGGACUGGUGCAAACAUCUCGGAGUUGGAAUAUAUGCUUUGAUGAGGUGAUCAAAGCAUAUGGUUUUAUACAGACUUGUGGUGAAGCUUGUAUUUACAAGAAAGUGAGUGGGAGCUCUGUAGCAUUUCUAAUAUAUAUUAUAUGUGGAUGACAUAUUGUUGAUUGGAAAUGAUAUAGAAUUUCUGGAUAGCACAAAAAGGAUACUUGAAUAAGAAUUUUUCAAUGAAAGACCUCGGUGAAGCUACUUAUAUAUUGGGCAUCAAGAUCUAUAGGGAUAGAUCGAGACGAUUAAUAGGACUUUCACAAAGCACAUACCUUGACAAGAUUUUGAAGAAGUUCAAAAUGGAUCAGUCAAAGGAAGGGUUCUUGCAUGUGUUACAAGGUGUGAAGUUGAGUAAGACUCAAAGCCCGACCACGACAGAAAAUAGAGAAAGAAUGAAAGCCAUUCCCUAUGCCUCAGCCAUAGGUUCUAUAAAGUAUGUCAUGUUGUGUACUAGACCUGUUGUGUGCCUUACCAAUAAGUUUGUCAAGAGGAUACGAGAGUGAUCCAGGAGUGGACCACUAGACAGCGGUCAAAAUUAUCCUUAGGUGCCUUAAAGAGGACUAAGGAAAUGUUUCUUGGUUAUGGCAGUGAUAAAGAGUUCAUCGUAAAGGGUUAUGUCGAUGCAAGCUUUGACACCAAUCCAGAUGACUUUGAGUCUCAAUCUGGAUACAUAUUGAAAGUGGGAGCAAUUAGCUAGAGUAGCUCCAUGCAGAGCAUUGUAGACAUAGAAAAUUUGCAAAAUACAUACGGCUCUGAAUGUGGCAGACCCGUUGACUAAAACUCUCUCGCAAGCAAAACAAGAUCACUCUUUGGGUAUUAAUCACAUGGUGAUGUGAACUAGAUUGUUGACUCUAGUAAACUCUUUGGGUGUUAGUCACAUGGCGAUGUGAACUAUGAGUGUUAAUCACAGGGUGAUGUGAACUAGAUUAUUGACUCUAGUGCAAGUGGGAGACUGAAGGAAAUAUGCCCUAGAGGCAAUAAUAAAGUUGUUAUUUAUAUUUCCUUAUUCAUGAAAAAAAUAUUAUUCAUGCUAGAAUUGUAUUGAUCGGAAACCUAAAUACAUGUGUGAAUACAUAAACAAAUACCGUGUCCCCAGUAAGCCUCUACUAGACUAGCUCGUUGAUCAAAGAUGGUUAAGGUUUCCUAACCAUAGACAUGUGUUGUCAGUUGAUAACGGGAUCACAUCAUUAAGAGAAUGAUGUGAUGGAUAAGACCCAUCCGUUAGCUUAGCAUAAUGAUCGUUCAGGUUUUAUUGCUAUUGCUUUCUUCAUGUCAAAUACAUAUUCCUUCGACUAUGAGAUUAUGCAACUCCCGGAUACCGGAGGAAUGCCUUGUGUGUUAUCAAACGUCACAACAUAACUGGGUGAUUAUAAAGAUGCUCUACAUGUAUCUCCGAAGGUGUUUGUUGAAUUGGCAUAGAUCGAUAUUAGGAUUUGUCACUCCGAGUAUCGGAGAGGUAUCUCUGGGCCCUCUGGUAAUACACAUCAUAAGCUUGCAAGAAACUACUGAGGAGUUAGUAAUGAGGUGAUGUAUUAUGGAACGAGCAAAGAGACUUGCCGGUAAUGAGAUUUAACUAGGUAUGAAGAUAUCGACGAUCGAAUCUCGGGCAAGUAACAUACCGAUGGACAAAGGGAAUUACGUAUGUUGUCAUAACGGUUCGACCGAUAAAGAUCUUCAUAGAAUAUGUAGGAUCCAAUAUGGGCAUCCAGGUUACGCUAUUGGUUAUUGACUGGAGAGGUGUCUCAGUCAUGUCUACAUAGUUCUCAAACCCGUAGGGUCCACAUGCUUAACAUUCGAUGACGAUAUAGUAUUAUAUGAGUUAUGUGAUUUGGUGACCGAAUGUUGUUCGGAGUCCCGGAUGAGAUCACGGACAUGAAGAUGAGUCUCGAAAUGGUCGGGAGGUAAGGAUUGAUAAAUAGGACGAUGGUAUUCGGACACCGGAAGUGUUUCGGAGGGUACCGGGUACUUAUCGGGUCACCGAAAAGGAGUUUCGGGCACCCCCGGCAAAGAUAUGGGCCUAAUGGGCCAAAGGGGUAACAUACCCGCCCCUGGUGCGCCCCUUCUUUAGACAGCAGGCCCUAAGGGAAGGAAAGGGGGAGGGCUAGCCCCUCCUGCCUUUCCCUCUCAUGAGAGAAAGGAAAGGGAGCGCCACUCUCCCCUGCCUUUCCCCCGCGCCUAUAUAAGGCAGGGGGCGUGGCUUGGGAGGGACUCCAAGUAGGAUUCCUCCUACUUGGGCGCCUCCUCUGGCUGCUCCUCCCUCCCACCUAUAUAUAUGUGGGGAGGGUGCGCCACACAAGAACACAACAUUGUCUUAGCCGUGUGCGGCGCCCCCGUCCAUCGUUUACUCCCUCGGUCAUAUUUUCAUAGUGCUUAGGCGAAGCCCUACGGGGAUCAUUUCACCAUCACCGUCACCACGCCGUCGUGCUGACGGAACUCAUCUACUACCUCGAUGUCUUGCUGGAUCAAGAAGGCGAGGAACAUCACCGAGCUGAACGUGUGCAGAACACGGAGGUGUCGUGCGUUCGGUACUUGAUCGGUUGAAGCGCGAAGAAGUUCGACUACAUCAACCGUUGUUGCAAAACGCUUCCGCUUACGGUCUACGAGGGUACGUAGACACACUCUACCCCUCAUUGCUAUGCAUCUCUAUGGAUAGAUCACUGCGUGUGCGUAGAUUUUUUUUCAUGCAACGAUUCCCAACCCCAUCGUUAUAAAUAUUGAUCUUCUGAUGACCAUCUCCUACUCUCCAUACAUGUCCACGUUUGAUUAUGCUCAUGCAUGCCAUAAUACUUUGCCAAGUGUAUAUAUGGUGCCUUCUUCUUAAAUGUUGCAUUGAGCGGGUGCCGAUCUAAAAGUAUUUGGCUCUAAGAAUUGCAUCACAAACUGAAGGAAAUAUGACCUAGAGGCAAUAAUAAAGAUGUUAUUUAUAUUUCCUUAUAUCAUGGUAAAUGUUUAUUAUUCAUGCUAGAAUUGUAUUAACCGGAAACUUGAUACAUGUGUGAAUACAUAGACAAAACAAAGUGUCCCUAGUAUGCCUCUACUUGACUACCUCGUUAAUCAAAGAUGGUUAAGUUUCCUGACCGUAGACAUGUGUUGUCAUUUGAUGAACGAGAUCACAUCAUUAGGAGAAUGAUGUGAUGGACAAGACCCAUCCAUUAGCUUAGCAUAAUGAUCGUUAAGUUUUACUGCUAUUGCUUUCUUCAUGACUUAUACAUAUUCCUAUGACUAUGAGAUUAUGCAACUCCCGAAUACCAGCACCUUGUGUGCUAUCAAAUGUCACAACGUAACCGGGUGAUUAUAAAGAUGCUUUACAGGUGUCUCCAAAGGUGUUUGUUGGGUUGUCAUAGAUCAAGAUUAGGAUUUGUCACUCCGUGUUUCGGAGAGGUAUCUCUGGGCCCUCUCGGUAAUGCACAUCACUAUAAGCCUUGCAAGCAAUGUGACUAAUGAGUUGGUUGCGGGAUGAUGCAUUACGGAACGAGUGAAGAGACUUGCUGGUAACAAGAUUGAACUAGGUAUUGAGAUACCGACGAUCGGCUCUCGGGCAAGUAACAUACCGAUGACAAAGGGAACAACGUAUGUUGUUAUGCGGUUUGACCAAUAAAGAUCAUGAUUAGGAUUUCUCACUCCGAGUAUCGGAGAGGUAUCUCUCGGCCCUCUCAGUAAUGCACAUUGUUGGGGAACACAGUAAUUUCAAAAAAAUUCCUACGCACACGCAAGAUCAUGGUGAUGCAUAGCAACGAGAGGGGAGAGUGUUGUCCACGUACCCUCGUAGACCGAAAGCGGAAGCAUUAUGACAACACGGUUGAUGUAGUCGUACGUCUUCACGAUCCGACCGAUCCUAGUACCGCAAGUACGGCACCUCCGCGAUCUGCACAUGUUCAGCUCGGUGACGUCCCACGAACUCUUGAUCCAGCUGAGUUUCGAGGGAGAGCUUCGUCAGCACGAUGGCGUGAUGACGGUGAUGAUGAAGCUACCAGCGCAGGGCUUCACCUAAGCGCUGCACCGAUAUGACCGAGGUGGAUUAUGGUGGAGGGGGGCACCGCACACGGCUAAGACAAUGUCUGUUGUUGUGUUCUAGAGUGCCCCCCUGCCCCCGUAUAUAAAGGAGCAAGGGGGAGGCCGGCCGGCCCUUGGGGCGCGCCAAGGAGGGGAGGAGUCCUCCUCCUAGUAGGAGUAGGACUCCCCCUUUCCUAGUCCAACUAGGAGGAGCAAGGGGGAAGGAAGGAGAGGGAGAGGGGGAGGGAAAGAGGGGGCGCCGCCCCCCCCCCCUCCUUGUCCAAUUCGGACUCCUCAAGGGGGGAGCGGCCAUCCUCAGGCCCCCUCCUCUCUCUCACACACAAGGCUCAUGUUGGCCCAUUAGUUCCCCCGGGGGUUCCGAUAACCCUCCGGCACUCCGAUAAUUAUCCGGUGACCCCUGGAACUCAUCCGGUGUCCGAAUAUAGUCAUCCAAUAUAUCAAUCUUUAUGUCUCGACCAUUUCGAGACUCCUCUUCAUGUCCGUGAUCACAUCCGGGACUUCGAACUAUCUUCGGUACAUCAAAACACAUAAACUCAUAAUACCGAUCGUCACCGAACGUUAAGCAUGCGGACCCUAUGGGUUCGAGAACUAUGUAGACAUGACCGAGACACAUCUCCGGUCAAUAACUAAUAGCGGAACCUGGAUGUUCAUAUUGGCUCCCACAUAUUCUACGAAGAUCUUUAUCGGUCAAACCGCAUAAUGAUAUACGUUGUUCCCUUUGUCAACGGUAUAUUACUUGCCCGAGAUUCGAUCGUCGGUAUCUCAAUACCUAGUUCAAUCUCGUUAUCGGCAAGUCUCUUUACUCGUUCCGUAAUGCAUCAUCCCGCAACUAACUCAUUAGUCACAUUGCUUGCAAGGCUUAUAGUGAUGUGCAUUACCGAGAGGGCCCAGAGAUACCUCUCCGACAAUCGGAGUGACAAAUCCUAAUCUCGAUCUAUGCCAACUCAACAAGUACCAUCGGAGACACCUGUAGAGCACCUUUAUAAUCACCCAGUUACGUUGUGACGUUUGGUAGGACACUAAGUGUUCCUCCGGUAUUCAGGAGUUGCAUAAUCUCAUAGUCAUAGGAAUAUGUAUAAGUCAUGAAGAAAGCAAUAGCAAUAUACUAAAUGAUCAAGUGCUAAGCUAACGGAAUGGGUCAAGUCAAUCACAUCAUUCUCUAAUGAUGUGAUCCCGUUAAUCAAAUGACAACUCAUGUCUAUGGCUAGGAAACAUAACCAUCUUUGAUUCAACGAGCUAGUCAAGUAGAGGCAUACUAGUGACACUCUAUUUGUCUAUGUAUCCACACAUGUACUAAGUUUCCGGUUAAUACAAUUCUAGCAUGAAUAAUAAACAUUUAUCAUGAUAUAAGGAAAUAUAAAUAACAACUUUAUUAUUGCCUCUAGGGCAUAUUUCCUUCAGUCUCCCACUUGCACUAGAGUCAAUAAUCUAGAUUACACAGUAAUGAUUCUAACACCCAUGGAGUCUUGGUGCUGAUCAUGUUUUGCUCGUGAGAGAGGCUUAGUCAACGGGUCUGCAACAUUCAGAUCCGUAUGUAUCUUGCAAAUCUCUAUGUCUCCCUCCUUGACUUGAUCGCGGAUGGAAUUGAAGCAUCUCUUGAUGUGCUUGGUUCUCUUGUGAAAUCUGGAUUCCUUUGCCAAGGCAUUUGCACCAGUAUUGUCACAAAAUAUUUUCAUUGGACACCUAGAUCAGGUAUGAACUCCUUCAUCCAGACUCCUUCAUUUGCUGCUUCUGAAGCAGCUAUGUACUCCGCUUCACACGUAGAUCCCGCCACGACGCUUUGCUUAGAACUGCACCAACUGACAGCUCCACCGUUCAAUAUAAAUACAUAUCCGGUUUGUGACUUAGAGUCAUCCGGAUCAGUGUCAAAGCUUGCAUCGACGUAACCAUUUACGACGAGCUCUUUGUCACCUCCAUAAACGAGAAACAUAUCCUUAGUCCUUUUCAGGUAUUUCAGGAUGUUCUUGACCGCUGUCCAGUGAUCCACUCAUGCUUUACUUUGGUACCUCCCUGCUAAACUAAUAGCAAGGCACACAUCAGGUCUGGUACACAGCAUUGCAUACAUGAUAGAGCCUAUGGUUGAAGCAUAGGGAACAACUUUCAUUUUCUCUCUAUCUUCUGCAGUGGUCGGGCAUUGAGUCUGACUCAACUUCACACCUUGUAACACACGCAAGAACCCUUUCUUUGGUUGAUCCAUUUUGAACUUCUUCAAAACUUUAUCAAGGUAUGUGCUUUCUGAAAGUCCAAUUAAGCGUCUCGAUCUAUCUCUAUAGAUCUUGAUGCCUAAUAUAUAAGCAGCUUCACCGAGGUCUUUCAUUGAAAAACUCUUGUUCAAGUAUCCUUUUAUGCUAUCCAGAAAUUCUAUAUCAUUUUCAACCAACAAUAUGUCAUCCACAUAUAAUAUUAGAAAUGCUACAGAGCUCCCACUCACUUUCUUGUAAAUACAGGCUUCUCCAAAAGUCUGUAUAAAACCAUAUGCUUUGAUCACACUAUCAAAACGUUUAUUCCAACUCCGAGAUGCUUGCACCAGUCCAUAAAUGGAUUGCUGGAGCUUGCACACUUUGUUAGCAUCCUUUGGAUUGAUAAAACCUUCGGGUUGCAUCAUAUACAACUCUUCUUCCAGAAAUCCAUUCAGGAAUGCAGUCUUUACAUCCAUUUGCCAAAUUUCAUAAUCAUAAAAUGCAGCAAUUGCUAACAUGAUUUGGACGGACUUAAGCAUCGCUACAGGUGAGAAAGUCUCAUCGUAGUCAACUCCUUGAACUUGUCGAAAACCUUUUGCAACAAGUCGAGCUUUGUAGACAGUAACAUUACCGUCAGCGUCAGUCUUCUUCUUGAAGAUCCAUUUAUUCUCAAUGGCUUGCCGAUCAUCGGGCAAGUCAACCAAAGUCCACACUUUGUUCUCAUACAUGGAUCCCAUCUCAGAUUUCAUGGCUUCAAGCCAUUUCGCGGAAUCUGGGCUCAUCAUCACUUCCUCAUAGUUCGUAGGUUCGUCAUGGUCAAGUAACAUGACCUCCAGAACAGGUUUACCGUACCACUCUGGUGCGGAUCUUACUCUGGUUGACCUACGAGGUUCGGUAGUAACUUGAUCUGAAGUUACAUGAUCAUCAUCAUUAGCUUCCUCACUAAUUGGUGUAGGAGUAACAGGAACUAAUUUUGUGAUGAACUACUUUCCAGUAAGGGAGCAGGUAUAGUUACCUCAUCAAGUUCUACUUUCCUCCCAUUCACUUCUUUCGAGAGAAACUCCUUCUCUAGAAAGGAUCCAUUCUUAGCAACGAAUGUCUUGCCUUCGGAUCUGUGAUAGAAGGUGUACCCAACAUUCUCCUUUGAGUAUCCUAUGAAGACACAUUUCUCCGAUUUGGGUUCGAGCUUAUCAGGUUGAAGCACAUAAGCAUCGCAGCCCCAAACUUUAAGAAACGACAACUUAGGUUUCUUGCCAAACCACAGUUCAUAAGGUGUCGUCUCAAUGGAUUUAGAUGGUGCCCUAUUUAACGUGAAUGCAGCCGUCUCUAAAGCAUAACCCCAAAACAAUAGCGGUAAAUCAGUAAGAGACAUCAUAGAUCGCACCAUAUCUAAUAAAGUGCGGUUACGACGUUCGGACACACCAUUACAUUGUGGUGUUCCGGGUGGCGUGAGUUGUGAAACUAUUCCGCAUUGUUUCAAAUGAAGACCAAACUUGUAACUCAAAUAUUCUCCUCCACGAUCAGAUCGUAGAAACUUUAUUUUCUUGUUACGAUGAUUUUCCACUUCACUCUAAAAUUCUUUGAACUUUUCAAAUGUUUCAGACUUAUGCUUCAUCAAGUAGAUAUAACCAUAUCUGCUCAAAUCAUCUGUGAAGGUGAGAAAAUAACGAUACCCGCCGCAAGCCUCAACAUUCAUUGGACCACAUACAUCAGUAUGUAUGAUUUCCAACAAAUCUGUUGCUUGCUCCAUUGUUCCGGAGAAUGGAGUUUUAGUCAUCUUGCCCAUAAGGCAUGGUUUGCAAGUACCAACUGAUUCAUAAUCAAGUGAUUCCAAAAGUCCAUCAGAAUGGAGUUUCUUCAUGCGCUUUACACCAAUAUGACCUAAACGGCAGUGCCACAAAUAAGUUGCACUAUCAUUAUCAACUCUGUAUCUUUUGGCUUCAAUAUUAUGAAUAUGCGUGUCGCUACUAUCGAGAUUCAACAAAAAUAGACCACUCUUCAAGGGUGCAUGACCAUAAAAUAUAUUACUCAUAUAAAUAGAACAGCCAUUAUUCUCAGAUUUAAAUGAAUAACCGUCUCGCAUCAAACAAGAUCCAGAUAUAAUGUUCAUGCUCAACGCUGGCACCAAAUAACAAUUAUUCAGGUCUAAAACUAAUCCCGAAGGUAGAUGUUGAGGUAGCGUGCCGACCGCGAUCACAUUGACUUUGGAACCAUUUCCCACGCGCAUCGUCACCUCAUCCUUGGCCAAUCUUCGCUUAAUCCGUAGUCCCUGUUUCGAGUUGCAAAUAUUAGCAAUAGAACCAGUAUCAAAUACCCAGGCACUACUGCGAGCAUUAGUAAGGUACACAUCAAUAACAUGUAUAUCACAUAUACCUUUGUUCACCUUGCCAUCCUUCUUAUCCACCAAAUACUUGGGGCAGUUCCGCUUCUAGUGACCAGUCCCUUUGCAGUAGAAGCACUCAGUCUCAGGCCUAGGUCUGGACUUGGGCUUCUUCACUUGAGCAGCAGCUUGCUUGUCGUUCUUCUUGAAGUUCCCCUUCUUCCCUUUACCCUUUUUCUUGAAACUGGUGGUGUUGUUGACCAUCAACACUUGAUGCUCUUUCUUGAUUUCUACCUCCGCAGCCUUUAGCAUUGCGAAGAGCUCGGGAAUCGUCUUAUCCAUCCCUUGCAUAUUAUAGUUCAUCACGAAGCUCUUGUAGCUUGGUGGCAGUGAUUAAAGAAUUCUGUCAAUGACACUAUCAUCAGGAAGAUUAACUCCCAGUUGAAUCAAGUGAUUGUUAUACCCAGACAUUUUGAGUAUAUGCUCACUGACAGAACUAUUCUCCUCCAUUUUGCAGCUGUAGAACUUAUUGGAGACUUCAUAUCUCUCAAUCUGAGCAUUUGCUUGAAAUAUUAACUUCAAUUCCUGGAACAUCUCAUAUGCUCCAUGACGUUCAAAACAUCGUUGAAGUCCCGGUUCUAAGCCGUAAAGCAUGGCACACUGAACUAUCGAGUAGUCAUCAGCUUUGCUCUGCCAGACGUUCAUAACAUCUGGCGUUGCUCCUGCAGCGGGUUUGGCACCUAGCGGUGCUUCCAGGACGUAAUUCUUCUAUGCAGCAAUGAGGAUAAUCCUCAAGUUGUGGACCCAGUCCGUGUAGUUGCUACCAUCAUCUUUCAACUUAGCUUUCUCUAGGAACGCAUUAAAAUUCAACGGAACAACAGCACGGGCCAUCUAUCUACAACAACAUAGACAUGCAAAAUACUAUCAGGUACUAAGUUCAUGAUAAAUUUAAGUUCAAUUAAUCAAAUUACUUAAGAACUCCCACUUAGAUAGACAUCCAUCUAAUCAUCUAAGUGAUCACAUGAUCCAAAUCAACUAAACCAUGUCCGAUCAUCAUGUGAGAUGGAGUAGUUCUCAAUGGUGAACAUCACUAUGUUGAUCAUAUCUACUAUAUGAUUCAUGCUCGACCUUUGGUCUCAGUGUUCGGAGGCCAUAUCUGCAUAUGCUAGGCUCAUCAAGUUUAACCCGAGUAUUCUGCGUGUGCAAAACUGGCUUGCACCCGUUGUAUGUGAACGUAGAGCUUAUCACACCCGAUCAUCACGUGGUGUCUCAGCACGACGAACUUUCGCAACUGUGCAUACUCAGGGGGAACACUUGGACCUUGAAAUUUAGUGAGAGAUCAUCUUAUAAUGCUACCAUCGAACUAAGCAAAAUAAGAUGCAUAAAGGAUAAACAUCACAUGCAAUCAAUAUAAGUGAUAUGAUAUGGCCAUCAUCAUCUUGUGCCUUUGAUCUCCAUCUCCAAAGCACCGUCAUGAUCACCAUCGUCACCGGCGCGACACCUUGAUCUCCAUCGUAGCAUUGUUGUCAUCUCGCCAACUAUUGCUUCUACGACUAUCGCUACCGCUUAGUGAUAAAGUAAAGCAAUUACAUGGCGAUUGCAUUUCAUACAAUAAAGCGACAACCAUAUGGCUCCUGCCAGUUGCCGAUAACUCCGUUACAAAACAUGAUCAUCUCAUACAAUAAAAUUUAGCAUCAUGUCUUGACCAUAUCACAUCACAACAUGCCCUGCAAAAACAAGUUAGACGUCCUCUACUUUGUUGUUGCAAGUUUUACGUGGCUGCUAUGGGCUGAGCAAGAACCGUUCUUACCUACGCAUCAAAACCACAACGAUUUUUCGUCAAGUAUGUGUUGUUUUAACCUUCAACAAGGACCGGGCGUAGCCACACUCGAUUCAACUAAAGUUGCAGAAAUUGACACCCGCCAGCCACCUGUGUGCGAAGCACAUCGGUAGAACCAGUCUCGCGUAAGCGUACGCGUAAUGUCGGUCCGGGCCGCUUCAUCCAACAAUACCGCCGAAUCAAAGUAUGACAUGUUGGUAAGUAGUAUGACUAUUAUCGUCCACAACACACUUGUGUUCUACUCGUGCACAUAACAUCUACGCAUAGACCUGGCUCGGAUGCCACUGUUGGGGAACGCAGUAAUUUCAAAAAAAAUCUUACGCACACGCAAGAUCAUGGUGAUGCAUAGCAAUGAGAGGGGAGAGUGUUGUCCAUGUAUCCUCAUAGACCGAAAGCGGAAGUGUUAUGACAACGCGGUUGAUGUAGUCGUACGUCUUCACGAUCCGACCGAUCCUAGUACCGAAAGUACGGCACCUCCACGAUCUGCACACGUUCAGCUCAGUGACGUCCCACGAACUCUUGAUCCAGCUGAGUGUCGAGGGAGAGCUUCGUCGGCACAAUGGCAUGAUGAUGGUGAUGAUGAAGCUACCGGCGCAGGGCUUCGCCUAAGCGCUGCACCGAUAUGACCGAGGUGGAUUAUGGUGGAGGGGGGCACCGCACACGGCUAAGACAAUGUCUGUUGUUGUGUUCUAGGGUGCCCCCUGCCCCCUUAUAUAAAGGAGAAAGGGGGAGGCCGGCCGGCCCUUGGGGCGCGCCAAGGAGGGGAGGAUUCCUCCUCCUAGUAGGAGUAGGACUCCCCCUUUCCUAGUCCAACUAGGAGGUGGAAGGCAGAAGGAAGGAGAGGGAGAGAGGGACGGAAAGAGGGGGCGCCCCCCUCCUUGUCCAAUUCGGAAUCCUCAAGGGGGGCGGCCAGCCCUAAGGCCCCCUCCUCUCUCUCUCACAAGGCCCAUGUUGGCCCAUUAGUUCCCCCGGGGGUUCCGAUAACCCUCCGGCACUCCAAUAAUUAUCCGGUGACCCCUGGAACUCAUCCAGUGUCCGAAUAUAGUCAUCCAAUAUAUCAAUCUUUAUGUCUCGACCAUUUCGAGACUCCUUGUCAUGUCCGUGAUCACAUCCGGGACUCCGAACUAUCUUCAGUACAUCAAAACACAUAAACUCAUAAUACCGAUCGUCACCGAACGUUAAGCGUGCGGACCCUACGGGUUCGAGAACUAUGUAGACAUGACCGAGACACGUCUUCGGUCAAUAACCAAUAGCGAAACCUGGAUGUUCAUAUUGGCUCCCACAUAUUCUACGAAGAUCUUUAUCAGUCAAACCGCAUAACGAUAUACAUUGUUCCCUUUGUCAACGGUAUAUUACUUGCCCGAGAUUUGAACGUCGGUAUCUCAAUACCUAGUUCAAUCUCGUUACCGACAAUUCACUUUACUCGUUCUGUAAUGCAUCAUCCCGCAACUAACUCAUUAGUCACAUUGCUUGCAAGGCUUAUAGUGAUGUGCAUUACCGAGAGGGCCCAGAGAUACCUCUCCGACAAUCGGAGUGACAAAUCCUAAUCUCGAUCUAUGCCAACUCAACAAGUACCAUCGGAGACACCUGUAGAGCACCUUUAUAAUCACCCAGUUACGUUGUGACGUUUGGUAGCACACUAGGUGUUCCUCCGGUAUUCGGGAGUUGCAUAAUCUCAUAGUCAUAGGAAUAUGUAUAAGUCAUGAAGAAAGCAAUAGCAAUAUACUAAAUGAUCAAGUGCUAAGCUAACAGAAUGGGUCAAGUCAAUCACAUCAUUCUCUAAUGAUGUGAUCCCGUUAAUCAAAUGACAACUCAUGUCUAUGGCUAGGAAACUUAACCAUCUUUGAUUCAACGAGCUAGUCAAGUAGAGGCAUACUAGUGACACUCUGUUUGUCUAUGUAUUCACACAUGUACUAAGUUUCCGAUUAAUACAAUUCUAGCAUGAAUAAUAAACAUUUAUCAUGAUAUAAGGAAAUAUAAAUAACAACUUUAUUAUUGCCUCUAGGGCAUAUUUCCUUCAUACAUCACUAUAAGCCUUGCAAGCAAUCUGACUAAUGAGUUAUUUGCGGGAUGAUGCAUUACGGAACGAGUAAAGAGACUUGCCGGUUACGAGAUUGAACUAGGUAUGAUGAUACCGACGAUCGAAUCUCGGGCAAGUAACAUACCGAUGACAAAGGGAAUGACGUAUGUUGUUAUGCGGUUUGACCGAUAAAGAUCUUCGUAGAAUAUAUAGGAACCAAUAUGAGCAUCCAGGUUCCGCUAUUGGUUAUUGACCAGAGAUGUGUCUCGGUCAUGUCUACAUAGUUCUCGAACCCGUAGGGUCCGCACCCUUAACGUUCGAUGACGAUUUGUAUUAUGAGUUAUGUGUUUUGGUGACCAAAGUUUGUUCGGAGUCCCGGAUAAGAUCACAGACAUGAUGAGGAGUCUCGAAAAGGUAGAGAGGUAAAGAUUGAUAUAUUAGAAGGUUGUAUUCGGACAUCGGAAGGGUUCCGGAGUGUAUCGGGUACAUACCGGAGUAUCGGAGGGGUUACCGGAACCUCCCGGUGGAAGAUAUGGGCCAUAUGAGGGAGGCUAGCCAGCCCACAAGGGGCUCGUGCGCCCCCCACAAGAGAGGAGGCCGAAUUGUUUUAGGGAAGGGGCGCCACCCCCCUUUCCUUCUCCUACUCCUUCUCCUUCCCCCUUUCCCCCUCCGGAAGAAGGAAAAAGGGGGGCCAAAUCCUACUAGGAUUGGAGUCCUAGUAGGACUCCCCUCUCCCUGGCGCGCCCCUGGUGGCCAGUCUCCUCCCUUCAUCCUUUAUAUACGGGGGCAGGGGGCACCCCAAAGCACAUCAAUUGUUCUCUUAGCCGUGUGCGGUGCCCCCCUCCACGGUUUACUCCUCCGGUCAUAGCGUCAUAGUGCUUAGGCGAAGCCCUCCGCGGAUCACAUCACCAACACCGUCACCAUGCCGUCGUGCUGACGGAACUCUCCCUCGACCCUCUGCUGGAUCUAGAGUUCGAGGGACGUCAUCAAGCUGAACGUGUGCUGAACACGGAGGUGCCAUACGUUCGGUACUUGGGUCGGUUGGAUCGUGAAUACGUUCAACUACAUCAACUGCGUUAACCUAACGCUUCCGCUUUUAGUCUAUGAGGGUACGUGGACACACUCUCCCCCUCUCAUUGCUAUGUAUCUCCUAGAUAGAUCUUGCAUGAGCGUAGGAAUUUUUUUGAAAUUGCAUGCUACGUCCCCCAAUAGUGGCAUCCGAGCCAGGUCUAUGCGUAGAUGAUAUGCACGAGUAGAACACAAAGAGUUGUGGGCGAUAAUAGUCAUAGUGCUUACCACCAACGUCUUACUUUGAUUCGGCGGUAUUGUUGGAUGAAGCGGCCUGAACCAACAUUACAUGACCACGUUCAUGAGACCGGUUCUACCGACGUGCUUUGCACACAGGUGGCUGGCGGGUGUUUGUUUCUCCAACUUUAGUUGAAUCGAGUUUGACUACGUCCGGUCCUUGUUGAAGGUUAAAACAACACACUUGACGAAAAAUCGUUGUGGUUUUGAUGCGUAGAUAAGAACGGUUCUUGCGAGAAGCCCGUAGCAGCCACGUAAAACUUGCAACAACAAAGUAGAGGACGUCUAACUUGUUUUUGCAGGGCAUGUUGUGAUGUGAUAUGGUUAAGGCAUGAUGUGAUAUAUGUUAUUGUAUGAGAUGAUCAUGUUUGGUAGAAGUUAUCGGCAACUGGCAGAAGCCUUAUGGUUGUCGCUUUAUUGUAUGAAAUGCAAUCGCCAUGUAAUUGCUUUACUUUAUCACUAAGCGGUAGCGAUAGUCGUAGAAGCAAUAGUUGGCGAGACAACAACGACGCUACGACGGAGAUCAAGGUGUCAAGCCGGUGAUGAUGGAGAUCAUGAUGGUGCUUUGGAGAUGGAGAUCAAAGGCACAAGAUGAUGAUGGCCAUAUCAUGUCACAUAUUUUGAUUGCACGUGAUGUUUAUCUUUUAUGCAUCUUAUUUUGCUUAGUAUGGCGGUAGCAUUAUAAGAUGAUCCCUCACUAAAUUUCAAGGUAUAAGUGUUCUCCCUGAGUAUGCACCAUUGCGACAGUUCGUCGUGCUGAGACACCACGUGAUGAUCGGGUGUGAUAAGCUCUACGUUCACAUACAACGGGUGCAAGCCAGUUUUGCACAUGCAGAAUACUUGGGUUAAACUUGACGAGCCUAGCAUAUGCAGAUAUGGCCUCGGAACACUGAGACCGAAAGGUCGAAUGUGUAUCAUAUAGUAGAUAUGAUCAACAUAGAGAUGUUCACCAUUGAAAACUACUCCAUCUCACGUGAUGAUUGGACAUGGUUUAGUUGAUUUGGAUCACGUAUCAUUUAGAUGACUAGAGGGAUGUCUAUCUAAGUGGGAGUUCUUAAGUAAUAUGAUUAAUUGAACUUAAAUUUAUCAUGAACUUAGUCCUGAUAGUAUUUGCAUAUCUAUGUUGUAGAUCAAUAGCUCGCGUAUAGCUUCCCCGUUUUAUUGUUGAUAUGUUCAUAGAGAAAACUAAGUUGAAAGAUGAUAGUAGCAAUGAUGCGGACCGGAUCCGUGAUCUGAGGAUUAUCCUCGUUGCUACACAGAAGAAUUAUGUCCUUGAUGCACCGCUAGGUGACAGACCUAUUGCAGGAGCAAAUGCAGACGUUAUGAACGUUUGACAAGCUCGGUAUGAUGACUACUUGAUAGUUUAGUGGGAGUUAAUCUUCCAUAUAAGAUAGUGAUUGACAGAGUUCUCUAGUCACUAUCACCAAGUUACUAGAACUUCGUGAUAAACUAUAAUAUGCAAGGGAUGACGAAAAUGAUUCCCGAGCUCUUCACGAUGCUAAAAUCGGCGAAGAUAGAAAUGAAGAAAGAGCAUCAAGUGUUGGCGGUUAACAAGACCACUAGUUUCAAGAAAAGGGGCAAGGGAAAGAAAGGGAUAACUUCAAAGAAUGGCAAGAAAGUUGCCACUCCCAUGAAGAAGCCCAUAGCUAGACCCACCUGAAACUGAGUGCUUCUACUGCAAAGGAAAUAGUCACUGGAAGUGGAACUACCCUAGAUACUUGGCGGAUAAGAAGGAUGGCAAAGUGAACAAAGAUAUAUUUGAUAUACAUGUUAUUGAUGUGUACUUUACUAGUGUUUAUAGCGACCCCUCGGUAUUUGAUACUAGUUCAGUUGCUAACCGUAGUAACUCGAAACAGGAGUUGCAAAAUAAACAGAGACUAGUGAAGGACGAGGUGACGAUGUGUGUUGGAAGUAAUUCCAAGGUUGAUACGAUCACCAUCGCACACUCCCUCUACCUUCGGGAUUAGAAUUGAAACUAAAUAAAUGUUAUUUGGUGUUUGCGUUGAGCAUUAAUAUGAUUAGAUCAUGUUUAUUGCAAUACGAUUAUUCAUUUAAGUCAGAGAAUAAUUGUUGUUCUGUUUAUAUGAAUAAAACCUUCUAUGGUCAUACACCCAAUGUGAAUGGUUUAUUGAAUCUUGAUCGUAGUGAUACACAUAUUCAUAAUAUUGAAGCUAAAAGAUGCAAAGUUAAUAUGAUUAGAUCAUGUUUAUUGCAAUACGGUUAUUCAUUUAAGUCAGAGAAUAAUUGUUGUUCUGUUUAUAUGAAUAAAACCUUCUAUGGUCAUACACCCAAUGUGAAUGGUUUAUUGAAUCUUGAUCGUAGUGAUACACAUAUUCAUAAUAUUGAACCCAAAAGAUGCAAAGUUAAUAAUGAUAGUGCAACUUAUUUGUGGCACAUCUGUUUAGGUCAUAUUGGUGUAAAGCGCAUGAAGAAACUCCAUGCUGAUGGGCUUUUGGAAUCACUUGAUUAUGAAUCACUUGAUACUUGCGAACCAUGCCUCAUGGGCAAGAUGACUAAGACUCCGUUCUCCGGAACAUUGGAGCGAGAAACUAACUUAUUGGAAAUAAUACAUACUGAUGUAUGCGGUCCCAUGAGUGUUGAGGCUCGCAGCGGGUAUCGUUAUUUUCUGACCUUCACAGAUGAUUUGAGCAGAUAUGGGUAUAUCUACUUAAUGAAACAUAAGUCUGAAACGUUUGAAAAGUUCAAAGAAUUUCAUAGUGAAGUAGAAAUUCAUCAUAACUAGAAAAUAAAGUUUCUACAAUCUGAUCGCAGAGGUGAAUAUUUGAGUUACGAGUUUGGUCUUUAUUUGAAACAAUGUGGAAUAGUUUCACAACUCACGCCACCUUGAACACCACAACGUAAUGGUGUGUCUGAACGUCGUAACCGCACUUUAUUAGAUAUGGUGCGAUCUAUGAUGUCUCUUACCGAUUUGCCACUAUUGUUUUGGGGUUAUGCAUUAGAGACAACUGCAUUCACAUUAAAUAGGGCACCAUCUAAAUCCAUUGAGACGACGCCGUAUGAACUAUGGUUUGGCAAGAAACCUAAGUUGUCGUUUCUUAAAGUUUGGGGUUGCGAUGCUUAUGUGAAAAAGCUUCAGCCUAAUAAGCUCAAACCCAAAUCGGGGAAGUGCGUCUUCGUAGGAUACCCAAAAGAAACUGUUGGGUACACCUUGUAUCACAGAUCCGAAGGCAAUAUCUUUGUUGCCAAGAAUGGAUCCUUUCUAGAGAAGGAGUUUCUCUCGAAAGAAGUGAGUGGGAGGAAAGUAGAACUUGAUGAGGUAAUUGCACCUUCUAUCGAAUUGGAAAGUAGCUCAUCACAGAAAACCAUUCCCGUGAUGCCUACACCAACUAGUGAGGAAGCUAAUGAUAAUGAUCAUGAAACUUCGGAUCAAGUUACUACCGAACCUCAUAGGUCAACCAGAGCACGUUCCGCGUCAGAGUGGUACGGUAAUCCUAUUCUGGAAGUCAUGUUACUAGACCAUGAAGAACCUACGAACUAUGAGGAAGCGAUGAUAAGCCCAGAUUCCGUGAAAUGGCUUGAGGCCAUGACAUCUGAGAUGGGAUCCAUGUAUGAGAACAAAGUAUGGACUUUGGUGGACUUGCCCGAUGAUCGGCGAGCCAUAGAGAAUAAAUGGUUCUUCAAGAGGAAGACGGACGUUGAUGGUAGUGUUACUAUCUACAAAGCUCGAAUUGUCGCAAAAGGUUUUUGACAAGUUCAAGGUGUUGAAUACGAUGAGAUUUUCUCACUCGUAUCAAUGCUUAAGUCUGUCCGAAUCAUGUUAGCAAUUGCCGCAUUUUAUGGAAUCUGGCAAAUGGAUGUCAAAACUGCAUUCCUUAAUGGAUUUAUUAAAGAAGAGUUGUAUAUGAUGCAUCCAAAAGGUUUUGUCGAUCCUAAAGGUGCUAACAAAGUGUGCAAGCUCCAACGAUCCAUCUAUGGACUGGUGCAAGCAUCUCGGAGUUGGAAUAUACACUUUGAUGAGUUGAUCAAAGCAUACUGUUUUAUACAGACUUUUGGAGAAGCCUAUAUUUACAAGAAAGUGAGUGGGAGCACUACAGCCUUUCUGAUAAGUAUAUGUGAAUGACAUAUUGUUGAUCGAAAAUGAUGUAGAAUUUUUUGGAAAGCAUAAAGGAGUGCUGAAAGGAAUUUUUUCAAAGAAAGACCUCGAUGAAGCUGCUUACAUAUUGAGCAUCAAGAUCUAUAGAGAUAGAUCAAGACGCUUGAUAAGAUUUUUCAAUGAGUACAUACCUUGACAAGAUUUUGAAUUAGUUCAAAAUGGAACAGUCAAAGAAGGAGUUCUUGCCUGUAUUGCAAGGUGUAAAGUUGAGUAAGACUCAAAACCCAACCACGGCAGAAAAUAGAAAGAGAAUGAAAGUCAUUCCCUAUGCCUCAGUCAUAGGUUCUAUAAAGUAUGCUAUGAUGUGUACCAAACCUAUUGUGUACCUUGCCAUGAGUUUGGCAAGGGGGUACGAUGGUGAUCCAAGAGUGGAUCACUGGACAGCGGUCAAAGUUAUCCUUAGUUACCUAAGAGGACUAAGGAAAUAUUUCUCGGUUAUGGAGCUGAUAAAGAGUUCGUCGUAAAGAGUUACGAGGAUGCAAGCUUUUACACCGAUCCGAAUGGCUCUGAGUAUCAAUCUGGAUACAUAUUGAAAGUGGGAGCAAUUAGCUAGAGUAGCUCCUUGCAUAGCAUUGUAGACAUAGAAAAUUUUCAAAAUACAUACGGCUCUGAAUGUGGCAGACCCGUUGACUAAACUUCUCUCAAGCAAAACAUGAUCACACCUUAUUACUCUUUGGGUGUUAAUCACAUAGCGAUGUGAACUAGAUUAUUGAUUCUACUAACCCUUUGGGUAUUGGUCACAUGGCGAUGUGAACUAUAGAGUGUUAAAUCACAUGACGAUGUGAACUAUUGGUGUUAAAUCACAUGGCGAUGUGAACUAGAUUAUUGACUCUAGUGCAAGUGGGAGACUGAAGGAAAUAUGCCCUAGAGGCAAUAAUAAAGAUGUUAUUUAUAUUUCCUUAUAUCAUGAUAAAUGUUUAUUAUUCAUGCUAGAAUUGUAUUAACCGGAAACUUGAUACAUGUGUGAAUACAUAGACAAAACAAAGUGUCCCUAGUAUGCCUCUACUUGACUAGCUCGUUAAUCAAAGAUGGUUAAGUUUCCUGACCAUAGACAUGUGUUGUCAUUUGAUGAACAGGAUCACAUCAUUAGGAGAAUGAUGUGAUGGACAAGACCCAUCCGCUAGCUUAGCAUAAUGAUCGUUAAGUUUUAUUGCUAUUGCUUUCUUCAUGACUUAUACAUAUUCCUCUGACUAUGAGAUUAUGCAACUCCCGAAUACCAGAGGAACACCUUGUGUGCUACAAAUGUCACAACGUAACAGGGUGAUUAUAAAGAUGCUCUACAGGUGUCUCCAAAGGGGUUUGUUGGGUUGGCAUAGAUCAAGAUUAGGAUUUGUCACUCCGAGUAUCAGAGAGGUAUCUCUGGGCCCUCUCGGUAAUGCACAUCACUAGAAGCCUUGCAAGCAAUGUGACUAAUGAAUUAGUUGCGAGAUGAUGCAUUACGGAACGAGUAAAGAGACUUGCCGGUAACGAGAUUGAACUAGGUAUGAUGAUACCGACGAUCGAAUCUCAGGCAAGUAACAAACCGAUGACAAAGGGAAUGAUGUAUGUUGUUAUGCGGUUUGACUGACAAAGAUCUUCGUAGAAUAUGUAGGAACCAAUAUGAGCAUCCAGGUUCCGCUAUUGGUUAUUGACCGGAGAUGUGUCUCGGUCAUGUCUACAUAGUUCUCGAACCCGUAGGGUCCGCACGCUUAACGUUCGAUGACGAUUUGUAUUAUGAGUUAUGUGUUUUGGUGACCAAAGUUUGUUCGGAGUGCCGGAUAAGAUCACGGACAUGACGAGGAGUCUCAAAAUGGUUGAGAGGUAAAGAUUAAUAUAUUGGAAGGUUGUAUUCGGACAUCGGAAGGGUUCCAGAGUGUAUUGGGUACAUACCGGAGUACCGGAUGGGUUACCGGAACCUCCCGGUGGAAGAUAUGGGCCAUAUGAGGGAGGCUAACCAGCCCACAAGGGGCUGGUGCGCCCCCCACAAGAGAGGAGGCCGAAUUGGUUUAGGGAAGGGGGCGCCACCCCCCUUUCCUUCUCCUACUCCCUUUCCUUCACCCUUUCCCCCUCCGGAAGAAGGAAAAGUGGGGGGGGGCGAAUCCUAGUAGGAUUCCCCUCUCCCUGGCGCGCCCCUGGUGGCCGGCCUCCUUCCCUCCUCCUUUAUACGGGGGCAUGGGGCACCCCAAAGCACAUAAAUUGUUCUCUUAGCCGUGUGCGGUGCCCCCCUCCACAGUUUACUCCUCCGGUCAUAACGUCGUAGUGCUUAGGCGAAGCCCUGCGUGGAUCACAUCACCAACACCGUCACCACACCGUCGUGCUGAUGGAACUCUCCCUCGACCCUCUGCUGGAUCAAGAGUUCGAGGGACGUCAUCGAGCUGAACGUGUCCUGAACACGGAGGUGCCGUACGUUCCGUACUUGGAUCGGUUGGAUCGUGAAGACAUUAGACUACAUCAACCGCGUUAACCUAACGCUUCCGCUUUCGGUCUACGAGGGUACGUGGACACACUCUCCCCCUCUCCUUGCUAUGCAUCUCCUAGAUAGAUCUUGCGUGAGCGUAGGAAUUUUUUUGAAAUUGCAUGCUACGUUCCCCAACACAAACGGAGUCAGGAUAGUCUAGAAGCCACCAAGCAUGUUGUUCUAGUUAAACUUAGUUUCAAUUUGGCUGUCAUGGCAGUGUUUCUUGUUUUGGUACAAUGGUAAGCACUUUUGGCUGCUAUGGCGGCGCUUUUAGCUCAAUAAGUUCUGCCAUGGUAGAGGUUUGCAUGCUCACUACAGUGGCCCAUAGCUAGUUGGUUAGGUGCCUUAGCCGGUCGAUUAGGCCUGGUCGUGGGAUGGCACGGCUAAGUAGGGAAACUGGUUUAGAGGGUGAUGGCAUAGUCCUUGCCCGUAGGAUCUGGCUUGCGGGAUGGCACGAGCCACAAGGACCACCACGGGUGUUCGUAUCGGUCAUUAGGGCAUUCUCUCUGUACUGAAGAACAAAAGGAAGAAACUAGAAAGGUGUGCAUGAUUACGUAACGUAAAAAAAUCUCCCGUCCUCUCUUCGUGUGUGUGUGUGUGUGUGUGUGCUUCCUCUCCGGCAAGCCAACAACGAGGUCCGUCUGACACAUGUUUCUCUGUGUCCCUUCUGCAUGUUUCUCCCCCAUACUUCUUUAUUUUCCUGUAUCCGUUCCGCAUGUGCUAAGAUCUUAUAUUAUGGGACAAAGGGAAUACGUUACACCGUAAAAAUAUAUUCACGUGUUCCAAUAAUAUGUCUAUGAUUUUUCUAAAUGUUUAUAAAAUGUAAAAAUUGUUUGCAUAGUUUAACUAAGUGCACUUUAUCAUUCAAAAAAUCAAUGUGAUGAAAACUGUUUAACAUGUAUUCGAAGAAACAAGUAUUUGAAUAAAAUGUUAAUCAUGAAUUUGCUAAAAUGUUAAACAUGUAUAAAAGUGUUUUACAUGUACACAAAAAAUGUACGACGUGUAUGAAAAAAAGUAGACAUCAAAACACAUAUUUGAGAAAAAAUUAAUCAUGUAUUUGAAAAAUGUUAAAUGUGUAUAAACAAUGUUUCUGAUGUAUAUGAAAAAUGUAAAUGCGUCUGAAAAAUGGACAUGUAUUUGAAAGGAAAAAAGAAAAGUUUCCAAAGAAAAAAAGAAAAAAGAAAAUAAAAAGACAAAUUGAAGAAAACAGAAGAAGAAGAAAAAACGAUACAAGCAGUACAAACGAAAAAUAAAUAAAACUCAUGCGGAGACAGCUACAGUGCUGAGCCGGGCCACUAGCCUUGUACAAAAGGUGAGCCGGGAGCUACAUCUUGCAAUAAGCGAGACAUAGCUCCCGCAAAUAUCGCUAUUGCGUUGAAUGCAAGCUGUGUAAUAGGGGGCAUGACCCACUGGGAGAAGCCCAAUUACUCUAUGCGCGGCUAUGUGCCGCCCAAUAACAACGACAAAAGGACACAUCGGAUAAAGGGUGCGGCUAUGUGCCGGCCAAGUAACGACGACAAAACGACACAUCAGGCGUCACAUAGGAACGGGUGCGGCUAUGUGCCGCAUGCAGUGACUCCUAGCAUCAGGUCGCCUGCAGGGCAUCAUUGCUGGGUCGGCCAAGUAGCGACGUGGCCGUGCCAAGCUGUCAUGACUAAUAUUUCUUUUGUUUUCCUUCCAUAUUUUUCACAUUUUUAUUCUUCUUGCUUCUUUUACAAUUUUUCAUUUCUAAAUAUUUCUAAUAUAUAUCACAGAAAAGAAGACUUUACAUUAAAGUUUAAAAAUGUUAAUCAUGAAUUCUUAAAAUGUUUAUGAUGUAUAUGAAAAGUAUACGAAUGUGAAAAAAAUAGUACUAAAUAUAAAUGAUGUGCACACAAAAUAUUUGUGAAAUUUCACAUGUCUAACAAAAAUGAAUGUGUUGAAAAUAUGUUUAUAAAGAUAAAAAAAGUGUUCAAAUAAUUCAAGAAAAACGUUUUGUUAAUUCACGAAAAUGUGUGAUACAUUUAAAAAAAUGUUAAGUAGUUCCAAAAAUGUGUCGGUGACAUUUUCAAAAAAUGUGUGUACAAUGUAAUUUUUUUGCAUAAUAGUAAUAAAAUGUUGUGUCGCACCAUUAAAGUAUUUAUGUAGCAUCUUAAAGUAUUCCCUCAUUUCAAAAAAUUAUGUUCAUGACAUUUCAAAAAUGUGUAUAAAAUGCUACUGUAGGUUAAUAAAUGCAUAUUUCAUUUUUAAAAUGGUGUGGCAUUUUAAAGAAAUAUUCACGUGUUUCCUCAAAAUGGUGUGAGAUUCGGAAAUGGUUCAUACAAUCCAAUAAGAUGUUUAUUGCCAUUAGAAAAUUGUACAACACUUAUAUAUAAAGUGUUACAGUGUAUUCUAAAAAGUGUUAAAAACAUAUAUUUUUGAAAAUACAUCAUAAAUUUGAAUAUUUUCUAACAUGUAUCAAAAAUAAUGUUUUAUAUGUGCGCUAAAAAUAUACAUUGUAUAAUGAGAAAACCCAUAAAACAGACAAAGACAGAAGAAAACAAAUUGACCAAGAUUAUAGAAUAAAAUAACAACAUUUACAAUACCUAGUAGAUACGAUAUGAAAGUUCUUUUCAUGAUGAAUCAAAUGAUAUAAAUUUCGUGUUCUGAAUGUUGAUAUAUUUUUCUAAAAUCUCGGUCAAACUUUGACUUGUUUAACUUUUGAAAAAACAAAUACACCUUAUAUAUAAGGAACGGAGGGAGUAGAAAGCAAAAGAUGGAAACCAGGGCGAAGCGAACGGGGGGACCUCCUAUACAGCGCUGCAGGCGCCGGUUGCUGCAACUGGCGCUCGCAGCAGCGUCUCGGUGGGCCGGCCCACGAGCGCGCAGCGCCAAAAAAAAGAAAAACCCCGCAAAAAAUGCCUACAUAACAGGAUUCGAACUCGUGCCACCGCCCUUUUGGUACAGCGAGCUAACCAAUCGACGAACUAAACUGCAAGUCGAUAUUUACAGUGCGAAUCAUUAAAGAACAGAAAGUAGACACAUUAUUUAUUACGUGGUACACUGUAAAAUUAAAUUUUCCAAUUAUUUUAAAACACGUUCAGAAAUUUCAAAUGACGUUCACGAACAUGCAAAAAAAGUUCGCCUAUUGAAAAAAAAUUCACCAAAAAUAAAAAAUGUUCAUGUAAUAAAAAAUAAUUCAUUAAUUAAAAAAGUUCAAUAUAUUUUUUAAAAAAUUGUAAACUCCAAACGAGUUUAUGAAUUUCAAAAGAGUACAACAUAGAAAAAAGAUUGUGAUUUUUAAAAAAAGUUCAUCAACUUUGAAUAAAAGUUCAUCGAAUAUGAGAAAAGUUCAUGAGAUUCGAAAAGAGUUCAUCAAAUUGGAAACAAGUUCAUGAAAUUUCAAAAAUGUUCGUCGAAUUGGAAACAAGUUCAUCGAUUAAAAAAAGUUCAUCAAAUUUGGAAAAAGCUCAUCCAAAUUGAAAACAAAAUCAUCAAGUUUUAAAAAAAGUUCAUCAAAUUAGAAAAACAGUUCGCAAUUUUCAAAAACAGUUUAUUGAAAAUGAAAAUAGUUCAUCAAUUUGAAGAAAAACGUUCACAAUUUGGAAAAAAAACUUAAUAGAAAUUGAAAAAAAAAGUUCAUUCAUUUUGAAAAAAAAAUCAUCUACUUUGAAAAAGUUCAUCGAAUUAAAAAAAAUCAUCUAUUUGAAGAAAAUGUUCACGUAUUUGCAAAUAAUUCAUGUACCCGGAAGAAAAAGGAAAAAGGAAAACAGAAAAUGAAAAGGGAAAACAAAAAAAUUAAAAGGGAAAAGAAAGAAUGAAAGAAGGAAAAACUUAAUUUCAACACAUCCUGCGUGGUGGGUCGCUGGUUACACCAUCGGUACUGUGUGAUGGAGGACCCAGGUUCGAGUCAUGGAUUAGUUAGUUAUAUAACACGCACUUUUUUUGCGGAUUUUAACACAGAGAAAGAAACCUCAGAUGGGCCGGCCCAGUGCGGGGGCGCUGCAGGCGCCGGUUUGCAGUAACACUAGUAACCGAAGCGAACCUACAGCAACACGAGCGGCAACGAGUGACCUGCGGGUAUGGGUAGAUGCGAGACAGAGAGCUCCUAUUAGACGCUCGAGCGCGUCCAAUAGUUAAGCUUUCGCACAGAAUCAGGCAGACUGGGUCGGCCCAUUCUAGUUGAAAAUUUCAAAAAGUCCCGAAAGAUGGGCGCUCAAGGCGGGAUCGAAUAGGCGACCUCCCGGUUUCAAGCGUAUAUGAAUGACCACUCGCGUUGAUUGUGUUUGAUGACUAAAUGGCAGCGUAGGAUGUUAAGAACUACUCCCUUCGUCCUAUAAUAUAAGUGUGUAUUUAACAUUACACCAGUGUAAAAAAUGCUCUUAUGUUAUGGGAUGGAGGAAGUAGUAACAAAAGUAACGAAAUUUAAAAAAUCCAAAAAAAUUUAAAUGAGAGUUUUUUUGAAAAAAUUGAAUUCCAAAUAGACACUGAAUUUUUUCCAGUAUACAAUGAACAUUUUUAAUAUAUUGUGAAUUUUUUCAAAUGCAUAUUGAACAGUAUUCAUGUGCACAAUGAACAUUUUCUAUAUGCAGGGAAGAUUGUUUUCCUAUAUGGUGAUCUUUAUUUUACAACAUGAAUAAAGAAUUUAAAACAUGAACAAGUUUUGAACACAUGAACAAAUCUUGGAAUGUCAAACUUCUUUAAAAAAUAAGGAAAAAAUUCUAAAAACUGAGAAAUUAUAAAAUUCGGAACAUUUUUAAAAAAUGAAUUUAUAAAAAUAAGCAAGAUAAAAAGAAACCAAAAAAAUAAGCAUAAAAACAGAAAAGGGUAAACAAAGCGAAACGAUACAAAAUAGCAGAAAAAGGCAGGCCAGUCUAAACGCUUCCUUCAGUGAAGCCACGACGUUUGGAAGAAGGCUUACCAACUUCAAAUAGGAUCUGCCGGGGUGACAUAGUUCUCGCGCAUAGGAAACACCAUCUUUGUUGGAACAUCAGAUAUUGCUGAGUUCCUCCCCAAUAAAUAAAGAUAUUCGUUGGUUCAAGCCCGCUCUGCUUGGAGCAUGUGUGUCUCGGUCGUAGCGAGACAAGGAGACCUCCUGUUCGGCACUCAGUGCGCCACUUAAUGUUGCUAGCGCCCACGGGCAACGCCCAACAUGCCGACCAAUUAAACGCGAAACAAUGGCUGGUUGUCCUGCUUGUACCGCCAACAAUUGUUACGUUCCUUUAUAAAAAAUGAUCGUCGUGCUCGCUCUAUGGGGAGAUGUCCUGGUUCACAUGUUAAUCCACUGACCGGUUGACUGUUGACUUUAGGAAAAUGUUCAUAAAAAUCUGAAAAAGAAUAGUGAAGUUGAAAAGAAUUCACACAAAAAAAGAAAACAAUCCCGAAUAUAGAAAAUGUUCACGAAUUUGAAAAAGAUUCGUAAAAAAUUAGAUAAGUUCAUGAAAAGGAGAAAAGUGAACGAAUUCGAAAAAUGUUCAUCAAUUUUUAAAAGUUCAUCAUUUUUUAAAGGUUCAAAACUUGAAAAAAGGACAUCAAUUUUGGAAAUAGUUCACUGAAUUUGGAAAAAAAUCAUCGAUUUUGAUUAAAAAAAUCAUGAAUUUGAAGAAAGUUCAUCAAUUUUGAAAAAAGUGCAUGAAAAAACUGAAAAAAGUUCUGGAAUUUGAAGACGAAGUUUGCGAAUUAAGAAAAGAAAGAAAAACAGCAAAAACAACAAAACACAGGAAAAAGGUCCUAAAUAAGAGAACAAAAAGAAUGAACUGGGCACAACAAAUUGGGCUGUCGCAGUGGUUAUCACCGACGUCACUGAUCCAGGAUGUGUGGAGUUCGAAUCUACCUGACAGAUUCAAAUUUUUGAAGGUUAGAAGGAAGAAAAGAAUGGAAAAUGGGCCGAGCACAAAACGGCAGGAGGGUGUGCGCCAAAUUGCAAAACACACUGUAUCGGGCACUGGCGGGGCCGAAUAGGAAUCGCCCGAGAAAAGGUAUACCUCGCCUCAAGUAGCCUCCCAGAACUGUAGCGGCUGUCUUGUUUGCUUUUUUUCCUUUCGUUCUUUUGUUCGGUUUUAUUUAGCGUUUUUACUUUUAUUUAUAUUGUGGAAUAAUCUAAAUACGUAUAUCCCAAUAGUUAUUUUACCUUAAAAAAAAUUUAAUGCCACCGCAAAAAAAAUUAAUGCAUUUAUCACGUAGUAUUAAAGAAAUGUUUACCCAGUGCAAAUUUUGUUCAUGCAAUAUUUAAAAAUAUUGUAUUAUUUAAAUAAAUGGUCAUGACAUUUAAAAAUUGUUUUUAUGAUAUUUCUAAAAAAAAGUGAAAGAAACUCAUAUAGUUUGUAAAAUGUAUUCAUAUCAUUAGAAUAAUUAUUCAUCAUACUUUAGAAAUAUUCAGACAUCUCAAAAAUAUCUUGGUGAUAUAUAAUUUUGGUGAUUAUAAAAAUAUUUUCGUAAUUUAUAAAAACAUGUUUCAUACCAUUCAAAAAUGUGUUCUUGACAUUUUUAAAAACAAUUCUCUAAAUACUUAACCAAUUACUGCAAAAAUUAGGAAAAGCAUUUAUAAUCAUUUAUAAAUUUUUUAUUUUGUGUUAAAAAAAGCCACUAUGUGUUACGAAAAUGUUCAAUUUGCGUUUCAGAAAUGUUUAACGUAUACUCCCUCUGUUCCUAAAUAUAAGUUUUUUUUAGAUAUUUCAAUAUGGACUACAUAAGGAGCCAAAUGGGUGAAUCUACACUCUAACAUAUGUCUAUGUACAUCCAUAUGUAGUCUGCAUUGAAAUGUCUAAAAAGACUUAUAUUUAGAAACGAUGGAGGUAUUAGAAUAAAACUGUUCAACAUGUGUUGGAAAAAAUCUUCACCGUGUAUCUAAGAAUUAUUCAAGUUAUAUACAAAAAAUGUUCAACCUUCAUUCAAAAAAGGGCAACAUGUAUUUGAAAAAAUGACGAAAAACAUAAAUAUAAAAAUAAGAAAUACAACAGGAAAAAUCAAAACUAACUAAAACAACAAAAAAUGGUACAGAAAGUAUAUAGUGAAAAAAGUCACAGACAAAAGCAUCUAGAACCGAUAUAAAGCAGUCUAUAAAUGCUUCCCAAAAGCGCUCCAGAAAAUUAUAGACAAGCCUGCUAGCUGAAUAGCCAGAGGCGAGACUGUGUUCUGUCUCGCAGUAAGCGAGGUAUAGUUCUGGCGCGCUCCGCUACGUCGUCCAGCUUCCUUUCCUUUUCACAGGCUUAAUAGCCGCUACGGCCAUAACCAUGGGGCACUCCCAGCCCAGCUGAAUCUCUCGUUUAGUCAUUUCUACGUGCCUUAUUUGGCCAAUCAACUAAAAAAACGUGAUUUAAAAAUAAUAAGAAAACGUGCCUUGUUUGCCAGAGUAGAAAAGUGCAGCGGAGUAAAAUGUAGUAAAAUGUAGUACUAUUUGCUGUUCCUUCAAUUAUUUAUGUUGUAUUAUCCACAACCCAAGUGAGAUGAAAAUGGCCGUAUGCAUCGUUCUAAUGCAGAGGCCGGGGAGUCCACCCUUUUUGAAAAAGAAAAAAAAAGUGAGAUGAAAAGUUGUGGAACUUCACGGAUAAGCAUGUUUGACUCUCGAGUGUAUAUACACCCUAUAUAAAAAAUGUAAUAAUAGAAAGUAAAAAAUUGAAAAUAAUUUUGAGAUAAACUUGACCUUCUAUUGUGUUCGUAAAAAAAUCGUGAAGGAGCAACCCCGUUGACUUCAAAGCAAAAAAACAGAAAUUAAGGCCAAAACUAGUGUGAAUAGUACCUUGUAUAUAGCAAUAACAAAUUCCCCAGAAGUCAACAGGGGUUUUCCUUCGCCGAAAACUCAUAUACUUACUAGUGCAAAAGAAAGUCAAAUUUAUUCCUAACAAAAAUUUAAUGAUUUUUGAUUUUUUAUAUUGUAAAACAUCUCAUACCAGGUAUAUACAUCCGAGAAACAAAAGGCAUUUCUGGAUACCUCGCAUCUUUCUCAUCAACAAAUCUUCUCCACUAUCCCCUGUCCUCUCCCCCCUCGACAUGUUACGUGCAUGCAUGUAUAUGCAUUCUGUUGCGUGUGACUUUUGGCAACGUCGCAACGUAUUCCAUGUGUUGCGUAGACGCUCUGACGUUUUAACACGGCACAAAGGUCAGACGUUUAGCGACAUUAACAGUGCGUGCCAAGCUUUAUCUGUGGCGACAGGUUGGUAGAAGAAUCUUCCUUUUCCUCUCCGUCUCCCCAUCUUAUCUCCAAUUCUUCCUCUCCUCGCUCCUCAUCGAUUCUCACGUGGUUCGUCUUGUGUGCGUGCAGCCUUUGCUCACUCACUCAUGUUAGUAGUUGUUACGUGUGAUGGCAUAAUUGCAGUGGUUACGGCGGGCGCUCCUAGUGCCCUAGUGAAGGGUAACGCGUCGAUCGGAAAGCCGCCGCACUUUGGAGGGCAUCAUUCGUGUUUGACACUUCGAGGGAUUCUAGAAAUCCCCGGUUGUAGGUUACAGCAACGUGUGUGUGUGAUGUCCACUGCUCUCGGUCCCGUUGUCUUUCCUUGUGAAAGUUUAGUCGACGGAUGGGCAUUGUUCGGUUCUAGAGUUGAUAGACAAAAAGUGUAACUCAAGUUAUAAGAAAAGCGGCAUCUUGCACAAAAAAAGAGUAGUACUCCCUCUGAAAAGAAAUAGAAGAUCGUAUAGAUUGCUAAGAAAUAUUAGAUUAUUUAGAUCACUAUAAAAAAAUAUAAGUUUACUAAACUAAAGUUGCACUUUUUGAAUCGAGUGGGACUUAAAAGGAUCUCGGUCCGGUCGACUUAGGAUUAGCAAAACCGAUAACAUGGCUUCAUUAACACAUUGGCUACAUCUUGAGAAGCUUUUUUCUUCUUCUAGAAAUGCAGUCAACUUUGACUCUCUUCAAUCGUACAAUCCCUCUAGAUGGGAAUAUAAGCCGGACAUGGGAUUUUAGAUCGUCAAUUUAACUAGCAAAAUAUGUCCAAUAUGCCACAAAAAUAUAUGGUUAGGAAGUCCAUUCAACGUCAAAAAAAAAAUUGUGACAUACGACACAUGUUUCACUAGUCAAAUUGAAGAACUAAAAAUCCAUGUUAGACCUAUAUUGCCAUCCGAAGGUAAUAUGUGAACAACGAGGUGGAAUCAUCGGCCAAUCCGACAGUGGAGCAAAGGAAGUUCUCACUAAAGCAACUAGUUGAUACCCUGCAUUUUGCACCGGGAAUCGGUUGCGGUAUACUUUCAUCAUAUUUGAUUAUUUGAAACACGGGUAUUUUGAUGAAUAAUAUGAGAAGAAAAUAAACAUACAUAUGAUUUAUUGUAUUUAAUUAUAGAGGCGGGCCUUUUUCAUGCUUAUUUGUAUUUUGAGAUGGAAUAUUUUUCUUGCAUAUUUGCAUGAUGGGGUGGUAUGUCUACAUGAUGAGAGAAAUAAGUUAGUUGGUGCUAGCUAUUUUUUCUGCGAGAAAACUUUCGAUCUAUUCAUCUUCAAUCAUGACAGUACGGUGGACAUAUAAAAAUACAUCCAGAUCCGUAGACCACCUAGCGACGACUACAAGCACUGAGGCGACCCGAAGGCGCGAACGUCAUCGCCCCUCCCUCACCGGAGUCGAGCAAAACUUGUUGUAGUAGACAACCGAAAAGUCGUUGAGCUAAGACCCAAUAGGACAGGUGGACCAGAACAACAACCACCGUCCAUGAAGCGUAGCGUAGAUCGGAAGAAUCCAACCUGAAAACACACGAACGUAGGCAGGCAAUGACUAGAUCCGAGCACAUCCGCCAAAGACAAAUCUGAGACACACGUCCACCGACGAUGCUAGAUGCACCAUCGGGACGGGGGCUAGACGGGAGACUUUAUUUCAUCUUCAGGGAGUCGCAGUCAUCUCGUCCCCAUGAAAAGGACACAAACCCAAAUCAAACUAAGAACUCUAACUAAAAACGAAAGAACAUCCCUCACAUUGGCAACAACCGGGGUUCACCCGCACCUCCAUGGCCCGAAGACCUUCGGAGACAAAGCGGAUUGGCGGCACCGCCGAUGGGAGCUAGGCAAACCCUAAUGGCCUUUGUCGCUAGGAGCACGAGACGAAGGGGUACGUAGGAAGACCGGGUUCACUACAGGAUUACUCCCUCCGUUCGGAAUUACUUGUCGCGGAAAUGAAUGUAUCUAGACGUAUUUUAGUUGUAGAUACAUCCAUUUUCGAGACAAGUAAUUUCGAACAGAGGGAGUACCUACUAAAUUGGAUGUGAUUCUAAGGAUGAAUGUGAUUUCAAAAGAAAUAAACAGCUGGCUCCAUUUUCAUCAGUCUCUUGCAUUAAGAGUGGUCACAUUUUUUUAGAUUUCAAGGAAAAAAACUGUCUGAAAGCUUUACAAGGAAGAGACACAUCUGUGUGUGCACAUCAUCGUACACACGUGACACUCACACCAGUGCGCCCCCUCAUCAAAAUUGUUACUAUAACUCAUCCUGACUAGUCUCGAGCAUCAAAUUCCACAGUAGCAGCAAUAAUAGUACCACGUAGUACAAUGCCAAGUUGUCCAUCCAUUAUCAAAAGGAACACCCCCAAGAGAGAAAAAGGAAAACCCAGACUUUUGAUUUCUGUAUCUAGUUGACUAAUAAACAUGUAAAGGCAGACGGCUAGAUACUCUAGGCCCCUCCCCAAAGUUCAAAAGAGCAGCAAUCCUCUGUUUCAAAAGAGCAGCGUCCUCUGUUUCCGGAGGACGCUGAAGCAGUGCGACGCAAUGCUUUUCCAACAUUCAGUGUACCACGUGGACGUGGUCCGGGCGGGAAGACAUACACUCUCGUGCACGUAAUUAAGCGUGGACUCUGGUGCGGGCCGCACCCUCCUCUCCUCAUCUGACCCGUCGCAGGUGCCCCAACCACCUCGACCGACCGUCCCCAGAACAAAGGGUGUGAACUGUUCUUGCCCAAUGUCCAAAGUCACUCCGGCGUGUCCCUACCCUAGCUUCCACCGGUGUUAUCACGAGGUGACCUCCCGACAGUGUCGCAUACCACAUGCAUGGCAUUGGUAACAACCGGCUGGCGGGCGGCCGGUCAUGCAGCCAGUUAGCACACGCGCUCUACGCCCUGCGGUUGCCCGUGCGCACCGCCUGCGCGCGGCCACGCCCGCGCGCGCGUGCGCGAGCUAGAGCUGUCCGUGUCCAUCGCGGCGCACGCGGUAGGCGUGCCUAGACAGAGCGCCGGGUCCUAGGUUCCACGCACCCGUCCCUCCGUUCCUCCAUCUCGCGCACGCAACCGCGGGCAGACGCGACAGCGGAAGCAAAAAACACGCUCGAUUCCGGGGAAGCGAAUACGAUUACUGCACUGCACCGCACCGCGCGAUGGCCCCGGGGGACCGGGAGGGCGCACCGGCUCUUGAUCGCCGCGGCGCGACAUGUCCGAUCCCUUCCUAGUAAUAAAUACUCCUCCGAUCCGUGUAUGCCAAUUAUUUGCGGGGUGGCCGAGCUAGGGCAUGGUUAAAACGUGUGAUUGUGUGAACGGGGAAUACUGGCCGCGCAUGCAUGCACGUUGGUGUCCAAGUCCUGGGCGCGCGAUGGUGCUGGCGGUGGCGUGGGGCGUCCCUCGGCCGGUCCGGCCGGCAAGUUACUUAUUAUGGGCGGCCAGGACUGCCGGCCCUGCGGCGCGCGCGUUGCCGGCAACGCCACAUGCUGGCCGGACGCGUGCUUGCGCGCAUGCAUUGCACGCCCCGCUUCGUGCCAAGCUUACGAGUGUACUUCAGUAGGGCACCGUGGCCGGGCUCCUCUGCCGCGCAACUGUGUGGCGGUGCAUCCGCUUAUUAGUUGGCUCGCUGCAGCCACGUGCAUGUGGAUGCAUCAUGCAUAGCACGUCAUGCAUGUGUUGUGUGUAUGCUACUGUCAGGGAUUACUCGGAGGAAUUCGCAAGACGGGACCAGAACCAGAUGCAUCGAACUGGAGUCCUAGGACGUGCCAGUUCCGACGCGGACAACCAACCAACGCUUUGGGUUCAACGGAAAUGCUCUUCUUUGUUUAAAGGGAACCGAAACACUAUACUAGGCUAUUGGUACUAUAUAUACUCUCUCCGUUCCUAAAUAUUUGUCUUUCUAGAGAUUUCAACAAGUGACUACAUACGAAGCAAAAUGAGUGAUCCUACACUCUAAAAUAUGUCUACAUACAUCCGUAUGUGUAACCAUUUGAAAUGGGUAGAAAGAUAAAUAUUUGGGAACGGAGGGAGUACUUUCGAGAUAGAAAGAAAAAACUGUACUAGUUGUGUGGAAUGCGACCCGCCACAAGUGCCUCGGCCCACAUCGGAUUCAAGUGGCCUUGGGCUGGCAUUGCUCUCCCGGCCCUAUCUUUGAUCUGCAAUAGUGCCGCUGUUCCAAAAGAAGAAGAAAGAUUUUGCUCAAAACAAAGAAGGAAGAUUUAUCCAGAACUUGGUAAAUUCCCCUGGUCCUUCUCACCUGCAUGUUUCCUUUUACAGGCACGUCCGUUACACUAGGUGAAUGUUGACGUAGUGAUUGAGAAAAAUGAUGUAAAAGGUGUUGUUGCGGUCGUAGUAAAAAACAGAGAAGCCGAGUUCGUCGGUCACUUUUGAUGGACUUACAUAUCAUGAGAUACUUAAGGCUCUAGCUAUAGCCAAUGACCUUUUACUAUGCGGUUUGGUCAUCGCUUCAGAUUUUUUUUUUGUGGGUAAGACUUGUAUUAAUCAAUGAGCAAGAGAAAUACAAUCUAAUUUAUGACCUUUUACUAUGCGGUUUGGUCAUCGCUUCNNNNNNNNNNNNNNNNNNNNNNNNNNNNNNNNNNNNNNNNNNNNNNNNNNNNNNNNNNNNNNNNNNNNNNNNNNNNNNNNNNNNNNNNNNNNNNNNNNNNNNNNNNNNNNNNNNNNNNNNNNNNNNNNNNNNNNNNNNNNNNNNNNNNNNNNNNNNNNNNNNNNNNNNNNNNNNNNNNNNNNNNNNNNNNNNNNNNNNNNNNNNNNNNNNNNNNNNNNNNNNNNNNNNNNNNNNNNNNNNNNNNNNNNNNNNNNNNNNNNNNNNNNNNNNNNNNNNNNNNNNNNNNNNNNNNNNNNNNNNNNNNNNNNNNNNNNNNNNNNNNUUCUACCUUCGGUUAUGACGAAAUUAGCUAAAAAGUCGCUAACCACAUUCUGGUUGCGAUUGACAUAAUAAACUCUAGUUGUACGAAUGGACAUCAAAUGCUUAAUCUCAGUCACCAGGGAAGCAAAGAUUGAUCUCUCUAUGUCUCAGCCAUUAAUCAUGUUCACUAUGACUGUUGAGUCCAUUUCCACGAGUAUCGACAGCUCCGACCUCUAGAUUGCAAGGGAAAUACCCUCCAUGCAUGCACCCAGUUCUGCCUCAAGAGCAUUACGGCAGGAGAAGAGCUUUCUACACGACGAGAAAAUAAUAUUCCCCAGAUUGUCGCGUCACAGCAUGCCGGUUCCAGCAUUAUCAUUCUCAGUCCAAGAUCCAUCGGUGAUGAGCUUCACCCAGCCCGCCGGUGCAGGAGUCUACUUAACACGCAUUUUUUGCAUUUGUAAUUCAUGUGACGCUAUGUUCAAGUGAUCCAGGGAAAUAACAGCCUUUCCUUUUGCUUCAGAUUGCUUAUGAGUGAUAAAGGCUCUAGCUAUAGUCAAUGACCUUUUACUGCACAAUUUGGUCAUUGCUUCAGACUGUGCAUACGUGAUCAAGUCGCCGUAAGAUUGCACGGAAGGAGCUUAUGCGCAAAUCAUUCAUUCAUCAUGAGAUUAUUGUCACUAGUGCAUCUUUCGCGUCAAUCAAAGCCGUUCCUGACCCCCGCGUCGCCCCCCGCUCAUGCGACACGGGUGGUACUCCAACCCUAGCCGCCGCCGGGGCCGAUCCCUCUCCCUCCCUUCCUCCCGCCGCCGCCGGAGGACGCUGUUGGCCUGCGCCCGGUGGCCGACGGCUAUGGCUGGGGUUCUCCUCGCUCCCGUGUCUCAGGGGCGGUGCGGGCCCCCUAUGCGCGUGGAGGCACGGCCGAUCUAGCGAAGCGGCGGCGGCGGCCAUGGCUGCGGCGACGGCGGCGAAAGCCACUCCUGCCUCGCGGCUAGCGGUCUAUGUUGCGGCGGCGCAUCAUCCGGCUUUGGAUUGGCGGCGGCAUCGAGGGCCUGGUGGACUGCUUGGCGGCACCUCCAGUCAGAUCUAAUCUGGCUGGUGCAGCCGGCGGUGGUGGUGAUCUUCUCCGUCGGAGGUGGCCGGCUAGAGGCUGGGUGGUCGGAUCUCGAGAUCCGUCAUCUAGUCCUGACUGCGAGUUGGAAAGACAGAGUUGCCGGUGAAAACCGAGCCGACGGCAGGCGAUGGCGGCGUUCUGCGUCGUUACCUUGAUGAAGGCAUCGUCGUCGGCCCACUCGUGCUGCUCCGGGGGAAACCCUAGGAUCUGGUUUUCCAGAUCGGACGAUGGCGGCACGGCGGUGUCGUUCUUCUCUUGAGAGCAUCGUCUGUGGAGCAGCGCUAGAAGUCAGAGGUAGGAGGUGGAGCGGUUCCGCCUUACACGAGCUUCGCUCGAGAUGUCAAGUCAUGCCUGGCCAACAAGUGCUACGCUUUGUCAUGCCUGGUCGGCAGGUGCUACGCACGACAGAUCUUCCAGAGACUCCAAGCUGUGUCGGCUGGUGGUACUUGGCGGCAUGGUGUUGAGGUGUACCGGCGGCGACCGCGACGUGCUCAACAGUUGGCGCGCAGGGAGGUGGUGGCGUUGGACGCCGUGGUGGCGUCGACGGCAGCUAGACCGGGCAAGGAUCACUAGUAGAAAAAGGGUCAAAUGUCAAGCACAUUAGUGCCGGUUUGAUUUUAAGCCGGCACUAAUGUGUGCAUUAGUGCCGGUUCCAACGGCUAGCCGGCCGCUCUCAUUAGUACCGGUUUGUGGCUAACCUUUAGCACCGGUUCGUGCCACGGACCGGUACUAAAAUGAGUGGUGGCAGGAUGUUGUCAGUCCGGGGCCCCUCCAUCACCUUUAGUACCGGUUCGUGGCACGAACCGGUGCUAAAGGUCGUCCUACAUAAACCCUUCGUCCACCCGAGCUCGCUCUGUUCUUCCCCUUUCCCCUCUCCUCUCUGUUCUUCCCCUCUUCCUCUCGAGCUCAUCACACAUUUUGCCCAAAAUUUGUCAAGAUUUGAAAGCCCCCAUCCAUUCAAAUGAUCACAAAGGUUAGCAACUUUGUCCUUUCAUCUCUGAUUGCUAGAUUAGCUCUUGCAAUGCUUUGUAUAGUGAUUAAUUUAUGAGUUUAGUAAUUUGAGAGGAAAUAUAUGUGCUAGUAUUUGAUUUAUAUGCAAUUUGAGAUCAAAAAUAACACUUAGUUUGCAUAUGUAGGUGUGGUUUACUUAGUGCCUUCUAAAUCUCCGUCGUAACCACCGUCGAUCGCCCGCACCGUCCCGUCGCCGGCACCACCUUAUGGUGAGCCUCUUGUUCAUGAAUGUUUUACAUUACCAAAUUGAUGUUUGUGUGAUUUGGAUAUAUAGUUACUCAUAUAAUUAUUUUACCCGUACGUUGUUUGUUAUACAUAGUGCCAUGGUUUUGAUAUCCGUCCCCGUCGGCCCUCGUCCUUGUUAUGAUUCGGAUGUGUUAUAUUCUCUUUUAAAACUAGUUGUUGCAUUUCGUGUUUAUGACAAAUUAUAAUGCCCAUCAAGUUGACAUAGAUAUUUUUAUUUAGGAGGUUUGUGAACCGAAAAUUCCAACCGACCCUAUUGUCGAGAGGUUAAAUUUAGUUGAAAGAGAAAACAAGUAUUUGAAAGAAAAAUUGAAAAGAAUUGAAGGGGAGAAGAUGGAAUUGGAGUUGCAUGUUGCCGAUGUCGUCGAUGAUCACAAGAUCAAGAUGGAGAAAAUGCGCUUGAAGAUUAGAAAAUAUGCCAUUGAUAGUGAGGCUUGGUAUCAUUAUGCUGUUGGAUCAAUUGUUACCUUAGUUGCGAUCUUGAUCGCCUUUGUUGUUGCAUUUAAAUGUUUUAGUUAGAGAGUUAUUUGUUUGUUGCAUUUAAGUGUUGUAUGAACUUUAUGUAUGAACUUGUAUUAAUUUGGUCUUUUCGGUGUUGUGUAAUGAAGAUGAGCCGACAAUGGAUGUACGAUGACCGAUGCUCUCCCGAGUUCAUUAAUGGCAUGCAAACUUUUCUGCUUGCGGCUGAGGCAAACAAGCGGGCGGAUGGUUUUAUGCCUUGUCCAUGUGCUGUCUGUAAGAAUGAUCACAAUUACUCUACGUCAAGAACCAUUCACGUCCACCUGUUUAAGUCUGGUUUCAUGCCCCACUAUAAUGUUUGGACCAAGCACGGAGAAAGAGGGGUUAUGAUGGAAGACAAUGAAGAAGAAGAGGACGACGACAGCUAUCCUGGCCAUGGGUUCCCUGAAUACGAUGAUACAACAAUGGGGGAAGAAGCUGAGCCGACAAUGCGGGAAGAAGCUGAAGAAAGGCAUCAGAUGAGCCCGCUGAUGAUCUAGGUCGGGCCAUUGCCGAUGCAAAGAGAAACUGCGCAAGUGAUUUGGAGAAGAAGAAGUUGCAGCGCAUGUUAGAGGAUCACAAGAAAUUGUUGUACCCGAAUUGCGAAGCUGACAAGAAAAAGUUGGGCACCACACUGGAAUUGCUGCAAUGGAAGGCAGAGAAUGGUGUAUCUGACAAGGGAUUUGGAAAGUUGCUGGUAAUGAUAAAGAAUAUGCUUCCAAAGGACAACGAAUUGCCCGAGAGUACGUACGAAGCAAAGAAGGCUGUCUGCCCUCUAGGGUUAGAGGUGCAGAAGAUACAUGCAUGACCUAAUGACUGCAUCCUCUACCGCGGUGAGUACGAGGAUUUGAACGCUUGCCCGGUAUGCGGUGCAUUGCGCUAUAAGAUCAGCCGCGAUGACUCUGGUGAUGUCGAGGGCGACCGCCCUAGGAAGAAGAUUCCUGCCAAGGUGAUGUGGUAUGCUCCUAUAAUACCACGGUUGAAACGUUUGUUCCAAAACAAAGAGCAUGCCAAGGCGAUGCGAUGGCACAGAGAAGACCGUAAGAAAGAUGGAAAGUUGAGAGUACCCGCUGACGGGUCGCAGUGGAGAAAAAUCAAGAGAAAGUACGGAAAAGAGUUUGCAGAUGACGCAAGGAACGUAUGGUUUGGUCUAAGCGCUGAUGGCAUUAAUCCUUUUUGGGAGCAGAGCAGCAACCAUAGCACCUGGCCUGUGACUCUACGUUUGUAUAACCUUCCUCCUUGGUUGUGCAUGAAGCGGAAGUUCAUUAUGAUGCCAGUGCUCAUCCAAGGCCCUAAGCAACCCGGCAACGACAUUGAUGUGUACCUAAGGCCAUUAGUUGAAGAACUCUUACAGCUGUGGAAUGGAACAGGUGUACGUGCGUGGGAUGAGCACAUGGGGGAAGAAUUUGACCUCAAGGCAUUGCUGUUCGUGACCAUCAAUGAUUGGCCUGCUCUCAGUAACCUUUCAGAACAGACAAACAAGGGAUACCGCGCAUGCACGCACUGUUUGGAUGAUACCGACAGUAUAUAUUUGAAUAAUUGUAAGAAGAAUGUGUACCUGGGACAUCGUCGAUUUCUUCCGAGCAGGUAUCCCGUAAGAAAGAAAGGCAAGCAUUUCAAAGGUGAGGCGGAUCACCGGACGAAGCCUCGCCACCGUACUGGUGCUGAUGUACAUGAUAUGGUCAAGGAUUUGAAGGUAGUCUUUGGAAAGGGUCCUGGCGGACAACCUGUUCCGAAUGACGCUGACGGACGCGCACCCAUGUGGAAGAAGAAAUCUAUAUUUUGGGACCUGCCCUAUUGGAAAGACCUAGAGGUCCGCUCCGCAAUCGACAUGAUGCACGUGACGAAGAAUCUUUGCGUGACCCUGCUUGGCUUCUUGGGCGUGUAUGAGAAGACAAAAGAUACACCUGAGGCACGGGAGGACCAGCAACGUAUGCACGGAAAAGACGGCAUACAUCAAGGUCAUGCCAGCUACGCUCUUACCAAAGAAGAGAAGGAAAUCUUCUUCGAAUGCCUGCUCAGUAUUAAGGUACCGUCUGGCUUCUCGUCGAAUAUAAAGGGAAUAAUAAACAUGGCAGAGAAAAAGUUCCAGAACCUAAAGUCUCAUGACUGCCACGUGAUUAUGACGCAACUGCUUCCGGUUGCAUUGAGGGGGCUUCUACCGGAUAACGUUCGAUUAGCCAUUGUGAAGCUAUGUGCAAUUCUCAAUGCAAUCUCUCAGAAGGUAAUCGAUCCAGAAAUCAUACCAAGGUUAGAGAAUGAUUUGGUGCAAUGUCUUGUCAGUUUCGAGUUGGUGUUCCCACCAUCCUUCUUCAACAUCAUGGCGCACGUCCUAGUUCACCUAUGCGAAGAGAUUAACGUUUUGGGUCCUGUAUUUCUACACAAUAUGUUCCCCUUUGAGAGGUUCAUGGGAGUCUUAAAGAAAUAUGUUCAAAACCGUGCUAGGCCAGAAGGAAGCAUCUCCAAGGGCCAUCACAAUGAGGAGGUCGUUGAGUUUUGUAUUGACUUUAUUCCUGACCUUAAGCCGAUUGGUGUUCCUGAAUCGCGGCAUAAGGGCAGACUGGAGGGAAAAGGCACGCUAGGAGGGAAUCAACUAAUAUGUAUGGACGGACAUUCUCUCACUGAAGCACACUGCACAAUUCUACAGAAUUCCGCCUUGGUAGCUCCGUUUAUGGACGAACACAAGAAUUUUCUACGCUCCAAACACCCGGAGCGGUCUGAUGACUGGAUUACACGUGAACAAACCAGGAGUUUCGCCGGCUGGUUGCAGACACGUACCAUGCAUGACGCCUCUAUUGAAGAUGACCUGUACUCGCUGUCCCAGUUACCAUCUUCUAAUAUAAUGACUUUCAAAGGGUACGAGAUAAAUGGUAAUACAUUUUACACGAUCGCCCAAGAUAAGAAGAGCACCAACCAAAAUAGUGGUGUCCGCUUCGACACAACAACCAAGACGGGAAGGGAAACAUAUUAUGGUUACAUAGAGGACAUAUGGGAACUUGACUAUGGACGUGGUUUGAAGGUCCCUUUGUUUCGGUGCAAAUGGGUCAAUAUGGCACGAGGCGGGGUAACGGAAGACCCGCAGUACGGAAUGACAACAGUGGAGCUCAACAAUCUUGCGUAUGCAGACGAACCAUUCGUCCUAGCCAAUGAUGUGGCACAGGUUUUCUAUGUGAAGGACAUGUCUAUCAAGCCGAGAAAAAGAAAAGAUAAGGAAGCUAAUGCAUCAUACGAUGAGCCAAAGCGCCACAUAGUUCUUUCUGGGAAGAGAAACAUCGUGGGAGUGGAUGACAAGGCAGACAUGUCAGAAGAUUAUGAAAAGUUUGAUGAAAUUGCUCCAUUCACAGUGAAUAUUGACCCGAGCAUCCAGUUAAAUGAUGAAAAUUUUCCAUGGCUACGGCGCAAAGGGACACACGCGAAGAAAAAAGUUUCACACCCAAAGAUCUGGGAUGUGAUCGGCUUCACUAUCAUCACUUUCUUCUGUGUUUCACACCCAGGAGGGAAUCUCUGUAAUAGUUAGGGUAGUUAUGUGUUUUGACAUUUGAAACGCGAAGAAAUUUUAUGUGCAAACAAAUUCUUUCAUGCAUUUACUUAUUUUUCAGCUAAAUGACCCUGAAAUUGAAAAGCAUUUCAAAUGAACUCAGAAAAGGUUGAAAGUUGGCAUGAUAUCAUAAUUUCACCCACAUAGCAUGUGCAAAAAGUAGAGAGGGUUACCGCAAAAACUGGAUGCACUUCGUGUACAAAAUGGACAAUCUCUUUCGAAGUAUCAGGGUUUCGGACGAAAACUCAUCUGUUACAAAGGCAUUUCAUUUUUUAAAUAACCUAAGCAUUACCAAAUUGAAUAUAAUGAUAAAACACACUAAUAUUAAACAUAAGAAAAAAGAAUCACUAAAAAAUCUAUUUUCAAAGUUAAGUUAUUCACAAACUAGUGAUUCACACAAAUUUCAAAUAAUUCAAAAUUUAAACUAUCCAAAUUUGAAAACUACCGGCACUAACAUUUUUUGUACCUAAAGCAAAAAUAUUCACAAAGAAACUCUAAAUACAGCAAAAAAACAACUCAAAAAUAAAUAAACCAAAAAAAUAAGAAAAUUAAAAAGCCCACCUACUGGGCCAGAGCGGCCUGCAUACGACUAGAAACCCAACCUGUAGUUGGGCCAGGAUGCAGGCCCGCAAGCCCACUAGGCCCACAGGCAGAGUAGGAGAGGUAGGCCCAGAAGGCCUGCUUUUGAGAGGAGCUCAAUGCAGUGCCCGCGCCGGGGCUUAUAAACUGGUAUUGGCGCUCCUCAACUAGCGAGGUGGGACUAAACUUCUGCGCCCCUCGCCUGGCAGCGCACACCCUUUAGUACAGGGUCGUGGCUCCAACUGGUACUAAAGGGGGGGUCAUUAGUACCGGUUGGUGCCACCACCCGGUACUAAAGGGGGGCGCUUCCCGCCGAUUGGCCUGGCCAAAACAGACCUUUAGUACCGGUUGGUGGCUUCAACCGGUACUAAAGGUGCGUUCUGUAUAAGAAAACACUUCAAUUUUUUUUCAGUUUCUCAUCUCUCCCUCUGCUUCUUUCUCCGUCGCCGCCACCCCCGUCGCCGUCCGUGUCGCCGUCCGUCGCCGUCCCCGUCGUCGUCCCCGUCGCCGCGCCCCGCCCCGUCGUCCCGCCUGGCCCGUCCCCGUCCCCGUCGUCACUGCCCGUCUCCGUCCCCGUCGCCGCCCCCCGUUGCCGCGCCUCGCCGGUGAGCUCCUGCCCCGGCCGCCAUGUCCACACACACACACAUUGUUUUUUAGUUAUAAAUUUUAGUUAUAGAAAUUCUUCUGUUUUUUAGUUAUAGAAAUAUUAAAAAUGUUAUAGAAAUGUUAGUUAUAUAGAAAUGUUAUAAAUUUUUCUGUUUUUUAGUUAUACAAAUAUUUAUAGAAAUGUUAGCAAUUUUUCUGUUUUUUAGUUAUAGAAAUAUUAGAAAUGUUAUAGAAAUGUUAGUUAUAUAUAUAGAAAUGUUAGAUUUUAGAAUUAGUUUUAGCUAGAUGAAUUAGAUUAAUGUCAAAUUGUUAGAAUUUGCAUAUAGAAUUUUAGUUAUCACAAUCCAAUCAUUUAAAAAAUGUUACUUUUUGCGGGCAUAUAGUAUUUGUUCUCAACGAUGCCCGGCCCGCAUCCUCGCCGUCGACCCGUUCACGACGACGUCCGGCUGACCCAUGUCCGGGACUGGGCUCCGCCGGGCUGGCACUGGGAGGUGCUACCUGGAGGGGUGCGCCGCUUGGUGAGGAACCCGGCCUCGGGUCCCGUCGUCGACCCUGGUCUCCUUUGGUGGCGUUCGCGUGGGCCACAUUCGGUGCAGAGGGAGCCGGCCCCGCCGGAGGUGGUGCGUCGCCGUGUCAGGGAGGAGGACGAGCACGUCCAUCGCUACAUGGCUGCUAUGGACGUCAGGUUCUCCAAUACCUGGCAGGUUCUUUGGGCAGAUGACCGAGAUAUGAUCCUGUGAUGGUUCCUUCUCUUUGGGUGUCCACCGCUCGCGCCCCAGGAAUCGCGAGUGGCCUAGAUUCUUAUAUAGUAUUCGAUCUUUAUUAGCUACCUAGCCAGUGAUGUAUUCGAUAUAUAAUAUUUGAGACGAUGUAUUCGAGGUUAUAUAUAUUAUUCGAGACGAUGUACUCGAGAUUAUAUAUCAUUCGAGACGAUGCAUAUUAUGUACUAUAUGAUUCAGUUUUUCCUUAUUGAUUGCAUCCAUGCAUUGUAAUUUGAAUACUAGAUUGUUUUAUAUUUCUUCUGUAUUAUUUAAGUAAAAGCUAUGGCGGACAAUACCGGCAGAGAGAGAGAAGAGGAAUUGUUCGAGAUCAUACGCAGCCCUCGCAGGCUAGAUGAUCUGAAUGAAACAGAUGACGGCUCCCAAUAUCUGAACAAUACCGGGGAGGGUGAUGAUAAGAUAUUCGAUCUCGACGACCGAGCUGAUGAAUUCAUGAACUAUGAUUAUGAUUAUGAUGACGCAGACAAUGUUUAUGAUGACACAGACAAUGUUGAUCUUGAAAUAACAAAGACUACCGGCGAGGUAUAUUUGUAUAAGCAGGCAUCUGGUGAUCAUCACAUGUUUUUUUGAUUUGAAGAUAUAUUAACGAAUCGAUCUUUCUUCUUUCAGCCCUCCGAAUCGAGCAAAUCUGCUUCUACAGACAGCAGGACAAAGCGAGGCCCGGGCAAAAAGUUGAAGGAGGGUGUAAAGUACAACAUCGACUCCAUCAAAGCUAAUGGCGAACCCCUCACGCCUAAGAACAUUGCGAACAAGUGGACUCGUCAGUGCGGAGUUCUUGUGAAGGACCAACUCCUGAUCUCCAUUCAAGAAUGGAAAGAGCCAAAAACUAAACGCCCAGAUGUUACUUGGGUCGACGACAGAGCAAAACAAAAUCUUUGGGAAUCUCUGAUGGAACAUUUCACCCUACCAGAUUAUUUCACUGAUGCAGAUGUGCAGAAAGUCAAGAACGCUGCUCUUAAGAAGAUGGCAAUUGCAUUCAACACCCACAAGAAAACUGUAUGGGCCAACUACCUCGCUGCAGAAAGGAAGACUCCAGAAUUCAAGAGAACACUGGAGAAGCAAAGAGAACACUGGCCCGCUUUCGUGAAAUUCAAGGAAUCAGAAUUAUCUAAGGAACGGUCGAGAAAAAACAAGGCCAAUGCCGCAAAAAAGACGCAGUUCCAUAGGCUGGGGCCAGGUGGCUACGCGGUGGCGAUGCCUAAGUGGGAUAAUUCUGAGCAAGAGAUGGAGGAUGCAGGGGUCACUCCGGUUACUAGGAGCUGGCCCCCCAGGUGCAGAACUUGGUUCUAUGCGCAUGGGGGGGCGUUGGACCCGAAGACAGGCCUGGUUUCGAAGAAGGCAAGUCUAAAAGGAGCCGAACAAAAGUUACUUGACGCAGUAGAAGAUGCUCGAAAGGGGGUGUUCACACCCAACAGAGAGAACGACGAGCUUACGCGCGCCCUGGGAAAUCCUGAACACCCGGGAAGAACACGUGGUAAGGGCGUUAUUCCCUGGUAUGAGGGCUUUUCGGAAUGGAACGACGACUACAGGACCCGUGCAAGAAAGAAGAUGGAGGAGGAGCAGAGGAAGCAGGACGCAGAACGCCUUAAAGGCCUAGAAGCAAGGCACGCAGACUUGGCACUCACAUUCCAGCAGCAGCAGCAGCGGAUCGACUCACUUAGCCAGGAAAGGGGGUCUCAGAAGCGGCAGCAGCAAGCAGAUGAUCGUCCAGCAUUGGAUAGCACCGUCCCAUCCAUGCCGAGAAGCAGCGUUGGUUCCGCCCCGGGCGACGCACUGCUGGAUACAUACCCUGUGGAUGACAUCAUAGAGAACACUAACUGUGAGCUACACUUCAAAAUGAAGAACAUAUCCAUGAAGCAACCUUCCAUUGCACCCCGAUUCCAGUGGGCUAUGCUCGUGUCUUGGUUGAUGAGGUGGUGGACCCAUAUUCGGGACUACAUCUUGACAUUCCUGGAGGUGACGACGAGCACACACUAGGAGAGGCCAUACAUCGUAUCAUCCUAUGGAGAAAGGAUUGCAUAGUCUUUCGAAGUCCACCGACACCGCGUCUGCCGACUCCUCCUCGAAGUCCGCCACCAGGUCAGCAGACUCCCGCUCCUCCAAGUCCACGAACGCGUGAGCCGACUCCUCCUCGAAGUCCGCCACCGUGUCAGCAGACUCCCGCUCCUCCAAGUCCACGAACGCGUGAGCAGACUCCUGCUUCAAGUCCGGCACAGCGUCAGGCCACUCCUCCUGUUUCAAGUCCGACACCGUGUCAGGACACACCUCCUGCUUCAAGUCCGGCACAGCGUCAGGCCACUCCUCCUGCUCCAACUCAGCCACGUCAGCCGUCUCCGCCGCCUAAGCAAUUGCAGAAGAGACACGCCGCAGCUAUGGUGCGUAGCGGUAAGAGUCGAGGUAGUACAGGAAGUACAGGCGGAGACAAGCGAUAUAAAUAUGGUCCAAGCAGCCUCGCUCCUCUUCCUCAGAGGCCUUAUGACAUGACCGAGGAGCAAAACACAGCCAUAGUGCGGGCCGAAGUGGACGCCCAUUUUGGACCGAAACCGGCACCGCCGCCGAGGGAGAAAGUGCCUGAGGAAAAGAUUGACCACUUCAUUCAUAUGGCUAGACCACCAGCUCCCAAGCCUGUUGACUCAGAUUAUGAGCGCCAAAUCAGGAAGGCACAUCGAGCACGACUACAGAAAGAAGCGAGCUCGAGCUCGAGCCAACAAGCAGCUGCCAAAAAAUGCGGGAAAACCGUUCCCCAGCUGGGAGAACAGGCGGCGCAAUCGAUCCCCCCGCUUGUUGUGCCAACAACACAUGAGAGUACGCGCGCCCAAUAUUAUUGUGGGCAAACUGUUAACGUUCCCCAGCUGGGCGAUGUGGUAAUAACCGAGGAGCAUAUAAUGCAGGCUGAAAUGCUCAAGAUCGCUGUUGGACAACUCCUCGAGAUCGAGCCCAUGUCUCCCCUUAGAGAGGAGGAAAUAAAACGGAAAUAUGUCUGGGGCCAACCUUUGGUCGAGCCCGAGGAGGUCAAUAACCUCCCAACGAGAAUGUAUGAAUUGCAUGAUUGGUACAUGAAAAUUACCAAGAGUUUCAAUCGAGAGUCCCUCAUGGUGCAAGUCAAGGAAGAGCAUUACUUCCAUAAGAAAGCUCUGUCUGUUGAGUAUUCAGAACUAUUUCAGUUAUUCAAUCAAGAUGCACUCGACAAAUCUAUCGUCGGUUGCUAUUGUCUAUAAGUGAUUUCUUUCUGUAAUUUAAUUCUCAAGCUAGCUCUAGUGCUCAUUGAUUGAUCAUUAAUUACCUGUAAUUAUAUAUCCUUGCUAUAUAUUCUUUUCUGUGGUAUUAUGCAGGAUGAAGAUGUAUGAAAUGAAAAAAGCUGGACGCUAAGGCAUUGGGUUCAUUGACCCAAACACCGUUAAUGAAUACACAUGGAAAUUGGAAUGGUGUAGACAAGAUGUAGAGAAAAACAUGCUAGAGUUCUUGAAGCGCCUCAAUACCAAUGAAGAUAUACUACUUCCUUACAACUUCGAGUGAGUCACACUGUCUUGUACUACAAAUUCUGUUUUUGCUUACUAGCUAGAUGUUAAUAAGUGUAUAGGGUUUAGGGUUAUAGUUGAUUAGUGUUAUGCACAUGCCCGCUUAAUUUAUACAUGCAAACGUAUGCGCAUGCAGGUACCACUGGAUCUUGUUAGACAUUAAAGUUGAAGAAGGAAAAGUUAAAGUACUGGACUCACAACUUAAAAAAGAAAGUGACUAUAGCAUCGUGAAGGGGAUAGUCAACAGGUAAUUUCAGUCAUUAUUAACUAUAUCUCGGCCUCUUUAGUUCGUCAUUUCCUGAUAUGAACUAUUUAAAAACCCCUUUAUUAAUUUUCUUUGCCGGCGGGCAGGGCUUGGGCAAAGUUCAUCAAGGUGACUCCAGGAAAAUGACGAGAAAAGCUAUUUUGGUAUCGACCCAAGGUAAGUAAUUAAGUAGUACUAGCUAGCUAGCUACCAUCUCUUUAAUUCUUGUUUCAAUGCCAUUAAUUAAUUAUCAUGCUUGAUUAAUUAUUAUCUGAUUAAAUUCAAUUCUCGUAAAGGCCCUGAAGCAGGCGCCGGGGAGUGAACUAUGUGCAUUCUACGUUUGCGAGAACAUUCGCAUGAUGGCGUCCGAAAGGAGCAGAUCUGAUAGACAGGACUGGGUACGUUUGUCAGAAACUAUUCACAAAUUUUUACACCAUUAUCGAUAUCUAGUCACACAACUAAUACACAGGCAUAUUGAUCUCCUUCUUAACAGUUCAUAGAGGUGCGUGAGCAGCUCCUACCAACGGAGCGCAUACUAGCACUUCAAGAGGAAAUAGCGGGAUUUUUGCUCGACCAGGUCAUAGAUCCCAAAGGAGAAUACUAUUACCCGCUACCGCCCCAUGAACCACUUGUCAUCGUGCUCCGAAGGCACCAAGGCAAAAUGUAGGAGAAAUUGUAUAUAUACACACACACACACACAUGUGUAUGUGUGAAUAAUUAAUGAUGGUUGUGAGACAUUCGAUUAUAUAUAUAUAUGAUCGGUUCUACGAGAAAAUCUAUUUAUAUAUAUGCAUAACGUGUACAAUAUGUAGUAUCGUAAAAUACCAGCAAACAAAAAAGAAUUAAAUGGAAAACACAAAAUUAAUGAAAAAUAUAAAAAUUGAAACCAAAACCCCCUCAAACAUUUAGUACCGGUUGGUGCUACCAACCGGUACUAAUGGUCUACCAGCACCCGGGCCUGGCUCGUGCCACGUGGUGGCACUUUAGCGCCGGUUCGUGCCGAACCGGUAGUAAAGGGAGGGGGGCCUUUAGUCUCCACUCUUUAGUGCCGGUUGCAGAACCGGCACUAAAGGCCCUUACGAACCGGCGCUAAAGCCCGGUUCUGCACUAGUGGAUAAUGUGGCAGUACAGCUCUGAAGUUGGAGUGGUGGCAGUUGGUGGCGGCGGCCUCUGAGAGCGCGCCGGACCGGUGUGUGCCCCAUACCCGGCAAGUGGCUUGGUUGGGGUAUCAGGUCUUAGAUGUUAGUCUUGGCUGCGAGGUAUGUGGUAUUAGGCCCGGACUAUCAACAUCGCUUCAUCAAUUGGAUCGGAGCAGCGACAGAUGUUGCCUAGACGGUGGAUUCAGACUUAUUGUUGUAUUUACUUUAUAAGAUUUUGUGUGAAUAAUUAAUAGAAUGACUGCAUGCAUCGCCCAGAUGCAGAGGCCGGAGGCCGUCCUCCUUUUCUAAAAAAACAAAAAACAAAAGAAACUGGUGCAUCUUUCAAUGCAGUGUCCCUUGUUCAUGGAAAAGGGACAUUGAAUAUGGAAACUCGUAGAUUUGCUCGUAGUGCCGUUAGCGAUGAUUGUGCACUCUGUUUAUGGAAACACAUGGCGAUCUCUCUCCCUCCCCAAUUGCCUGAUCGCUCUAGUGCACCCCGCUUACCUGCAGUGGAUGCACUGAACCAGAAACCCCUCCGAGGCCCAAGGCGAUUCUCCCUGAGCACUCGUGGAACUCACACGGCCAGUGCUCCUACCAACUGAACAAACACCAGUUCGUGCAUCGAACCUCAGUUUAAAGCCGCCACUCGUACACACGCGACUCACGUGGCUUCCAGCAGAGAAUGUGCCGCCGCCCGUACACGGAGGCGGGCAGCCCGAUGGUCUUUGGAAUCUGGCAUCAGGACCGCAAACAGUCACACACGUACUAGUACUGAUGGUCCAGGUCGAUCAAAGGCAUCCAACCGACCCGACCGAGAUGUAUUUCCCGACCCCAAGACCCGACCGAGAUGUAUUUCCCGACCCCAAACAGUACAGACAGCAUCACACAUAACACGACGUGCAAAUCGCAUUCGGCCCCUCCUCCAGCCGUGGGAGCACCGGCACUCCAGCAGUAAGUUUACAGGGGGGCCGCGCGAAUGCGACCAAUGGCGUUAUGCAGCCGAACAGUCGGCACGUACAGUUUUCUGAUGAACCGUGACAAGCGACCCUCACUUGUGUGCUACACACACACACACACACACACACACACACACACAUUUGUUUCUUUCUGAUUUUUGCCUAGGCCGGUCCGUGCCUUACGGGCUAGGCGAUUUAUCAGUUAUAUAUAUACUCAGUGCUGGUGAGACUGGUGGUGCUAUCCGAUGAUCUCACUCAUCUUGCCUUUGUUGGCUGGUUGCAUCCCUGCUUUCGCCCUUGUUUAUGGUGAUUUGAAAGAACAUCCUUAUAAUACCACCUCGCCAUGCAAGUUGCAGCCACAAUCUCAUUGCGGGUACACAUGUAGAGCAGCAUAUUUCCUCUUCUUUAUGCGCAUGGAACCAACGUCCCGUCGCCUAAAGGAAAGGGAAGGGAGAAAAGGAUCGUCGACAGACAGAGAAAGAGCGAAGGCGUGGCUGUAGGUCGACCCCUACGUGACAAAAUUUUCUCUUGUCGUGCUACCCGUCAGUCGGCCAGUAGACGGACUAGUAGUAGUAGUGUUGUUAGUACACAACGCCCCUGAGGCUUGAGCUAGCUUAGCUGUGCCUGUGCGUAAUCAUGCCUACCUGGACCCGGGCCUGGACCAUGGCCCGUAGAUCAGAGCCCGGCAAGCGUUGCAGCAGGGCAGGAUCCCCCAUAUCACCCCAAGUACUAUGUUGUUCCCUCGUGGAUCAUCUUUUCAUGAAGUUGCAUCCCCUCUUUCAUCAUCUUUCACACGGGCCCUUUUCCUCUUUCACUUCAGUCCGCACAAUCUGAAGUUCUGAUCACCUGGCGCGGCAGCCAUUGGCCGCGCAAUCCGAUGGACGCUAGCGCCUGCACGUAGGCCUUCGCUGUUUGCUCCACGACCCACUGUCCAUUGGCCCCCGUAAUUAUUCACCUUGUCUCUGUAGUUGCCGCCCGCCCGGCCAUAUAUCAAACCCUCAGCUCAGGCGGUGGGUGGCAAGUUCCUGUCCCGUCUCUCCGCACUAUUAUCACAUAGGUGCACAAGUAUCUCCUCCCAAACAUGCCUGUCGUCGACGGUAAUAAGAUGGAUCGAUCGACCUGCCCGCGUACGCAGAACACUCCCAUCCACCCACUUGAUCGUUUCACUCUCUGCCCCCUCCCUCUCCAGGUUGCUGUAUGAGCCCCCGUCGACAAUCUGUCGGUAAAAAGGACCCCUAACUUACCACGAUUCGACGGCGACGGCCUAAUUGUCUCUCUGUUAAUUUCUUUCCAUUCAUCGAUGGAGAUGUUUCGGUUUACCAUGAGCUAUCAAGUACAUAGAGCUGAUACAGCAUAGUCUUCUCGCGUGUUAUACGUACGAUCGGGUCGUCUCAUGAUUAUGAAUAACGCCAACCACGCGCAGCUCGCGCGUAGUCCACUUGGUGGCUUCGUACCGCAUGGAUGCGACGGCCAUGCAUUACGCGCGCAUGCGCACGGCGAAGUGGAGACGUUGAGUCGCUCGACUGCGACCUGCCCCCCUGCGGCGGACGUAUCUGUACGAGGCGUAGCAAAUAUUCUACAUGCCGCCGAACACCUGUCCGGCUAAUCACAUUGUUUUCAUGCAUGGUGACUAGUACUGGUGUGCGUGUUUUGGUGAAAAUUAAGGAACCUGCCCUCGGAUAACAUACUUAUACCACGGCCUGCAAAUUACAAACUUCGUCGUUUAGUCCACUAGCUUAUCCGCGCGCGCGUGUGUGUAUACGGAUACUGAUCCGAAAAGGUCAAUCAUUUGAGGACUUCACUAACCCGACGAGUGUCCGGUUGUUAAUUAACUCGAAGUUAACUACGACUUGAUCUGGCUGUCCUACACGUACGAACUCAGCUGCCAGACGUGAUUGUGGUACGUACUAUCCAGUCCAGUCCGAGGCUCCAGCUGUAGAUGUUAAUUGGCAAUCAAGAGCGUUCCGACCUGACGUGCAUGUAAAGUAGUUUUCGUUUGACUUUGCGCGGGAACGCAAAACAAACACACAUCAUCGUCGGAAAACGAUCGCAUCGGAAAGGGAGACGGCGAUGCAUGCCCGUCUGCAUGAGCAGCUCACACUGCUCCUCCGAUCGACGUCCAACUGUGCGGCCCCUACAGAAUCCACCCAUCGACGAUCGUAUUCGAUCGCUAGCUAGCUAUAGCCAUAGCUAGGUCACCGCGGCGUGUCUUUUCGGUGGCGGCCGAAUAUUAAACUCGAGGGAGAUGUUGGUCGCCGGUGGCCAUCGGCGUGACAAUCACCCCCGGCCCGGGUGAAACAGCGUCCGUGCAUGGGAGACAAAUUUUUAUUCAGGUGAUGGCGCGCUUUGGCGUCGACAUGGCAACAGCCGUCGACGACCACGACCGGCGAUAAAUUUAGACUCCAACAGUUGGCAUUAUUUUCCGUGUGCAGCACUUCACGGAAUCGGCUGGGUGAAAACGUGAGUGCCCGAAGAAGAAGCGGGCAAAAAGGGUGGACACGCCAUGGGAACUUAGUUGGCGUGAUGGCGAUGCGCCGAGGAAAUAAUGGACGCGCGCAGACCCUGACAUCAACGCAUAGUACAUCUUUAGUUGGAAGUUGGAGUCUUAAGCCUCACUAUAUAACCAUUUUGCGAAUAUUGGUACAUUGGUAGUUCGGACGAGGACACGUACUAGUACCAGUCUCCUGUUACGAUACGUCGUUAGCAACUUUUUCCUUUUGGGAAACAUCGUUAGCAACUUAACGCAUGGACGUGGGGCGCUGGGGCAGGCUUGGGCGCAAAGGAAAAAUGAGAGAACGGAACGGACGGUUGUAAGACGACGAUAAUGAUAAGAUGAUCUGGUCCCCCGUGAUGAGAUGGAUACAUACAGUUAGGUAGGAGAAACACGGACCGAAUGGAGUACUAUGACAAGAGCGCAAGCUUUCUACUCUGGUACUCCGGAUGGAUAAGGUGGUUGGCUACGUCGACGACUGCGGCGCCGAAAAUAAAUAUCUGAUCAAGCGGCCAGUUAUAUUACUUCUUCCGUAAACUAAUAUAAAAACGUCCCUUGAACUUUUGAUCCAGCAGAGGGUCGAGGGAGAGUUCCGCCAGCACGAUGGCAUGGUGACGGUAAUGGUGAUGUGAUCCGUGCAGGGCUUCGCCUAAGCACUACGACGCUGUGACCGGAUGAGUAAACUGUGAAGAGGGCACCGCAUACGGCUAAGAGAACAAUUGAUGUGUCUUGGGAUGCCCCUGCCCCCGUAUAUAAAAGAUGAGGGGAGGAGGCCGGCCACUAGGGGCGCACCAUGGAGGGGGAGUCCUACUAGGAGGGAGUAGAUUACAAAUCCUAUGGUCCAAACUCAUACGCAGAGGUUCAAGCAGGGGGCACGCGCGGACGAACAAGAGCAAUAUUUACUCGGCCACCCGUUGCGUGUCACGUGCAUGGAUUCCUUCGGUAUGCUACGUACGUACGACCCCGGGCCAUGGAUGGGCGCGUAGCCAUUGGUGGUACUCCUGCCUGCCAGUGCCAGCCAUCCUGCGCGCGGGCAAGGCAAAGGCAUGCACCGCGGGAUGACAGCCAGGUGGGCAGCUUUCCGCUCUGACGACGCGCGGCCUGGGGCCAUAUCAGUUGUGCAGUUGGCCGGGCGGCAGCGACGUACGUUGCUCCCUGGCCACCCAUAAUAUCCGCCCCGUCGUGCGCCACUCCAUGGCCUCGCCCGUACGGCGCGACGUAGCCCGUACCGGCUGUGUACCCUUUGGCCUCAUUCGCCAGCCUGGCCUGCCCGCAUAGAUGCAGCGGCUGGCCGGCCGGCUCGCGGCGACUGCAGCUGCAGCUGCAGGCAAAGCUGUUCCUAGUUUUACCAUCUCAUCGCCACCCAGCCCAGGCCAGAGUAACUUGACCGGGGCACGCAUACCGUCCGGUGUAGUGCGACUGGUCCACGCAUCUGGUGCGAUGGGGAAGAGCACGUCCAAUGUUUGCUUGGCAGGCAUCCUCGGCCCGACGUGAGCAGGGCGAGGUAGUACGUACCAAUGGGGGAGCAGGGCAGGCGGCAUAGUGAUGGGAACGGCAGCCUGGUUCAUGCUGUGGUUUUCAAUCCACACUAUGCGAUAUAAUGAGUGCUUUGACCGCUAUGUGCGUGGCGGCAAUGCCAUCCGUCUUCAAUAAUUGGCACAACUUGGUCUGGAGCAGUGAACACCAAGAUUUGUAUUGCGACUACUCGUGUCCAGGCCAUCGAGGGUCUUCUCACGUACUCUAUCCGGUGUGAAAAAUGUUUGUACGGACGUCACGCGCGCAUUUCUACUGUUUUAGUUGUGCACUUCACUCUACUACUCUACUGGCCAGUACUCCUACUGUACAUAGGCAUUGGGUGCAGGAGAAGAGGAGGAGGCAGUGGUCGCACGACUGUGCACCAACCGAUCCAGCAGGCAAUAAAAGAGGCGACUGGGCAACGGCGCUCUGUCGACCAUAUCCACACACCGAUCCUCCUCCUCCACGGUUGGUCAAAGUCCCCCGGCUCCCAAGAUUCUGAAGGGAGACGUCGACGCUCAAAAGAGAAGGAGGCGCGUGCGGCCAUGCAGCUGUAGCUUGAGGCUCUCUCCGGCUGUCUUCACAUCCGGCUCCAUCAGGCUGUCUUCACAUCACAGGAGACGCGUACUACCAGCAUGUAGCUGUUCCCAUGGAGCGGGCCGUACUUGGUGGCUACGAGUACUGUUGAGCUCACUGCCGCUCGACUUGACAGCCUGUGAGCGUCGAUCAUCUGGUCUGCUCCUGCGCUCGCUUGCCAGCUGCACCUCAUUACCGCACCCACGACGAGCCUGUCGUGACAUGGGACACCUGCCGACCUCCUACCACUUCGCGUAGGGGGCCGCCAGAUUACUGUAUUGCGACACCGUACGGCGUCCUGGAGAAAUGUGCUUCACCCGGAGCCAGCACGUGUGUUUGGAAGGGUUGUCCAAGGAAGAAAAAACACGUACGAGUAUGUGGAAUGGUAGUACCCGGAGCAAGAGUAGAAAAUAACAGAAUAUUUGAAGGUGCAUGCAGAACUUUGUUAAACUUAUCGUCAUUCCAAGUCAGGGACGCUCAGAGCGUCUACACCCGCGCUCCUCAACCCUCCUUCGUAUCGAAGGAAGACCCAAUCACUGACCAAUAAAAAAGACGAUCCAGGCGAACUUUCGUACCGACUCUAAACGUCCAAACUGACCGGCAUUCCUUACGUUUUGUCCAAAUCUUACACGGAUAUACGGUGCGCCCAGACCCAACAGGCAGGACCCACCACAAUCCCCCCUAUCCUACUGGACCAGCCAAUUUCCUCUCCUCUCUUCACUCUCGUCCGUGCCAGUCUCCCCAAGCUUUGUCGUCGUACCAAGCCCUCAACACCGUCAACAUCGCCACAACACUCAAAUCCCUCCACUCUUGCCACCACGCCACAGACACGAUCGUCGGCCGACCGCCGCCACGGUAUGUUUGGCUCCUCUCGAACAACAUCUUGCCCUCUAUGUGUUCAACACAUUGACCGGCCAAUUUUUUAUAUUUUUUGUAGGCAAUACGAUGGAUUUGGAUGGUUCGUUGGAUGACGAGUAUGUACCCAUGAAGCUUGAUGAAUUAAUUCAAAAGGAGUUAUUUGAUUUGUUAGGUUUAGACGAAGAAGCUGAGAUGAUGAUGAGCAUGAAGAUCCAACAUCAAUUGGACCGAGAGAUGGAGCACAUUCUGAACUUCAAGAGUUUGACCAAAGGAACAACUGUCGUUUUGUGCUAAGCAGAAAUGCACGUCCGCUAUGAGGAUGCUUGCACUUGGUAGCGCCACAGAUGUUGUUGCUGAGAUGGUCCGGAUGGGAGGGGGGAGGACAUGCCAAAAGACCACUGUGAAGUUUGCCCGCGCCGUGGUGGAGGUGUUUGGAGCAGAGUAUCUGGGAGAACCGAAUAUGCAGGAUACAGAAAAGUUGCUGGCUAUUGAAGAGACAAGAGGUUUUCUAGGUAUGCUCGGUUCAAUUGAUUGCACGCAUUGGUGAUGAAAGAGCUGCCCUAAAGGUUUGCGCAAGAUGUACCAAGGCCACACCAAUGAGGCCACCAUCAUAUUGAAAGCAGUGGCAUCACAUGACUUUUGGAUUUGACAUGCUUUCUUUGAAAUGCCUCGUUCUUGCAACGACAUGAAUGUGCUUCUAUGAUCUCUUGUAUCCAGGAGACUUUGUAAUGGGGAAUCUGAACUGUUCCGGAGGGUGUUACUCACAUACAAUAUGCAGAUGACACAAUUAUUAUGGUUGAACUGAAUGAUGCUUGUGUUGGGGAACGUAGCAUGCAAUUUCAAAAAAUUUCCUACGCUCAUGCAAGAUCUAUCUAGGAGAUGCAUAGCAACGAGAGGGGGAGAGUGUGUCCACGUACCCUCGUAGACCGAAAGCGGAAGCGUUAGGUUAACGCGGUUGAUGUAGUCGAACGUCUUCACGAUCCAACCGAUCUUAGUACCGAACGUACGACACCUCCGAGUUCAGCACACGUUCAGCUCGAUGACGUCCCUUGAACUCUUGAUCCAGCAGAGGGUCGAGGGAGAGUUCCGCCAGCACGAUGGCAUGGUGACGGUAAUGGUGAUGUGAUCCGUGCAGGGCUUCGCCUAAGCACUACGACGCUGUGACCGGAUGAGUAAACUGUGGAGGGGGGCACCGCACACGGCUAAGAGAACAAUUGAUGUGUCUUGGGGUGCCCCUGCCCCCGUAUAUAAAGGAGGAGGGGAGGAGGCCGGCCACUAGGGGCGCACCAUGGAGGGGGGAGUCCUACUAGGACUUCGCUCCUAGUAGGAUUCGCCCCCCUCUUUUUUCCUUCCUACGGAGAGGGGGAAAGGGGAAAGAGGUGGAGAGGGAGAAGGAAAGGGGGGCCGCGCCCCCCACCCCUUGUCCAAUUCGGAUUGGCUUGGGGGGCACCUCCUAUGGCGUGCCUCCUCCUCUCCACUAUGGCCCAUGAGGCCCAUUAACUUUCCCGGGGGGUUCCGGUAACCUUCCGGUACUCCGAAAAAUCCCCGAACCUCUUCGGAACCAUUCCGGUGUCCGUACAUAACCUUCCAAUAUAUCAAUCUUUACCUCUCGACCAUUUCGAGACUCCUCGUCAUGCACGUGAUCUCAUCCGGGACUCCGAACAAACUUCAGUCACCAAAAUACAUAACUCAUAAUACAAAUCAUCAUCGAACGCGAAGCGUGCGGACCCUACGGGUUCGAGAACUAUGCAGACAUGACCGAGACACGUCUCCGGUAAUAACCAAUAGCGGAACCUGGAUGCUCAUAUUGGCUCCCACAUAUUCUACGAAGAUCUUUAUCGGUCAAACCGCAUAACAACAUACGUUGUUCCCUUUGUCAUCGGUAUGUUACUUGCCCGAGAUUCGAUCGUCGGUAUCAUCAUACCUAGUUCAAUCUCGUUACCGGCAAGUCUCUUUACUCGUUCCAUAACACAUCACCCGCAACUAACUCAUUAGUCACAUUGCUUGCAAGGCUUAUAGUGAUGUGCAUUACCGAGAGGGCCCAGAGACACCUCCCCGAUACACGGAGUGACAAAUCCUAAUCUCGAUCUAUGCCAACCCAACAAACACCUUCGGAUACACCUGUAGAGCAUCUUUAUAAUCACCAAGUUACGUUGAUAGCACACAAGGUGUUCCUCCGGUAUUCAGGAGUUGCAUGAUCUCAUAGUCAGAGGAACAUGUAUAAGUCAUGAAGAAAGAAAUAGCAAUAAAACUCAACGAUCAUAAUGCUAAGCUAACGGAUGGGUCUUGUCCAUCACAUCAUUCUCUAAUGAUGUGAUCCCGUUCAUCAAAUGACAACACAUGUCUAUGGUCAGGAAACAUAACCAUCUUUGAUUAACGAGCUAGUCAAGUAGAGGCAUACUAGGGACACUCUGUUUGUCUAUGUAUUCACACAUGUACCAAGUUUCCGGUUAAUACAAUUCUAGCAUGAAUAAUAAACGUUUAUCAUGAUAUAAGGAAAUAUAAAUAACAACUUUAUUAUUGCCUCUAGAGCAUAUUUCCUUCAGCUUGCCUUGCUCAUCUUAAAGUCAUUCUGUUUUGUUUUGAAGCCUUAUCCGGGCUUAAGAUCAAUUUCUCUAAAAGCGAGGUCAUUGCCACUUGUGUUGAUGAUGCGGAAGCUCUGCGAGUUUCCCAGCUUCUGAACUGUUCCCUGGGUUCCUUCCCCUUUAAAUAUUUGGGCCUUCCGAUUUCCCCGGAUAAAUUAUGUGCUAAAGAUUUCGCCCCUAUGGUGACUAAGGUGGGUAACAGGGUAAUGCCUUGGAGGGGAAGGUACAAUACUAAUGCUGGUAAAGUUGCUGGGAUCCUCCCUCCCAAUGUUUAUCAUGGGAUUCUAUCUUCUCUCUGCUGGGAUCCUGAUACGUCACCGUCGUAUCUAAUUUUCCUAAUGCUUUUCCUCUUGUUUUAGACUCUAAUUUGCAUGAUUUGAAUAAAACUAACCCGGACUGACGCUGUUUUUAGCAGAAGUACCAUCCUGUUGUUUUUGUGCAGAAAUAAAAGUUCUCGGAUUGGAACGAAACUUUGCAAGGAUUUUUUAUUCAAUAGAAGAGAAUUUCUGAAGCCAAGAACCAUCGAAGGGGGGCACCUUGGUGGGCACAACCCACCAGGGCGCGCUCCCUCCAAGCGUGCCCAGGUGGGUUGUCCCCACCUGGUGGCCUCGCAGACCCUGAAACCGACGCUAUAAAAUCACAUAUUUCCAUAAAGAAGAAGAGAGGAAGAAUUAUCGCAUUUCACGAGACGAAGCUGCCGCCACCUCCUUUUCUUCAUCGGGAGGCCAGAUCUGGAGUCCUUUGGGGCUCCGGAGAGGGGGAUCUUCGAUCUUCGUCAUCACCAACCCUUCUCCAUCGCCAAUUCCAUGAUGCUCCCCACCGGGAGUGAGUAAUUCCUUCGUAGGCUCGCUGGUCGGUGAGGAGUUGGAUGAGAUUCAUCAUGCAAUUGAGUUAGUUUUGUUAGGGCUUGAUCCCUAGUAUCCAUUAUGUUCUUAGAUUGAUGUUGCUAUGACUUUGCCAUGCUUAAUGCUUGUCACUUUGGGCCCGGGUGCCAUGAUUUCAGAUCUGAACCAUUUAUGUUAUCACCAUUAUAUCUAUGUUCUAGAUCCGAUCUUGCAAGUUAUAGUCACCUACUACGUGUUAUGAUCCGGCAACCCCGGAGUGACAAUAGUCGGGACACUUCCCGGUGAUGACCGUAGUUUGAGGAGUUCAUGUAUUCACCGUGUGUUAAUGCUUUGUUCCGGUUCUCUAUUAAAAGGAGGCCUUAAUAUCCCUUAGUUUUCAAUAGCACCCCGCUACCAUGGGAGGGUAGGACAAAAGAUGUCAUGCAAGUUCUUUCCAUAAGCACGUAUGACUAUUUACGGAAUACAUGACUAUAUUAUAUUUAUGAACUGGAGCUAGUGCCGUAUCGCCCUAGGUUGUAACUGUCACAUGAUGAAUAUCAUACAACAAAUCGCCAAUCCAAUGCCUACGAUUUUCCUACAUAUUGAUUUUGCUAAGUUACUAUUGCUGAUAUUACUAUUGUCACUACUACAAAACUAGUACUAUCACUGUUACCAUUAUAGUUGCUGCUACCACUACUAUCAAAGCUAUCAUAUUACUGUGCUACUGAUCACUUUGCUGCAGAUAAUUAAUCUCCAGGUGUGAUUGAAUUGACGACUCAGUUGCUAAUAAUUGCAAAUAUUCUUUGACUUCCCUUGUGUCGAAUCUAUAAAUUUGGGUUGAAUACUCUACCUUCGAAUUUUUUUGCGAUCCCCUAUACUUGUGGGUUAUCAAGACCUUUUUCUGGCGCCGUUGCCGGAGAGCAUAGCUAUAUUUGUUGAGUCACUUGGGAUUAUUAUCAAAUUGUCACUAUGAAGAAUCUGAAGGAUGCCAAGACUAAGAUUUUUUGCUCUAAGGCGAGGGGAGGUAAGGUACUGCCAUCUAGCUCCGCACUUGAUUCACCUUCUGUUAUAAGUAAACCUGCAACACCACUACAUGCUAUUAAUCCAGAUAUGUCGCAAGUUAUUGAUGAUGCUACUUCUGCUAUGAAUGAUAUUUAUGAUGAUGCUAGUACCUUGCUUGAUGAUAAUGUGCCACUAGGUGAAUUUCUUGAUUAACAACUUGCUACAACUAAAGCUUUUGAGAAUGUUGAAACUAAAAAUCUUGAAACACCUAUUAGAACUAGCCCUCCUAGAUAUGAACUGCCAAAUGUACCAGAAGGUUAUGUUAUGGAUGAGCAGGCAACUAGGGAUAUUCUUGCUUGUAAGGAUAGAGAUGAUCUAGAAAAAUUAUUAUGCAAGUAUAAAGAAAAGACUUUGAAUGCUAAAAUGAAAUGUGAUCCUCAGUUUGCGACUUCACCUAUCUUUGUUGACGAUAAGGAUUAUGAAUUCUUUGUCGACCCAGAGUUGAUUACUUUGGUUGAAUCUGAUCCUUCCCAUGGUUAUGAAACUGAAACUAUUGUGGCACAUCUUACUAAGUUGAAUGACAUAGCCACCCUUUUUGCUCAUGAUGAGAAAAUUCGUUAUUAUUAUAUUCUCAAAUUAUUUCCGUUCUCAUUAAAGGGUGAUGCUAAAGCUUGGUACAAUACUCUUGCUCCUGAUUGUGUGCAUAGUCCCCAGGGCAUGAUUUAUUACUUCUCUGAAAAAUAUUUCUCCGCUCAUAAGAAACAAGCAGCCUUACAGGAAAUAUUUAACUUUGUGCAAAUUGAAGAAAAGAGUCUCCCACAAGCUUGGGGGAGGCUUCUCCAAUUGCUUAAUGCUUUGCCGAAUCAUCCUCUUAAGAAAAAUGAAAUACUAGAUAUCCACUACUGCAGGAUGCUGCUAACGCGACACUACGAUCAGAGACCCUUUCACGAAACUGUGUGCGAUGCAUCAAUCACAAACGGGGAUGUAACCGUUAAAAAAGGUGCAAAACGUUUGCAAUGGAGGAUGCAUCAAACACGGUUCAGAUUUUAGUUGCGUGUGUGAUCUAGGGCAUACGGUUCAGUCCAACGAACUGUUUGCGAUGAGGCAGAACAAAAGAAACGGGUAGCCUGAUGAAGGCAUGUGCGAUAUAGAGCAUACGGUUCACUCGGAUGAACUGUUUGUGAUUAGGCAACACAAAAGAAACGGGCAGCCAGGUGAAGGUGUGUGCGAUAUACAUCAUACGGUUCACUCGGAUGAACUGUUUGUAAUUAGGCAACACAAAAGAAACGGUCAGCCAGAUCAAGGUGUGUGUGAUUGAGGUCAUACGCUUCAGAAGGAUUAACUGUUUGCGAUUAGGCAACAGAACAGAAACGGAUAAGCUAGAUCAAAGUGUCUGCGAUUGAUGGCAUACACUUCACAUGGAUGAAUUAUUUGUGAUUAGCCACAACAAACUGAAACAGUUAGAUAGAUCAAUGUGUGUGCGCUAGACGGGCACACCCAUUCUAAUUAAAAGAAGCGUGCGUAAUGGUAAUAACGAGCGCGCACGGUUGUUGGAACAAGACGUGUGCUGACAUUGCAUAUUGCGGUGCACCCUAUGGUGCAAACGCCACGUACGCGGCCGAGAAGGCGUACGUGCCCACGUUACGCCUUCCGGGAAUAGUGCCGCACUUAUAACCGUCAGUAAAGUUUGAGCAUGCAUCCCGUCACAAUUUUUUUAGAAGAACAGGGAGGCCGCGUCCCGUCACAUUCCAAAUUGCAAACAUGUUCACACCGAUCAAAACCUAAGCGGUUUCCCACUUAGGAGCGUAUUAUUACACGGUUAUAAAUACUACUACUCCAAGAUGACUGCACAUUCCUCCUCAACUCCUCAUCCACAAAAAGUCAAAAACAAACAAGUCAUUCAUCAUCGUUCCCUUGCGUCCGCCAUGGCUAGCGUGAGUUCUGGGUCGAGAGAUUGCCACCAGGGAGAGGCGAGCCUGGAAGCGGGAGCACGAGAGAUGUCCCGCCUUGCCGCGAAAGCAGCCAACAUGUCCCGUCGCACGGCCGUAGCAGCAGAGAGGUCCCGCUGCGCCGCCGAAGCAGCACGGAGGACCCGCCGCGCCGUCGAUGCAGCAGAUUGGUCCGGCCGCGCCGCGGAAGCAGAAGAGAUGUCCCGCCCCGCUGCGAAUGUAGCAGAGAUGUCCUCCCUUGCCACGACGGCCUGGGAAAAUGCCUCGCGGGCAGGCAAGGACUCUUACAGGUGCAUGCGUGCCCUCGUCCUUAGGCAGAUGGAUCAGAUCUCCAGGUGGGAGAGGUUGCAGGAUGACCUGAAAGCCUCGUUUGAACAGUCUACCGACGUCAUCCGGCAACUAAAUGAGAGCAAUGCGAAGCUCCGGGCUGACCGCGACCUGCCGAGGGCGAAGAUCAUCGGAAGUGCGGAGCAGCAGGAGCAGACCACUGCCUUGUUGAAGAGGACCGGCGUCAUCGUCGAGAAACUUAUGGAUCAGAAUGCCAUGCUGCGCAUCGAGCGCAGAAGGCUGGUGGAGGAAUCCGUGGAUGCUCUCAAGCAGCAUCUUGAGGACAAGAAAGAGCUCGUCGCCGCUCGCCGCGGAGACUAGUUCCCACGGCCUGCAGUAAAGCAUCAAGAAAGUAGAGAUCAGCGAGCCAGAUCGUUGUCUUCCUUCUUCUUUUGCCCUUGUGUAUUUCAGGCGUUGCCGCAUGUGGCUUUUUUUAAAUAUGUUUCUAAAUAUGUAAGACAAUUAUUAUCCACUGUCAUCGUCCUUAUAUUCAUCAUGCUUUCUAUAAGUCGUAGUCGAUGCUAUAUAGGUCCGUCGGAUCUUACAUCAAGAUCCGUGCAAAAAUUUCUUUUCAAAUUUUCAUUUAUCUCCCUUAAAUCUCAGUCCAGUGAGACAUAUAGCCACGCCGUAGAACAGGUGCUUGGGUUCUAUUAAUGGAGACGUUGGGAGGGAGGUGCGCGGUGGGUAGCGGUCGAAAGGCUCUCCUCCCGAUGAGCAUGCGCAGGGGUCUGAUCGGACGCCUCCCGUACUCAAAUAGCUACCCCGCACGGCACGUCCUAGCCAAUAAAAAAGGGGACGCGUGGCCGCACAUAAUUGGUAAUGCGAACGCCCAUGGUUUCAAUAAUACUCGUGUUUCCAAUUUGUAACAUGACAACACUUGUUCCAAAAUGACAUUGUUGAUUGUUAAUCUGUGGGCCUUCGCAAAUCGGACAGAAAAAUUACCACAGCAUGUUGGUGCCAUGUCCUGAGACCAUGCCAAGUUUCAUGAUUUUCACGCGUGUUUUGGAAUUACAGGAAUUAAAAAACCAAGUUCCUCAAUCUUUCCGGCCGAGCCACGACGCCCAGAUGUUUAAAUUUCACUCCCGUAUCUUGCCUGGAACCUAGAAAUUCACCCAAGGACACACAUGUGAUUUUUCAAAUAACUUUGGUGCACUGGAGCAUGUGCUUGUAGUUCAAAUUUGAAUUAUGCACAUUAAAUGCCCAAAAACUCAAUUAAUGUAUAAAAAGGCCAAACGUACCCAGAAUAAUUCCAAAAUUUAGCACGGUACUUCUAUUUGGUCUAAUCUGGCUGUAUAAAAAAUUAAGGCUGGAGAAGGCAGUGUACGUAUGUCGUUUUGCACACGUAGGUGACAUGUUCCCUCUCGGAACCACGAGCCUUCUUGAGGGAAGCUCUGGUUUGCAAGAAGCUUACACCAAAGCUUGUCCCAAUUCGGCCAAAAAAAUUACCGCAGCAUGUUGGUGCCAUGUCAUGACACCAUGCCAAGUUUCAUGAUUUUCAGGCAUGUUUUGGAAUUACAGGGAUUAAAAAACCAAGUUUCUCAAUCUUUCCGGCCGAGCCACGACGCCCAAAUGUUUGAAUUUCACUCCCAUCUCUUGCAUGGGACCUAAAAAUUCACCCAAGGACACACAUGUGAUUUUUCAAACAACUUUGGUGCAGUGGAGCAUGUGCUUGUAGUUCAAAUUUGAAUUAUGCAUAUUAAAUGCCCAGAAACUCAAUUAACGUAUAAAAAAGGCGAAACGAGUGCGGAAUAAUUCCAAAAUUUAGCACGGUACUUCUAUUUGGUCUAAUCUGGCUGUGUAAAAGAACUAAGGCGGGAGAAGGCAGUGUACGUAUGUCAUUUCGCACACGGAGGUGACACGUUCCCUCUCGGAACCACGAGCCUUCUUGAAGGAAGCUCCGGUUUGCAAGAAGCUUACACCAAAGCUUGUCCCAAUUCGGCCAAAAAAAUUACCGCAGCAUGUUGGUGCCAUGUCAUGAGACCAUGCCAAAUUUCAUGAGUUUCAGGCGUGUUUUGGAAUUACAGGAAUUAAAAAACCAAGUUUCUCAAUCUUUCUGGCCGAGCCACGACGCCCAGAUGUUUGAAUUUCACUCCAAUCUCUUGCAUGGGACCUAGAAAUUCACCCAAGGACACACAUGUGAUUUUUCAAACAACUUUGGUGCACUAGAGCCUGUGCUUUUAGUUCAAAUUUGAAUUAUGCACAUUUUUAAAGGCCCAGAAACACAAUUAAUGUAUAAAAAAGGUGAAACGAGCCCGGAAUAAUUCCAAAAUUUAGCACCAUACUUCUAUUUGGUCUAAUCUGGCUGUGUAAAAAAAUUAAGGCGGGAGAAGGCAGUGUACAUAUGUCGUUUCGCACACGGAGGUGACACGUUCCCUCUCAGAACCACGAGCCUUCUUGAGGGAAGCUCCGGUUUGCAAGAAGCUAACACCAAAGCUUGUCCCAAUUCGGCCAAAAAAUUACCGCAGCAUGUUGGUGCCAUGUCAUGAGACCAUGUCAAGUUUCAUGAUUUUCAGCCGUGUUUUGGAAUUACAGGAAUUAAAAAACCAAGUUUCUCAAUCUUUUCGGCCGAGACAUGACGCCUAUAUGUUUGAAUUUCACUCCCAUCUCUUGCAUGGGACCUAGAAAUUCACCCAAGGACACACAUGUGAUUUUUCAAACAACUUUGGUGCACUGGAGCACGUGCUUGUAGUUGAAAUUUGAAUUAUACACAUUAAAUACCCAGAAACUCAAUUAAUGUAUAAAAAGGCCAAACGAACACGGAAUAAUUCCAAAAUUUAGCACAAUACUUCUGUUUGGUCUAAUCUGCCUGUGUAAAAAAAUUAACACGGGAGAAGGCAGUGUACGUAUGUCGUUUCGCACACGGAGGUGACACGUUCCCUCUCGGAACCAGGAGCCUUCUUGAGGGAAGCUCCGGUUUGCAAGAAGCCUACACCAAAGCUUGUCCCAAUUCGGCCAAAAAAAUUACCGCAGCAUGUUGGUGCCAUGUCAUGAGACCAUGCCAAGUUUCAUGAUUUUCAGGCGUGUUUUGGAAUUACAGGAAUUAAAAAACCAAGUUUCUCAAUCUUUCCGGCCGAGCCACGACACCCAGAUGUUUGAAUUUCAUUCCCAUCUCUUGCAUGGGACCUAGAAAUUCACCCAAGGACACACAUGUGAUUUUUAAACAACUUUGGUGCAAUGGAGCACAUGCUUGUAGUUCAAAUUUCAAUUAUGCACACUAAAUGCCCAGAAACUCAAUUAAUGUAUAAAAAAGGCCAAACGAACAUGGAAUAAUUCUAAAAUUUAGCACGAUACUUCUAUUUGGUCUAAUCUGCCUGUGUACAAAAAUUAAGGCGGGGGAAGGCAGUGUACGUUUGUCGUUUCGUAGACGGAGGUGACACGUUCCCUCUCGAAACCAGGAGCCUUCUUGAGGGAAGCUCCGGUUUGCAAGAAACUUACACCAAAGCUUGUCCCAAUUCGGCCAAAAAAUUUGCUGCAGCAUGUUGGUGCCAUGUCAUGACACCAUGCCAAGUUUCAUGAUUUUUAGCCGUGUUUUGGAUUUACAGGAAUUAAAAAACCAAGUUUCUCAAUCAUUCCGGCCGAGCCACAACACCCAGAUGUUUGAAUUUUAUUCCCAUUUCUUGCAUGGGACCUAUAAAUUCACCCAAAGACACGCAUGUGAUUUUUCAGCAAACUUUGGUGCAUUGGAGCAUGUGCUUGUAGUUCAAAUUUGAAUUAUGCACAUUAAAUGCCUAGAAACUCAAUUAAUGCAUAAAAAUGCCAAACUAACCCGGAAUAAUUCCAAAUUUAAACACGACACUCAUGUACUAGUUGCAUGUUCACUGUACGUAAAUGUUCUAGCAAUUCAAACACCAUCCUUUCCCUCCGUAACACCAUUUUGUCUUUCAAAACAUAAUGAAAAAAUAAGGUAUACCACAAACAGUUUACUAGAAAGAAUCAUGUGGGAUGCGAUAUAAAAUAUCUUGACGCACCGUCUUGUCUGGCUCAUGCAGGAAGCUUCGUCGUCUACAGUCCACUGCCCCCGCUUGAACCACACUUGCGCGCCAGUUUCUCGCGGCACCGAGCGAAAUUUUUUGGCCACCGCGGAAAUAUCUAUCUCCCCGCCCCCUCCCUCCUACCAAAAGCCAAAUUUCCACUGUUCCUCCUUGUUUUCCAAGUUCAAACCUUCACUGCUGCUUACUGGCAGCUCAGCCUCCUCGCCGGCGACCCUUCUUCUUGCAGCGCCGCCUCCUUGCCGGCUACCCUUCUUCUUGCAGCGCCGCCUCCUCGCCGGCGACCCUUCUUCUUGCAGCGCCGCCUCCUCGUCGGCGGCCCUUCUUCUUGCUGCGCGGCCUCCUCGCCGCCGACCCUUCUUCUUGCUGCGCGGCCUCGUCGAUAUGGUCAGGUAAUCCACACCCCACCCACACCAUCCUCCUCCUUUCCCGUCCCACAUGCCCCGACUGACGGAGCGACACCUUCCACCGAAAUCACUGCCCCCCCUCCUCCAAUUAAGCGCCGCCCACAGCCAUUUUACAUGCAGUAUAACGUGGAGCUGAGUAGCAUGCGGCCGCACGCGCGAACGAGGUCGCUAUGGCUGACAUGCGUGUCGACCGCCAGAUCUUGGAGGACCUCGUCUUCGAGGCCACCGUCGACACCGCCGCGCGGUUGUCUACUUUAAAAUAUAGUUCAUGAUGUUUUCUCGAGGCCAUCGCCAGUGCCUUCUAGUGAUUUGUCCUCUGUAAUGUUAAUAUGCAAUCUGAUGUUCAGUUAACAGUUUGGUCCUCUGAAAUGUAAUGUUCAGUUAACACUUUGGUCCAACAAUUACUACAUUCCGUAGUACUGUUCUCAAGCAUUCUUUGUUUUGUUAACUGUCUUAUCUUUUAGUACAUGUUUCUAUUCUGCAAUGUCGUGCUCAGUUAACUAUUUUGGUUCAUUUGGUCUGCUGUCCAUUUAACUGUUUGGUUCAGUUCUGCAAUUUGAUUUUCAUUUGCCGUGGGUACAAUUUUGUAUUGUUAUGCAUGUGACACCAAUCGAAUUUGGUUGUACUCAAUACAUAUUCUACUGAUAGUAUGGCAACUCUCAGUUAACCUGAUCAAGAUCUUCCUUAUGUGUGUUGCAGGGAAACAAUGGGAGACACUGCGGUUUACCAUCGAGGUUUGUUCAAGCAUGGUCCUUUGGCUAAUAGCACAUUAUUGUGUAGUUGCAGGAAUCAUUCUAAUAUCUAGGUUUCUUACAAUUUGGUCUUGCACAUGUAGGUCCUGCUGUCAGAGGCUUAGACCCACUAAUCGACCCAUUUUGCAUAUGGGGAAAUGAGAUGUCCAUGAAUAUCAGUCAAGUCAAGAAACUCAGAAAGAUUGUUAGGAUGAAGAAACUUGCGACGAAUAACAGCAAGAUCUUUGUUUGCACAAUGAAGAAGACAUGAGUCAACUAUAGGAUGGUACCAACUAUUUUACCUUGUUUUUACCCCUUGCGCUAUUUCAAAAUUUACAACAGCGAUUUAUGCAUUGCUUUGUUUUCAGUACUUUUCAAAGCAGUUCAACGAUGAUUACCUCUCAAACCACCUGCAUGGUCAAGAGGCGAGGAAGGUAUUCAUUCAACACCCACGGUACAAUAUUGAAGUCUUGCUGAAGAGGACGAAGGUUGGGCGGGCAAUUAUCCAUAGCCACUGGCCUAAAAUUGCAAGGACAUUCAAAAUCACUGAAGGCUCAAUAUUUGCCUUCCGCUUCUGCAGUUUCCCAGAUGAGAUUCAUCUAUCUAUUUACCGUGUAUGAUGCUACUUUCCAAAGGUUUUUGAUGCUGCAUGUGAAACUUGGUGCUGUUGUGUAAUGGCGUAACUGAGUGCCGAAGCUAUCUGAUGUAAUUUGAUUAUGAAAUCCUGGUUGCUUUUAUACGGAUAUGAAAUAUCUGGCGUGUUUUAGAAGAAAUAUCAGUUUGAUUAGUACAUGGAUUAUCAAUAAUAGGCUAAUUACCCUACUUAUUGGGGUUUUCUAUUGCAAACGGUUACUCAGACAACACCGUGGGCAAUGAACUCAAACAACCCGCACGGUUUCUAGAAAGUAGGCGUGUUCGAUCAACUAACAAUCACACGCGGCUUCCGGCAGCGAACCGUUUGCGUUAGGCCACCUUGCACAAACGUUUCCACACAAAGAACUGUGUGGGAUGUACAUACCUACGGAAAUGAUUUUCUGGGAUUCACCGUGUGGGAUGUACAUACCUACGGAAAUGAUUUAUGGGAUUCACCGUGCGGGAUGUACAUACCUACGGAAAUGAUUUCUGGUAUUCACCAUGUGGGAUGUACAUACCUACGGAAAUGAUUUCUGGGAUACACCGUGUGGGAUGUACAUACCUACGGAAAUGAUUUCUGGGAUUCACCGUGUGGGAUGUACAUACCUACGGAAAUGAUUGGGUUUCCUUGCCUCGCCCGAUCACACACGGCCCCAGCCUAGGUCCCACGAGGGCCUAUCCCUGAUGAUUUCUGGGUCGUGUGGGAAGGACCGCCCUAUCGCCCACACUCACUUGGCGACGGUUCCAAAUGCCAUCGCGGAAAGGGGUUUUAAACCAUUUGUUUAGGACGUCGAUGUACCAGUGAUCUUCUAUAAUGGACUAACCGAUGCUUCUAGGGAUUUCGUAGAUAGUUGUGCUGGUUGUGUUUUCAGGGAACGAACUAUUGGGCAAGCUGAAGAAUUAUUUAAUAACAUAUUAAAAAAUUAUGAUUAUUGGACUCUUCCUGAACUAUUAGUUACUAUUGCUAUUGCUACUGUUACACUUGCUACAAAAUCAUUGCUAUCACUGUUACCGUUACUGUUACUAUUACUACUACUACUGUCAAAAUUAUCAUACUACUGUGUUACAGAUAAUAUUGCUGCAGAUAACUAAUCUCCAGGUGUGGUUGAACUGACAACUCAGAUGCUAAUACUUGCAAAUAUUUUUUGUCUCCCCUUGUGUCGAAUAUAUAAACUUGGGUUGAAUACUCUACCCUCAAAAACUAUUGCGAUCCCCUAUACUUGUGGGUUAUCAGAGUGGGUAAUCUACUCUCUCUAUGGCUUUCCCCGUUUUGUUUUCUUACUGUUCGGUUCCGGAUAUCUCCAUCGCAGAGCUCUCCGUUAAUAAUUGGGAUUUGGCCUUCCGUCGCUCGCUGUCUUUCGCAGAGUUGGAUGAUUGGCACCGUCUUGUUGCCCUCAUCCCCGUGCUCUCGGAGAGAGAGGACACGGUUGUUGGGGAACGUAGUAAUUUCAAAAAAAAUCCUACGCACACGCAAGAUCAUGGUGAUGCAUAGCAACGAGAGGGGAGAGUGUUGUCCAGGUACCCUCGUAGACUGUAAGCGGAAGCGUUAUGACAACGCGGUUGAUGUAGUCAUACGUCUUCACGAUUUACCGAUCCUAGCACUAAAGGUACGACACCUCCGCGAUCUGCAAACAUUCGGCUCGGUGACGUCCCAUGAACUCACGAUCCAGUAGAGUGUCGAGGGAGAGCUUCGUCAGCACGACGGCGUGAUGACGGUGAUGAUGAAGCUACCGGCGCAGGGCUUCGCCUAAGCACUACGACGAUAUGACCGAGGUGGAUUAUGGUGGAGGAGGGCACCGCACACGGCUAAGAGAUCAAUGAUCAACUUGUGUGUCUAUGGGGUGCCCCCUCCCCCGUAUAUAAAGGAGUGGAGGAGGGGGAGGGCCGGCCCUCCUAUGGAGCGCCCCAUGGGAAGUCCUACUCCCACCGGGAGUAGGAUCCCCCCUUCCCUAGUUGGACUAGGAGUGGAAGGAAGGGGGAGAGAGGGGGAAGGAAAGGGGGGCGCCGCCCCCCUUCCUAGUCCAAUUCAGACCAGAGGGGGAGGGGGCACGCGGCCUGCCCUGGCUGACCCUCUCUCUCUCCACUAAGGCCCAUUAGGGCGCAUAUACUCCCCGCAACUAACUCAUUAGUCACAGUGCUUGCAAGGCUUAUAGUGAUGUGCAUUACCGAGAGGGCCCAGAGAUACCUCUCCGAUACACGGAGUGACAAAUCCUAAUCUCGAUCUAUGCCAACCCAACAAACACCUUCGGAGACACCUGUAGAGCAUCUUUAUAAUCACCCAGUUACAUUGUGACGUUUGAUAGCACACAAGGUGUUCCUCCGGUAUUCGGGAGUUGCAUAAUCUCAUAGUCAGAGGAACAUGUAUAAGUCAUGAAGAAAGAAAUAGCAAUAAAAUUCAACGAUCAUAAUGCUAAGCUAACGGAUGGGUCUUGUCCAUCACACCAUUCUCUAAUGAUGUGAUCCCGUUCAUCAAAUGACAACACACGUCUAUGGUCAGGAAACAUAACCAUCUUUGAUUAACGAGCUAGUCAAGUAGAGACAUACUAGGGACACUCUGUUUUGUCUAUGUAUUCACACAUGUCUAAGUUUCCGGUUAAUACAAUUCUAGCAUGAAUAAUAAACAUUUAUCAUGACAUAAGGAAAUAUAAAUAACAACUUUAUUAUUUCCUCUAGGGCAUAUUUCCUUCAGUCUCCCACUUGCACUAGAGUCAAUAAUCUAGUUCACAUCAUCAUGUGAUUUCACACCAUUAGUUCACAGCUUUAUGUGAUUAGUUCACAUCUCCAUGUGACUAAUACCCAAAAGGUUUACUAGAGUCAAUAAUCUAGUUGACGUCGCUAUGUGAUUAACACCCAAAGAGUGAUCAUGUUUUGCUUGUAAGAGAAGUUUAGUCAACGGUCUGCCAUAUUCAGAGCCAUAUGUAUUUUGCAAAUUUUCUAUGUCUACAAUGCUCUGCACGGAGCUACUCUAGCUAAUCGCUCCCAUUUUCAAUAUGUAUCUAGAUCGAGAUUUAGAGUCAUCCAGAUCGGUGUCAAAGCUUGCAUCGACGUAACUAGUUACGACGAACUCUUUGUCACCUCCAUAACCGAGAAACAUUUCCUUAUUCCACUAAGGAUAAUUUUGACCGUUGUUUCGUGGUCCACUCCUGGAUUACUAUUGUACCCUCUUGCCAAACUCAUGGUGAGGUACACAAUAGUCUGGUACACAUCAUAGCAUACUUUAUGGAACCUAUGACUAAGGCAUGGGGAAUGACUUUUCAUUCUCUUUCUAUUUUCUGCCGUGGUCGGGUUUUGAGUCUUUACUUAACUUCACACCUUGCAACACAAACAAGAACUCCUUCUUUGACUGUUCCAUUUUGAACUACUUCAAAAACUUGUCAAGGUAUGUACUCAUUGAAAAAAAAUUAUCAAGCGUCUUGAUCUAUCUCUAUAGAUCUUGAUGCUCAAUAUGUAAGCAGCUUUACCGAGGUCUUUCUUUGAUAAACUCCUUUCAAACACUCCUUUAUGCUUUCUAGAAAAUUCUACAUUAUUUCCGAUCAACAAUAUGUCAUUCACAUAUACUUAUCAGAAAUUCUGUAGUGCUCCCACUCACUUUCUUGUAAAUACAGGCUUCACCGCUAGUAUGUAUAAAACUAUAUAUGCUUUCAUCAACUCAUCAAAGCGUAUAUUCCAACUCCGAGAUGCUUGCACCAGUCCAUAGAUGGAUCGCUGGAGCGUGCACAUUUUGUUAGCACCUUUAGGUUUGACAAAACCUUCUUGUUGUAUCAUAUACAACUCUUCUUGAAGAAAUCCAUUAAGGAAUGUAGUUUUGACAUCCAUUUUCUAGAUUUCAUAAAAUGUGGCAAUUGCUAACAUGAUUCGGACAGACUUUAAGCAUCGCUACGAGUGAGAAAAUCUCAUCGUAGUCAACACCUUGAACUUGUGGAAAACCUUUUUUCGACAAUUCGAGCUUUGUAGAUAGUAACACUACUAUCAGCGUCCGUCUUCCUCUUGAAGAUCCAUUUAUUCACAAUGGCUUGCCGAUCAUCGGGCAAGUCAAUCAAAGUCCAAACUUUGUUCUCAUACAUGGAUCCCAUCUCAGAUUUCGUGGCCUCAAGCCAUUUCGCGGAAUCUGGGCUCAUCAUUGCUUCCUCAUAGUUCGUAGGUUCGUCAUGGUCUAGUAACAUGACUUCCAGAACAGGAUUACCGUACCACUUUGGUGCGGAACAUAUUCUGGUUGACCUAUGAGGUUCCGUAGUGACUUGAUCUGAAGUUUCAUGAUCGUCAUCAUUAACUUCCUCACUAAUCAGUGUAGGCAUCACUGAAACUGAUUUCUGUGAUGAACUACUUUCCAAUUCGGGAGAAGGUACAAUUACCAUAUCAAGUUCUACUUUCCUCCCACUCACUUCUUUCGAGAGAAACUCCUUCUCUAGAAAGGAUCCAUUCUUAGCAACGAAUAUCUUGCCUUAGGAUCUGUGAUAGAAGGUGUACCCAACAGUUACUUUUGGGUAUCCUAUGAAGACGCACUUCUCCGAUUUUGGGUUUGAGCUUAUCAGGAUGAAACCUUCUCACAUAAGCAUCGCAACCCCAAACUUUAAGAAACGACAACUUAGGUUUCUUGCUAAACCACAGUUCAUACGGUGUCAUCUCAACGGAUUUAGAUGGUGCCCUUUUUAACGUGAAUGCAGCUGUCUCUAAUGCAUAACCCCAAAACGAUAGUGGUAAAUCGGUAAGAGACAUCAUAGAUUGCACCAUAUCUAAUAAAUUACGGUUAUGACGUUCGAACACACCAUUACGCUGUGGUGUUCCAGGUGGCGUGAGUUGCGAAACUAUUCCACAUUGUUUCAAAUGAAGACCAAACUCGUAACUCAAAUAUUCAUCUCCGUGAUCAGAUCGUAGAAACCUUUUCUUGUUACGAUGAUUUUGCACUUCACUCUGAAAUUCUUUGAACCUUUCAAAUGUUUCAGACUUAUGUUUCAUCAAGUAGAUAAAUCAUUUAUGAAGGUCAGAAAAUAACGAUACCCGCCGCGAGCCUCAACACUCAUCGGACCGCAUACAUCAGUAUGUAUUAUUUCCAAUAAGUCAGUUGCUCGCUCCAUUGUUCUAGAGAACGGAGUCUUAGUCAUCUUGCCCAUGAGGCAUGGUUCACAAGCAUCAUGUGAUUCCAAAAGCCCAUCCGCGUGGAGUUUCUUCAUGCGCUUUACACCAAUAUGACCUAAACGGCAGUGCCACAAAUAAGUUGCACUAUCAUUAUUAACUUUGAAUCUUUUGGUUUCAAUAUUAUGAAUAUGUGUAUCACUACGAUUGGGAUUCAAUAAACCAUUUAUAUUGAGUGUAUGACCAUAGAAGGUUUUAUUCAUUUAAAUAGAACAACAAUUAUUCUUUGACUUAAAUGAAUAACCGUAUUGCAAUAAACAUGAUCCAAUCAUAUUCAUGCUCAACACAAACACCAAAUAACAUUUAUUUUUAGGUUCAACACUAAUCCCGAAGGUAAAGGGAGUGUGCAAUGGUGAUCUUAUCAACCUUGGAAUCACUUCCAACACACAUCAUCACCUCACCCUUAACUAGUCUCUGUUUAUUUUGCAACUCCCGUUUUGAGUUACUACUCUUAGCAACUGAACCAGUAUCAAAUACCAAGGGGUUGCUAUAAACACUAGUAAAGUACACAUCAAUAACAUGUAUAUCAAAUAUACCUUUGUUCACUUUUCCAUACUUCUUAUCCGCCAAGUAUUUAGGGCAGUUCCACUUCCAGUGACCAUUUCCUUUGCAGUAGAAGCACUCAGUUUCAGGCUUGGGUCUAGCUUUGGGCUUCUUCACGUGAGUGACAACUUGUUUGUCAUUCUUCUUGAAGUUCCUUUUCUAUCCCUUUGCCCUUUUCUUGAAACUAGUGGUCUUGUUAACCAUCAACCCUUGAUGCUUUUCUUGAUUUCUACCUUCGCCCAUUUUAGCAUCGCGAAGAGCUUGGGAAUUGUUUUCGUUAUCCCUUGCAUAAUAUAGUUCAUCACGAAGUUCUAGUAACUUGGUGAUAGUGACUAGAGAACUUUGUCAAUUACUAUCUUAUCUGGAAGAUUAACUCCCACUUGAUUCAAGCAAUUGUAGUACCCAGACAAUCUGAGCACAUGCUCACUGGUUGAGCUAUUCUCCUCCAUCUUGUAGGCAAAGUACUGUCAGAGGUCUCAUACCUCUUGACACGGGCAUGAGUAUGAAAUACCAAUUUCAACUCUUGGAACAUCUUAUAUGCUCCGUGGCGUUCAAAACAUUUUUCAAGUCCCGGUUCUAAGCUGUAAAGCAUGGUGCACUAAACUAUCAAGUAGUCAUCACACCGAGCUUUGCCAAACGUUCAUAACGUCUGCAUCUGCUCCUGCAAUAGGUCCGUCACCUAGCGGUGCAUCAAGGACAUAAUUCUUCUGUACAACAAUGAGGAUAAUCCUUAGAUCACGGACCUAGUCCGCAUCAUUGCUACUAUCAUCUUUCAACAUAGUUUUUCUCUAGGAACAUAUCAAAAAUAAACGGGGAGCUAUAUCGCGAGCUAUUGAUCUACAACAUAGUUAUGCAAAUACUACCAGGACUAAGUUCAUGAUAAAUUAAAGUUCAAUUAAUCAUAUUACUUAAGAACUCCCACUUAGAUAGACAUCCCUCUAAUCAUCUAAGUGAUCACGUGAUCCAUAUCAACCAAACCAUGUCCGAUCAUCAUGUGAGAUAGAGUAGUUUUCAAUGGUGAACAUCACUAUGUUGAUCAUAUCUACUAUAUGAUUCACGCUCGACCUUUCGGUCUCAGUGUUCCGGGGCCAUAUCUGCAUAUGCUAGGCUCGUCAAGUUUAACUUGAGUAUUCUGCGUGUGCAAAACUAGCUUGCACCCGUUGUAUGUGAACGUAGAGCUUAUCACACCCGAUCAUCAUGUGGUGUCUCAGCACGAAGAACUGUCGCAACGGUGCAUACUCAGGGAGAACACUUAUAGCUUGAAAUUUUAGUAAGGGAUCAUCUUAUAAAGCUACCGCCGAACUAAUCAAAAUAAGAUGUAUAAAAGAUAAACAUCACAUGCAAUCGAAAUAUGUGACAUGAUAUGGCCAUCAUCAUCUUGUGCCUUUGAUCUCCAUCUGCAAAGUACUGUUAUGAUCUCCAUUGUCACCGGCAUGACACCAUGAUCUCCAUCAUCUUGAUCUUUAUCAAUGUGUCGUCACAUGGUCGUCUCGCCAACUAUUGUUUUUGCAAUAUUGCCAUCACAUAGCGAUAAAGUAAAGCAAUCAUAUGGUGCUUGCAUCUUAUGCAAUAAAAAGACAACCAUAAGGCUCCUGCCAGUUGCCGAUAACUUGAACAAAACAUGAUCAUCUCAUACAACAAUUUAUUUCUCAUCAUGUCUUGACCAUAUCACAUCACAACAUGCCCUGCAAAAACAAGUUAGACGUCCUCUACUUUUUUGUUGCAAGUUUUACGUGGCUGCUACAGGCUGAGCAAGAAUCGGUCUUACCUACGCAUCAAAACCACAAUGAUUUUCGUCAAGUAUGUGCUGUUUUAACCUUCAACAAGGACCGGGCGUAGCCACACUUGAUUCAACUAAAGUUGGAGAAACUGACACCCGCCAGCCACCUGUGUGCGAAGCACGUCGGUAGAACUAGUCUCGCGUAAGCGUACACGUAAUGUCGGUCUGGGCCGCUUCAUCCAACAAUACCGCCGAAUCAAAGUAUGACAUGCUGGUAAGCAGUAUGACUAUUAUCGCCCACAACUCACUUCUGUUCUACUCGUGCAUAUAAUGUCUAUGCAUAGACCUGGCUCGGAUGCCACUGUUGGGGAACGUAAUAAUUUCAAAAAAAAUCCUACGCACACGCAAGAUCAUGGUGAUGCAUAGCAACGAGAGGGGAGGGUGUUAUCCACGUACCCUCAUAGACCGUAAGCGGAAGCGUUAUGACAACGCGGUUGAUGUAGUCGUACGUCUUCACGAUCCUAGCACCGAAGGUACGGCAGCUCCGCGAUCUGCACACAUUCGGCUCAGUGACAUCCCAUGAACUCACGAUCCAGUAGAGUGUCGAGGGAGAGUUUCGUCAGCACGAUGCUACCUCUUGAGCACUGCGUUGGUUUUCCCUUGAAGAGGAAAGGGUGAUGCAGCAAAGUAGCGUAAGUAUUUCCCUCAGUUUUUGAGAACCAAGGUAUCAAUCCAGUAGGAGGCCACGCACGAGUCCCUCGCACCUACACAAACAAAUAAAUCCUCGCAACCAACGCGAUAAGGGGUUGUCAAUCCCUACACGGUCACUUACGAGUGUGAGAUCUGAUGGAUAUGAUAAGAUAAUAUUUUUGGUAUUUUUGUGAUAAAGAUGCAAAGUAAAGAAAGUAAAAUAAAAACGGCUAUGGAAAUAGCUUGUUGUUGGGAGUUUAAUAUGAUGGAAAAUAGACCCGGGGGCCAUAGGUUUCACUAGUGGCUUCUCUCAAGAGCAUAAGUAUUUUACGGUGGGUGAACAAAUUACUGUUGAGCAAUUGACAGAAUUGAGCAUAAUUAUGAGAAAAUCUAGGUAUGAUCAUGUAUACAGGCAUCACGUCUGAGACAAGUACACCGACUCCUGCCUGCAUCUACUACUAUUACUCCACACAUCGACCGCUAUCCAGCAUGCAUCUAGAGUAUUAAGUUCAUAAGAACAGAGUAAUGCUUUAAGCAAGAUGACAUGAUGUAGAGGGAUAAACUCAUGCAAUAUGAUGUAAACCCCAUCUUGUUAUCCUCGAUGGCAACAAUACAAUACGUGCCUUGCUGCCCCUACUGUCACUGGGAAAGGACACCGCAAGAUUGAACCCAAAGCUAAGCACUUCUCCCAUUGCAAGAAAGAUCAAUCUAGUAGGCCAAACCAAACUGAUAAUUCGAAGAGACUUGCAAAGAUAACCAAUCAUACAUAAAAGAAUUCAGAAGAUUCAAAUAUUGUUCAUAGAUAAACUUGAUCAUAAACCCACAAUUCAUCGAUCUCAACAAACACACCGCAAAAGAAGAUUACAUCGAAUAGAUCUCCACAAGAGAGGGGGAGAACAUUGUAUUGAGAUCCAAAAAGAGAGAAGAAGCCAUCUAGCUAAUAAAUAUGGACCCGAAGGUCUGAGGUAAACUACUCACACUUCAUCGGAGAGGCUAUGGUGUUGAUGUAGAAGCCCUCCGUGAUCGAUGCCCCUCCGGCGGAGCUCCGGAACAGGCCCCAAGAUGGGAUCUCACGGGUACAGAAGGUUGCGGUGGUGGAAUUAGGUUUUUAGCUCCAUAUCUGGUAGUUUGGGGGUACGUAGGUAUAUAUAGGAGGAAGAAGUACAUCGGUGGAGCAACGUGGGGCCCACGAGGGUGGAGGGCGCGCCCAGGGGGGUAGGCGCGCCCCUACCUCGUGGCUUCCUGGUAGCUUUCUUGACGUAGGGUCCAAGUCCUCUGGAUCAUGUUCGUUCCGAAAAUCACGUUCCCGAAGGUUUCAUUCCGUUUGGACUCCGUUUGAUAUUCUUUUUCUGCGAAACUCUGAAAUAGGCAAAAAAGAGCAAUUCUGGGCUGGGCAUCCGGUUAAUAGGUUAGUCCCAAAAAUAAUAUAAAAGUGUAUAUAAAGCCCAAUAAUGUCCAAAACAGAAUAUAAUAUAGCAUGGAACAAUCAAAAAUUAUAGAUACGUUGGAGACGUAUCAAGCAUCCCCAAGCUUAAUUCCUGCUCGUCCUCGAGUAGGUCAAUGAUAAAAACAGAAUUUUUGAUGUGGAAUGCUACUUGGCAUAAUUUCAAUGUAAUUCUUCUUAAUUGUGGUGUGAAUAUUCAGAUCCGAAAGAUUCAAGAUAAAAGUUCAAUAUUGACAUAAAAAUAAUAAUACUUCAAGCAUACUAACUAAGCAAUUAUGUCCUCCCAAAAUAACAUGGCCAAAGAAAGUUCAUCCCUACAAAAUCAUAUAGUUUAGUCAUGCUCCAUUUUCGUCACACAAGAAUGCUCUCAUCAUGCACAACCCCGAUGACAAGCCAAGCAAUUGUUUCAUACUUUAGUAAUCUCAAACUUUUUCAACUUUCACGCAAUACAUGAGCGUCAGCCAUGGAUAUAGGACUAUGGGUGGAAUAGAAUAUAAUGAUGGGGGUUAUGUGGAGAAGAAAAAAAAGGAGAAAGUCUCACAUCAACGAGGCUAAUCAAUGAGGUAUGGAGAUGCCCAUCGAUUGAUGUUAAUGCAAGGAGUAGGGAUUGCCAUGCAACGGAUGCAUUAGAGUUAUAAAUAUAUGAAAGCUCAACAAAAGAAACUAAGUGGGUGUGCAUCCAACUUGCUUGCUCACGAAGACCUAGGGCACUUGAGGAGGCCCAUUGUUGGAAUAUACAAGCCAAGUUCUAUAAUUAAAAAUUCCCACUAGUAUAUGAAAGUGACAAAACAAGAGACUUUCUAUCAUGAAGAUUAUGGUGCUACUUUGGAGCACAAGUGUGGUAAAAGGAUAGUAACAUUGUCCCUUCUCUCUUUUUCUCUCAUUUUUUGGGGCCUUCUUCCUUUUUUAUGGCCUUUCUAUUUUUUUAUUCCUCACUUGGGACAAUGCUAUAGAAAAUGAUGAUCAUCACACUUCUAUUUAUUUACAACUCAAUGAUUACAACUCGAUACUAGAACAAAGUAUGACUCUAUAUGAAUGCCUCCGGCGGUGUACCGGGAUAUGCAAUGAACCAAGAGUGACAUGUAUGAAAAUUAUGAAUAUUGGCUUUGCCACAAAUACUAUGUCAACUACAUGAUCAUGCAAAGCAAUAUGACAAUGAUGAACGUGUCAUGAUAAACGGAACGGUGGAAAGUUGCAUGGCAAUAUAUCUCGGGGUGGCUGUUUUGAGGAAGAUAUAAGGAGGUUUAUGUGUGAAAGAGCGUAUCAUGUCACGGGUUUUGGAUGCACCGGCAAAGUUUGCACCAACUCUCAAUGUGAGAAAGGGCAAUGCACGGUACCGAAGAGGCUAGCAAUGAUGGAAAGGUGAGAGUGCGUAUAAUCCAUGGACUCAACAUUAGUCAUAAAGAACUCACAUACUUAUUGCAAAAAUCUACAAGUCAUCAAAAACCAAGCACUACGCGCAUGCUCCUAGGGGGAUAGAUUGGUAGGAAAAGACCAUCGCUCGUCCCUGACCGCCACUCAUAAGGAGGACAAUCAAAGAACACCUCAUGUUUCAAAUUUGUUACAUAAUGUUUACCAUACGUGCAUGCUACGGGACUUGCAAACUUCAACACAAGUAUUUCUCAAAUUCACAACUACUCAACUAGCACAACUUUGAUAUCACUACCUCCAUGUCUCAAAACAAUCAUCAAGCAUCAAACUUCUCUUAGUAUUCAACACACUCAUAAGAAAGUUUUUACUAGUCUUGAAUACCUGGCAUAUUAGGAUUAUUUAAGCAAAUUACCAUGCUAUUUAAGACUCUCAAAAUAAUCUAAGUGAAGCAUGAGAGAUCAAUAGUUUCUAUAAAACAAAUCCACCACCGUGCUCUAAAAGAUAUAAGUGAAGUACUAGAGCAAAAACUAUAUAACUCAAAAGAUAUAAGUGAAGCACAUAGAGUAUUCUAAUAAUUUCCAAAUCAUGUGUCUCUCUCUCAAAAGGCGUGUACAGCAAAGAUGAUUGUGGUAAACUAAAAAGCAAAGACUCAAAUCAUACAGGACGCUCCAAGCAAAACACAUAUCAUGUGGUGAAUAAAAAUAUAGCUCCAAGUAAAGUUACCGAUGGAAGUAGACGAAAGAGGGGAUGCCUUCCGGGGCAUCCCCAAGCUUUGGCUUUUAGGUGUCCUUAGAUUAUCUUGGGGGUGCCAUGGGCAUACCCAAGCUUAGGCUCUUGCCACUCCUUGUUCCAUAAUCCAUCAAAUAUUUUACCCAAAACUUGAAAACUUCACAACACAAAACUUAGCAGAAAAUCUCGUGAGAUCCGUUAGCGAAAGAAAACAAAAGACCACUUCAAGGUACUGUAAUGAACUCAUUAUUUAUUUAUAUUGGUGUUAAACCUACUGUAUUCCAACUUCUCUAUGGUUUAUUAACUAUUUUACUAGCCAUAGAUUCAUCAAAAUAAGCAAACAAAACAGGAAAAACAGAAUCUGUCAAAAACAGAACAGUCUCUAGUAAUCUGUAACUAACGCAAACUUCUGGAACUCCAAAAAUUCAACAAAAAAAGGACGACCUAUACAAUUUGUUUAUUGAUCAUAAGAAAUUGGAAUCAAUAUUUUAUCACGUUCUGGUAAUUUUUAAAAAUUAUUUUCAUGAACAGAAAGUUUCUGGAAUUUACAGCAAGAUCAAAUAACUAUCAUCCAAGAAGAUCCUAUAGGUUUAGCUUGGAACAAACACUAAUUAAAAUAUAAAAACACAUCUAACCAGAGGCUAGAACAAAUAUUUAUUCCUAAACAUAAGCAAAAAGCAAAAAACUAAAAAUAAAAUUGGGUUGCCUCCCAACAAGCGCUAUCGUUUAACGCCCUUAGCUAGGCAUAAUAGCAAGGAUAGAUCUAGGUAUUGCCAUCUUUGGUAGGCAAAUCUUUAAUAAGACAUCUACCACCCUUAGGAGUUUCUUUCUUUUUAUUUAUUAUCAAACUUCUAGGCAUAAAAUCGAAAAAUUCAUUUGUAGCAAAUGGUUCCUUAAUGAUAGCAAAAAGAUUGGGAUGAAUAAUUAUAGAUUUGAGAUCCGCAGUUUCCUUACUAGAGGAUUCACCCUUGUUUUUAGGAAAAUACAUAAGCUUGGCAAUUUUAGUUGGAGGACUCGGAGUAUUCUUUACGGAAGAAAAAGCGGUUCCCAAGUUGGUAAUGAUACCCUCAAGUUUAUCGAUUCUAUUGGAAUCUUGAUUUAUUCUUUCAUUAACUAUGGGUUCCUUCUCCUUAAUAUUUUUCAAAGUGACUCCUACUUUAGAUCCAUAUUGGGUAAUUUGGUUGGGGAUCUUUCUAUCCAGAUUUUCAAUUAACUCUACGGUAGCAACUUUAUUUUCAAUAAUUUCAAGUCUUUGCAUUACAUGCUCCAAAGUCAACAUAGUUCCAUUAACCAAAAGAGGUGGUGAGCCAAACAAAUCUAUCAUAGCAUUAUAAGAAUCAAAAGUAUGGCUUCCCAAGAAAUUCCCUCCGGUAAUGGUAUCAAGGAUAUAUCUGUACCAAGGAGUAGCGCCUACAUAAAAAUUGCGAAGAAGAACGGAACUAGAUUGCUUCCUGGUAGAUUUAUUUUGAGCAUUGCAAAUUCUAUACCAAGCAUCUUUUAGAUUUUCUCCCUCCCUUUGCUUAAAAUUUAGAACUUCAUUCUCGGGAGACAACGGAGAAGAGAGAGGACUAGUCAUAACGACAAGCAAACGGAAAAGAGGCAAAAGGAAAAGAGAGGGCGAAUAAAACAGCAAGGGUGAAGUGGGGGAGAGAAAAACGAGAGGCAAAUGGCAAAUAUGUAAUGCGGGAGAUAAGGGUUUGUGAUGGGUACUUGGUAUGUUGACUUUUGCGUAGACUCCCCAGCAAACGGCGCCAGAAAUGGCUCGUUGUCGGGAGUCCAAAUCUUGACUUGACCUUGCGUAAGCCUCCGCGGCAACGGCGCCAGAAAUCCUUCUUGCUACCUCUUGAGCAUUGCAUUGGUUUUCCCUCGAAGAGGAAAGGGUGAUGCAGCAAAGUAGCGUAAGUAUUUCCCUCAGUUUUUGAGAACCAAGGUAUCAAUCCAGUAGGAGGCCACACACGAGUCCCUCACACCUACACAAACAAAUAAAUCCUCGCAACCAACACGAUAAGGGGUUGUCAAUCCCUACACGGUCACUUACGAGAGUGAGAUCUGAUAGAUAUGAUAAGAUAAUAUUUUUGGUAUUUUUGUGAUAAAGAUGCAAAGUAAAGAAAGUAAAAUAAAAAUGGCAAUGGAAAUAGCUUGUUGUUGGGAGUGUAAUAUGAUGGAAAAUAGACACCGGGGCCAUAGGUUUCACUAGUGGCUUCUCUCAAGAGCAUAAGUAUUUUACGGUGGGCGAACAAAUUACUGUUGAGCAAUUGACAGAAUUUAGCAUAGUUAUGAGAAUAUCUAGGUAUGAUCAUGUAUAUAGGCAUCACGUCCGAGACAAGUAGACCGACUCCUGCCUGCAUCUACUACUAUUACUCCACACAUCGACCGCUAUCCAGCAUCCAUCUAGAGUAUUAAGUUCAUAAGAACAGAGUAAUGCUUUAAGCAAGAUGACAUGAUGUAGAGGCAUAAACUCAUGCAAUAUGAUGUAAACCCCAUCUUGUUAUCCUCGAUGGCAACAAUACUAUACGUGCCUUGCUGCCCCUACUGUCACUGGGAAAGGACACCGCAAGAUUGAACCCAAAGCUAAGCACUUCUCCCAUUGCAAGAAAGAUCAAUCUAGUAGGCCAAACCAAACUGAUAAUUCGAAGAGACUUGCAAAGAUAACCAAUCAUACAUAAAAGAAUUCAGAAGAUUCAAAUAUUGUUCAUAGAUAAACUUGAUCAUAAACCCACAAUUCAUCGGUCUCAACAAACACACCGCAAAAGAAGAUUACAUCGAAUAGAUCUCCACAAGAGAGGGGGAGAACAUUGUAUCGAGAUCCAAAAAGAGAGAAGAAGCCAUCUAGCUAAUAACUAUGGACCCGAAGGUCUGAGGUAAACUACUCACACUUCAUCGGAGAGGCUAUGGUGUUGAUGUAGAAGCCCUCCGUGAUCGAUGCCCCCUCCGGCGGAGCUCCGGAACAGGCCCCAAGAUGGGAUCUCAUGGGUACAGAAGGUUGCGGCGGUGGAAUUAGGUUUUUGGCUCCGUAUUUGGUAGUUUGGGGGUACGUAGGUAUAUAUAGGAGGAAGAAGUACGUCGGUGGAGCAACGUGGGGCCCACGAGGGUGGAGGGUGCGCCCAGGGGGGUAGGCGCCCCCUACCUCGUGGCUUCCUAGUAGCUUUCUUGACGUAGGGUCCAAGUCCUCUGGAUCAUGUUCGUUCCAAAAAUCACGUUCCCGAAGGUUUCAUUACGUUUGGAGUCCGUUUGAUAUUCUUUUCCUGCGAAACUCUGAAAUAGGCAAAAAAUAACAAUUCUUGGCUGGGCCUCCGGUUAAUAGGUUAGUCCCAAAAAUAAUAUAAAAGUGUAUAGUAAAGCCCAAUAAUGUCCAAAACAGAAUAUAAUAUAGCAUGGAACAAUCAAAAAUUAUAGAUAGGUUGGAGACGUAUCACACAACGGCGUGAUGACGGUAAUGAUGAAGCUACUAGCGCAGGGCUUCGCCUAAGCACUACGACGAUAUGACCGAGGUGGAUUAUGGAGGAGGGGGGCACGACACACGGCUAAGAGAUUGUGUCUAUGGGGUGCCCCCCUCCCCCGUAUAUAAAGGAGUGGAGGGGGGAGGGCCGGCCCUCCUAUGGCGCGCCCCAUGGGGAGUCCUACUCCCACCGGGAGUAGGAUUCCCCCCUUCCCUAGUUGGACUAGGAGUGGAAGGGGAAGAGAGGGGGAAGGAAAGGGGGCGCCGCCCCCCCUUCCUAGUCCAAUUUUCGGACCAGAGGAGGAGGGGGCGUGCGGUCUGCCCUGGCUGCCCCUCUCUCUCACCACUAAGGCCCAUUGGGGCCCAUAUACUCCCCGGGGGGUUCCGGUAACCCCCCGGUACUCCGGUAUAUGCCCGAACUCUCUCGAAACCUUUCCGAUGUCCAAACAUAGUCAUCCGAUAUAUCGAUCUUUAUGUCUCGACCAUUUUGAGACUCCUCGUCAUGUCCGUGAUCAUAUCCGGGACUCCGAACUACCUUCGGUACAUCAAAACACAUAAACUCAUAAUACCGAUCGUCACCGAACGUUAAGCGUGCGGACCCUACGGGUUCGAGAACUAUGCAGACAUGACCGAGACACGUCUACGGUAAUAACCAAUAGCGGAACCUGGAUGCUCAUAUUGGCUCCCACAUAUUCUACGAAGAUCUUUAUCGGUCAAACCGCAUAACAACAUACGUUAUUCCCUUUGUCAUCGGUAUGUUACUUGCCCGAGAUUCGAUCGUCGGUAUCAUCAUACCUAGUUCAAUCUCGUUACCGGCAAGUCUCUUUACUCGUUCCAUAACACAUCACCCGCAACUAACUCAUUAGACACAUUGCUUGCAAGGCUUAUAGUGAUGUGCAUUACCGAGAGGGCCCAGAGACACCUCUCCGAUACACGGAGUGACACAUCCUAAUCUCGAUCUAUGCCAACCCAACAAACACCUUCGGAUACACCUGUAGAGCAUCUUUAUAAUCACCCAGUUACGUUGUGACGUUUGAUAGCACACAAGGUGUUCCUCCGGUAUUCAAGAGUUGCAUGAUCUCAUAGUCAGAGGAACAUGUAUAAGUCAUGAAGAAAGAAAUAGCAAUAAAACUCAACGAUCAUAAUGCUAAGCUAACGGAUGGGUCUUGUCCAUCACAUCAUUCUCUAAUGAUGUGAUCCCGUUCAUCAAAUGACAACACAUGUCUAUGGUCAGGAAACAUAACCAUCUUUGAUUAACGAGCUAGUCAAGUAGAGGCAUACUAGGGAUGCUCUGUUUUGUCUAUGUAUUCACACAUGUACUAAGUUUCCGGUUAAUACAAUUAUAGCAUGAAUAAUAAACAUUUAUCAUGAUAUAAGUAAAUAUAAAUAACAACUUUAUUAUUCCCUGUAGGUCAUAUUUCCUUCAACGGUGGUCUGGCCCCUUGGUGUUUCUUGGCUUUUUUCUGUUAAGUCUUUAUACUCCAAGUUUAUUGAUGACACCCCCUCUAAUAGGUUUAGACCUAUCUGGCAUGCCCGCAUUCCCCCCAAGGUGAAGAUCCUUCUAUGGCAAGCCUUCAGAGGUCGCCUGCCUGUGGCUGAUCAAAUUCGCAAGCGCAAUGGCCCGGGCUCUGACAGAUGUGCGCUGUGGGGAGACAUGGAGGACACGAACCACAUUUUUUCCAUUGUGUCUUGGCCAAGUUGAUCUGGUGUGGCUUUAGAUCUUAGCUUCAGGUAUCUUGGCAUCCUUCAUCUUUUGCUGAUCUUAGGGCUCUCUCUAGUGUCCUGGUUGGGGUCACCAAACAGUUGUUUUGGGUCGGCCUAGCGGCGGUGUGCUGGUCCUUGUGGACGACUAGGAACAAGUUUACUAUCGAACAUGUUUUUCCUGCUAAACCUGUUGUGCUUAUUUAAAUCGUGCAUGUUCCUGGAGUAGUGGAGAUCAUUGACUAAGACGGAAGACCGCGAUGCUUUCGACCUCUUAUCUUCCAAAUUCGGGCUUCGGCGUCUUCUAUCUCGCGGCAGGAGCCAGGUGGCUAGGUGUCUUGGGCGACCUUUUAGACCUCUGGAAUGUCUUCGUUUGAGUCUCUGUUCGUUCUAGUAGUUCCGGCCUGUGUGUCGUGGUUGUGGCCUGUGCGCCCUGUAAUCCGUACUUUAUUUGGCCCUGGUUCUGGCCGGCUGUCUGUCUAACUGUCUGCAGUUUGGUUGCUAUGUACGCUGCCUGGUGGCUUUAUUUAUAAAGUCGGGCUGAUGCCUUUCCUCUAUAAUGUAAUGGGGAAUCACUGCCAUUCAACUUCAUUGUCAACGGUCAUGAGUAAAACAUGGGGUACUACCUUGUCGAUGGUAUCUAUCUUCAGUGGGCGGCGUUUGUGAAGACCAUAUCUGAUCUCCACGGCAAAAAAAGUCACUUUGCAACGAUGCAAUAAAUAGCUAGGAAGGGUGUGGAGAGGGCAUUCAGAGUGCUCCAAACUCGCUGGGGAAUUGUUUGUGGAGUUGCAGUGAUGUAGGAAUCAUAGACUUUGUGGCAGUUGAUGACAUGUUGCGUCAUUUUGCACAAUAUAAUUGUCGAGGAUGAAGGUGAAGGGGCAGUACCAACCCAUGAUUUUGACAAGCCUGGAGAACUGAUACGUCUCCAACGUAUCUAUAAUUUUUUAUUGUUCCAUGCUAUAUUAUAUUCUGUUUUGGACAUUAUUGGGCUUUAUUAUACACUUUUAUAUUAUUUUUGGGACUAACCUAUUAACCGGAGGCCCAGCCCAGAAUUGCUGCUUUUUGCCUAUUUCAGAGUUUCGCAGAAAAAGAAUAUCAAACGAGUCCAAACGGAAUGAAACCUUCGGGAACGUGAUUUUCGGAAUGAACGUGAUCCAGAGGACUUGGACCCUAUGUCAAGACAUCAACCAGGAAGGCACGAGGUAGGGGGCGCGCCCUCCACCCUCGUGGGGCCCAUGUUGCUCCACCGACGUACUUCUUCCUCCUAUGUUGACCUACGUACCCCCAAACUACCAGAUACGGAGCCAAAAACCUAAUUCCACCGCCGCAACCUUAUGUACCUGUGAGAUCCCAUCAUGGGGCCUUUUCCGGAGCUCCGCCGGAGGGGGCAUCGAUCACGGAGGGCUUCUACAUCAACACCAUAGCCUCUCCGAUGAUGUGUGAGUAGUUUACCUCAGACCUUCGGGUCCAUAGUUAUUAGCUAGAUGGCUUCUUCUCUCUCUUUGGAUCUCAAUACAAUGUUCUUCCCCUCUCUUGUGGAGAUCUAUUCGAUGUAAUCUUCUUUUGCGGUGUGUUUGUUGAGAUCGAUGAAUUGUGGGUUUAUGAUCAAGUUUAUCUAUGAACAAUAUUUGAAUCUUCUCUGAAUUCUUUUAUGUAUGAUUGGUUAUCUUUGCAAGUCUCUUCGAAUCAUCAGUUUGGUUUGGCCUACUAGAUUGAUCUUUCUUGCAAUGGGAGAAGUGCUUAGCUUUGGGUUCAAUCUUGCGGUGUCCUUUCCCAGUGACAGUAGGGGCAGCAAGGCACGUAUUGUAUUGUUGCCAUCGAGGAUAACAAGAUGGGGUUUAUAUGAUAUUGCAUGAGUUUAUCCCUCUACAUCAUGUCAUAUUACUUAAAGUGUUACUCUGUUCUUUUGAACUUAAUACUCUAGAUGCAUGCUGGAUAGCGGUCGAUGUGUGGAGUAAUAGUAGUAGAUGCAGGCAGGAGUCGGUCUACUUGUCGGGGAUGUGAUGCCUAUAUACAUGAUCAUACCUAGAUAUUCUCAUAACUAUGCUCAGUUCUGUCAAUUGCUCAACAGUAAUUUGUUUACCCACCGUAAUACUUAUGCUCUCGAGAGAAGCCACUAGUGAAACCUAUGGCCCCCGGGUCUAUUUUCCAUCAUAUUAAUCUUCCAACACUUAGCUAUUUUUAUUGCCUUUUAUUUUACUUUGCAUCUUUAUAAUAAAAAUACCAAAAAUAUUAUCGUACCAUAUCUAUCAGAUCUCACUUUCGUAAGUGACCGUGAAGGGAUUGACAACCCCAUUUAUUGCGUUGGUUGCGAGGAUUUUAUUUUUUUGUGUAGGUGCGAGGGACUCGUGCGUGGCCUCCUACUAGAUUGAUACCUUGGUUCUCAAAAACAGAGGGAAAUACUUACACCGCUUUACUGCAUCACCCUUUCCUCUUCAAGGGAAAACCAACGCAGUGCUCAAGAGGUAGCAAGAAGGAUUUCUGGCGCCAUUGCCGGGGAGUCUACGCAAAAGUCAACAUACCAAGUACCUAUCACAAACCCUUAUCUCCCGCAUUACAUUAUUUGCCAUUUGCCUCUCGUUUUCCUCUCCCCCACUUCACCCUUGCCGUUUUAUUCGCCCUCUCUUUUCCGUUCGCCUCUUUUUCACGUGCUUCUUGUUUGCUCGUGUGUUGGAUUGCUUGCUUGUCACGAUGGCUCAAGAUAGUACCAAAUUGUGUGACUUUACCAAUACCAACAACAAUGAUUUCCUUAGAACUCUGAUUGCUCCUCUUACCGAUACUGAAUCUUGUGAAAUUAAUGUUGCUUUCUUGAAUCUUGUCAUGAAAGAUCAAUUCGUCGGCCUUCCUUGUGAAGAUGCCGCUACUCAUCUAAAUAGCUUCGUUGAUUUGUGUGAUAUGCAAAAGAAGAAAGAUGUGGACAAUGAUAUUGUUAAAUUGAAGCUCUUUCCUUUUUCGCUUAGGGAUCGUGCUAAAGCUUGGUUUUCGUCUUUGCCUAAAAAUAGUAUUGAUUCUUGGAAUAAGUGCAAAGAUGCUUUUAUCUCUAAGUAUUUUCCUCCCGCUAAGAUCAUCUCUCUUAGAAAUGAUAUCAUGAAUUUUAAGCAACUUGAUCAUGAACAUGUUGCACAAGCUUGGGAGAGGAUGAAAUUAAUGAUACGUAAUCGCCCUACACAUGGUUUGAAUUUGUGGAUGAUUAUACAAAAUUUUUAUGCCGGAUUGAAUUUUGCUUCUAGAAAUCUUUUAGAUUCGGCCGCGGGAGACACUUUUAUGGAAAUCACUUUAGGAGAAGCUACUAAAAUCCUAGGUAAUAUUAUUGUUAAUUAUUCUCAAUGGCACACUGAAAGAUCUACUAGAAGAAAGUGCAUGCGAUAGAAGAAAUUAAUGUUUUGAGUGGAAAGAUGAAUGAACUUAUGAAAUUAUUUGCUAAUAAAAGUGUUUCUUCUGAUCCUAACGAUAUGCCUUUGUCUACUUUGAUUGAGAAUAAUAAUGAAUCUAUGGAUGUGAAUUUUGUUGGUAGGAAUAAUUUUGGUAACAACGCGUAUAGAGGAAACUUUAAUCCUAGGCCGUAUCCUAGUAAUUCCUCUAAUAAUUAUGGUAAUUCCUACAACAAUUCUUAUGGAAAUUUUAAUAAGAUGCCCUCUGAAUUUGAGACUAGUGUUAAGGAGUUUAUGAAUUCGCAAAAGAAUUUCAAUGCUUUGCUUGAAGAAAAAUUGCUUAAAGUUGAUGAAUUAGCUAGGAACGUUGAUAGAAUUUCUCUUGAUGUUGAUUCUUUGAAACUUAGAUCUAUUACACCUAAGCAUGAUAUCAAUGAGUCUCUCAAGGCCAUGAGAAUUUCCAUUGAUGAGUGCAAAGAAAGAACCGCUAGGAUGCGUGCUAAGAAAUAUUGUUUUGUGAAAGCGUGUUCUUCUAGUUUCUAUGAAAACAAAGAUGAAGAUCUAAAAGUUAUUGAUGUGUCCCCUAUUAAAUCUUUGUUUUGCAAUAUGAAUCUUGAUAAUGAUGGGACUGAAUAUGAUCCACCUUUACCUAGAAGGCGUUCCAAAAAUUCGGAGUUUUUAGAUCUUGAUGUAAAAAUUGGUAAAGUUGGAUUGGAGAGAUCAAAACUCUAGAUAUUAAUGAACCCACUAUUUUGGAUUUCAAGGAUUUUAAUUAUGAUAAUUGCUCUUUGAUAGAUUGUAUUUCCUUGUUGCAAUCCGUGCUAAAUUCUCCACAUGCUUAUAGUCAAAAUAAAGCCUUUACCAAACAUAUCGUAGAUGCUUUGAUGCAAUCUUAUGAAGAAAACUUGAGUUGGAAGUUUCUAUCCCUAGAAAACUUUAUGAUGAGUGGGAACCUACUAUUAAAAUUAAAAUCAAAAAUCAUGAAUGCUAUGCUUUGUGUGAUCUGGGUGCUAGUGUUUCCACGAUUCCAAAGACUUUGUGUGAUUUGCUAGGUUUCCGUGAUUUUGAUGAUUGCUCUUUAAACUUGCACCUUGCGGAUUCCACCAUUAAGAAACCUAUGGGAAUAAUUAAUGAUGUUUUUAUUGUUGCAAAUAGGAAUUAUGUGUCCGUAGAUUUUAUUGUUCUUGAUAUAGAUUGCAAUCCUUCAUGUCCUAUUAUUCUUGGUAGACCUUUCCUUAGAACGAUUGGUGCAAUUAUUGAUAUGAAGGAAGGGAAUAUUAGAUUUCAAUUUCCGUUAAGAAAAGGCAUGGAACACUUCCCUAGAAAGAAAAUAAAAUUACCUUAUGAAUCUAUUAUGAGAUACACUUAUGGAUUGCCUACCAAAGAUGGCAAUACCUAGAUCUAUCCUUGCUAUUAUGCCUAGCUAGGGGUGUUAAACGAUAGCGCUUGUUGGGAGGCAACCCAAUUUAUUUUUUAGUUUUUUGCUUUUCGCUUCUGUUUAGGAAUAAAUAUUUUAUCUAGCCUCUGGUUAGAUUUGUUUUUAUGUUUUAAUUAGUUUUAGUGCCAAGCUUAACCUAUAGGAUCUUCUUGGAUGAUAGUUAUUUGAUCUUGCUGAAAAUUCCAGAAACUUUCUGUUCACGAAAAUAAUUGUUAAAAAUCAACAGAACGUGAUAAAAUAUUGAUUCCAAUUGCUUCUGAUCAAUUAAUAAAUUUUCUAGGUCUUCCUAUUUUGGCUGAAUUUUUGGAGUUCCAGAAGUUUGCGUUAUUUACAGAUUACUACAGACUGUUCUGUUUUCGACAGAUUCGGUUUUUCCUAUGUUGUUUGCUUAUUUUGAUAAAUCUAUGGCUAAUAAAAUAGUUUAUAAACCAUAGAGAAGUUGGAAUACAGUAGGUUUAACACCAAUAUAAAUAAAUAAUGAGUUCAUUACAGUAACUUGAAGUGGUGUUUUGUUUUCUUUCGCUAACGGAGCUCACGACAUUUUCUGUUAAGUUUUGUGUUGUGAAGUUUUCAAGUUUUGGGUGAAAGAUUUGAUGGAUUAUGGAACAAGGAGUGGCAAGAGCCUAAGCUUGGGUAUGCCCAUGGCACCCCAAGAUAAUCUAAGUACACCUAAAAUCCAAAGCUUGGGGAUGCCCCGGAAGGCAUCCCCUCUUUCGUCUACUUCCAUCAGUAACUUUACUUGGAGCUAUAAUUUUAUUCACCACAUGAUAUGUGUUUUGCUUGGAGCGUAUUGUAUUAUUUGAGUCUUUGUUUUUUAGUUUACCACAAUCAUCCUUGAUGUACACACCUUUUGAGAGAGACACACAUGAUUCGGAAAUUAUUAGAAUACUCUACGUGCUUCACUUAUAUUUUUUGAGCUAUAUAUUUUUGCUCUAGUGCUUCACUUAUAUCUUUUAGAGCACGGCGGUGGAUUUGUUUUAUAGAAACUAUUGAUCUCUCAUGCUUCACUUAUAUUAUUUUGAGAGUCUUAAAAUAGCAUGGCAAUUUGCUUUAAUUAUAAUAUCAUGAUAAAUUUGAUGCUUGAUAAUUGUUUUGAGAUAUAAAGGUGGUAAUAUCAUGGUUGUGCUAGUUGAGUAAUUGUGGAAUUGAAAAAUACUUGUGUUGGAGUUUGUGAUUCCCGUAGCAUGCAUGUAUGGUGAACCGUUAUGCAACGAAGUCGGAGUAUGAGGUAUUUAUUGAUUGUCAUCCUUUGUGUGGCGAUCGGGAUCACGCGAUGGUCAACUCCUACCAACCCUUCCCCUAGGAGCAUGCGUAGUAGUACUUUGCUUUGAGGGCUAAUAAAUUUUUGCAAUAAGUAUAUGAGUUCUUUAUGACUAAUGUGAGUCCAUGGAUUAUACACACACUUACCUUUCCGCAAUUUUCUAGCCUCUUCGGUACCGUGCAUUGCCCUUUCUCACCUUGAGAGUUGGUGCAAACUUCGCCGAUGCAUCCAAACCCCGUGAUAUGAUACACUCUAUCACACAUAAACCUCCUUAUAUCUUCCUCAAAACAGCCACCAUACCUACCUAUUAUGGCAUUUCCAUAGCCAUUCCGAGAUAUAUUGCCAUGCAACUUUCCAUCGUUUCGUUUAUGAUGAAACGCUCCAUCAUUGUCAUAUUGCCUUGCAUGAUCAUGUAGUUGACAUUGUAUUUCUGGCAAAGCCAACAUUCAUAAUUCUUUCAUAGAUGUCGCUCUUAAUUCAUUAUCCCGGUAUACCGCCGGAGGCAUUUACAUAGAGUCAUAUUUUGUUCUAAGUAUUGAGUUGUAAGUAAAUAAAAGUGUGAUGAUCAUCAUUAUUAGAGCAUUGUCCCAAGUGAGAAAAGGAUGAUGGAGACUAUGAUUCCCCCACAAGUCGCGAUGAGACUCCGGACUAAAAAAAAGAGGCCAUAAAAAAGAAGAGAAAAGGCCCAAAUAAAAAAAUAUGAGAGAAAAAGAGAGAAGGGACAAUGUUACUAUCCUUUUACCACACUUGUGCUUCAAAGUAGCACCGUGAUCUUCAUGAUAGAGAGUCUCUCAUUUUGUCGCUUUCAUAUACUAGUGGGAAAUUUCAUUAUAGAACUUGGCUUGUAUAUUCCAAUGAUGGGCUUCCUCAAAAUGCCCGAGGUCUUCGUGAGCAAGCAAGUUGGAUGCACACCCACUUAGUUUCUUUUGUUUGAGCUUUCAUACACUUAUAGCUCUAGUGCAUCCGUUGGAUGGCAAUCCCUACUCCUUGCAUUGACAUCAAUUGAUGGGCAUCUCCAUAGCCCGUUGAUUAGCCUCGUUGAUGUGAGACUUUCUCCUUUUUAGUCUUCCCACAUAACCCCUACCAUUAUACCUUAUUCCACCAUAGUGCUAUAUCCAUGGCUUGCGCUCAUGUAUUGCGUAAGAGUUGAAAAGGCUGAAGCGCGUUAAAAAGUAUGAACCAAUUGCUUGGUUAAAACCGGGGUUGUACAUGAUAUGGAUAUUUUGUGUGGGGAAGAUGGAGCAUAGCUGGACUAUAUGAUGUUGUAGGGAUAACUUGCUUUGGCUAUGUUAUUUUGAUAAGACAUAAUUGCUUGGUUAGCAUGCUUGAAGUAUUAUUAUUUUUAUGUCAACAUUAAACUUUUAUCUUGAAUCAUAUUAAAUCUGAACAUUCGUGCCACAAUAAGAAGAAUUACAUUGAAAUUAUGCUAAGUAGCAUUCCACAUCAAAAAUCUAUUUUUAUCAUUUACCUACUCGAGGACGAGCAGGAAUUAAGAUUGGGGAUGCUUGAUACGUCUCCAACGUAUCUAUAAUUUUUGAUUGUUCCAUGCUAUAUUAUAUUCUGUUUUGAACAUUAUUGGGCUUUAUUAUACACUUUUAUAUUAUUUUUGGGACUAACCUAUUAACCGGAGGCCCAGCCAGAAUUGUUGUUUUUUGCCUAUUUCAGAGUUUCGCAGAAAAAGAAUAUCAAACGGAGUCCAAACGGAAUGAAACCUUCGGGAACGUGAUUUUCGGAACGAACGUGAUCCAGAGGACUUGGACCCUACGUCAAGACAUCAACUAGGAAGGCACGAGGUAGGGGGCGCGCCUACACCCUGGGCGCGCCCUCCACCCUCGUGGGGCCCACGUUGCUCCACCGACGUACUUCUUCCUCCUAUAUAUACCUACGUACCCCCAAACUACCAGAUACGGAGCCAAAAACCUAAUUCCACUGCCGCAACCUUCUGUACCCGUGAGAUCCCAUCUUGGGGCCUUUUCCGGAGCUCCGCCGGAGGGGGCAUCGAUCACGGAGGGCUUCUACAUCAACACCAUAGCCUCUCCGAUGAUGUGUGAGUAGUUUACCUCAGACCUUCGGGUCCAUAGUUAUUAGCUAGAUGGCUUCUUCUCUCUCUUUGGAUCUCAAUACAAUGUUCUCCUCCUCUCUUGUGGAGAUCUAUUCGAUGUAAUCUUCUUUUGCGGUGUGUUUGUUGAGAUCGAUGAAUUGUGGGUUUAUGAUCAAGUUUAUCUAUGAACAAUAUUUGAAUCUUCUCUGAAUUCUUUUAUGUAUGAUUGGUUAUCUUUGCAAGUCUCUUCGAAUUAUCAGUUUGGUUUGGCCUACUAGAUUGAUCUUUCUUGCAAUGGGAGAAGUGCUUAGCUUUGGGUUCAAUCUUGUGGUGUCCUUUCCCAGUGACAGUAGGGCAGCAAGGCACGUAUUGUAUUGUUGCUAUCGAGGAUAACAAGAUGGGGUUUAUAUCAUAUUGCAUGAGUUUAUCCCUCUACAUCAUGUCAUCUUACUUAAAGUGUUACUCUGUUCUUUUGAACUUAAUACUCUAGAUGCAUGCUGGAUAGCGGUCGAUGUGUGGAGUAAUAGUAGUAGAUGCAGGCAGGAGUCGGUCUACUUGUCGCGGACGUGAUGCCUAUAUACAUGAUCAUACCUAGAUAUUCUCAUAACUAUGCUCAAUUCUGUCAAUUGCUCAGCAGUAAUUUGUUUACCCACUGUAAUACUUAUGCUCUCGAGAGAAGCCACUAGUGAAACCUAUGGCCCCCGGGUCUAUUUUCCAUCAUAUUAAUCUUCCAACACUUAGCUAUUUUUAUUGCCUUUUAUUUUACUUUGCAUAUUUAUAAUAAAAAUACCAAAAAUAUUAUCUUAUCAUAUCUAUCAGAUCUCACUUUCGUAAGUGAUCGUGAAGGGAUUGACAACGCCUUUAUUGCGUUGGUUGCGAGGAUUUUAUUUGUUUGCGUAGUUGCGAGGGACUCGUGCGUGGCCUCCUACUGGAUUGAUACCUUGGUUCUCAAAAACUGAGGGAAAUACUUACGCUGCUUUACUGCAUCACCCUUUCCUCUUCAAGGGAAAACCAACGCAGUGCUCAAGAGGUAGCAAGAACAAGCAGUCCACAUCCCGGAGCAACAAGAUGCAAAUCAACUUAUCAAUUUUCUGCAGAUGCAUCAUAAUCUUUGAGGUCUUCGGGUGCACAGGUAGAUACUUAAUGAUCUUGUGGAGCAUACGUGGACCUGCAAUGGCAACCAAUAAACCGUGCGCUUAAAAUAAAUUUAAUGUUCGAACUAUGUAUUUUCGCUGCCAACAAUUGUUGUUUACGUACAAUAUUCACUAGUAUGAUGAACUUGCAUGGAUUUGCAUGAAUUAAAGGGUUUCAAUUUGAGGAGUGUGGCUGUCUGACAAGCAAUAUGAGGGGUCUUCUGACGUCCGCGGUCGGGCCCUGGCGUGUCCGUGGAUGUUUAGGGGGGGGGGGGGCGGAUUUGCCAAGUCCGGAUGUAGAUGCUCUCACAACCCAUUUUAUAACCAUUGUACCGGUGACUAUUCACCCCACCACCACUGGGUCGUCGACGGGGCCAAUGACGUCCCCUAUUUUCCAAUGCAAAAGGCGAGGGAGCAUGAUGUUCUUGCAACCCUAGUGUAGAGGGCAGAAGAACAAGGGUUUAUUAAAGGUGUUCUUCCAAGUUUGUAUGAUGAGGGUCUGAGUAUAUUGCAAUACGCGGACGGUACUAUAUUCUGUUUUAAAGAUAACCUUGAGGGGACUAGAAAUAUCAUAGUCAUUCUAUAUGUUUUCGAGCACAUGAUUGGGUUUGAAAUUAACUUUCUAAAAAGUGAAAAAAAUUGGUGAGGCAUGGGACAAAAAGAAUGUCUAUGAUCGUAUUUUUACAUGUGCAACUCGGGACUUCCCCUUCAGAUAUUUAUAUAUUUCCUUCCAUUUAAAAAACACUUUAAUGUUGGCUGGAAGCCAACUGAGGAGAAAAUUUGAAAAAGGGGGCAGCUUCCUGGCAAGGGGUUUGCUUGAUAUGGAUGGUAGGCUUACACUGACAUAAACUUCUUUGAGUAGCGUCCCCAAUCAUAUGCUUUUUUUCGUCUUCUUUCGUCCUCGAGUUCUUUGGCCAGAUAAGGACGCGUUCGUAAAUUCCAUUUAGUUAACUGGCUUGGUGUUUGUCAAGCCAUAUAUCAAGAAAAAUCUUUGAAUAAGAAAACCUUGUCUCAAUGUGAACCUCCUCCAGCAAAUUCUCAUUUCCAGAAUGGUUUAAUGAUUAUUAAAAAUAAUCUUUACCAACUUAAACACAACGGAUAGAAUAGUUGGUGAAGACCGAUGGUGCAGAUUCCCGUAGGUAGGUUUCAACCUCCCAACCCCGACAAUUUUCUCCUCAAACUAUGAUCAAAAGGAUGUUCCCUGUAUCGAUAUCCAUACAUACGAGAUCUACACUUCACAAGGGCUUCGCCAUGCAAAAUGGAACCAUGUUUGAGAACUAGGGGUGUGGUGGACCAGCUUUUCGGCCUGGAGCAAUUCGCAUGGACAGAGAGACAAAGUUAGCACUUUGCUCAGAUGCGUUUGAGGGGCUGUCCCCUCACAAAUUUACAGGGGAAAGGGAAGGAGGCCAACUUGGAGUGCUCCCUCCCUAGGUGGAACGCCACAAGGGGUGGGUUGCUUCACAAAUCCUAGGUCGCAUCUAGGAGGCUUGGCCUCCAAGCCAAAGGGGAGCACCCCACUCAUGGGCCAAUAGGACCAUGUUGCUUCCCCCUACUUGGGCCUACCCAAAAGGGGUAGCCCAUCGUGCCUUGCAUAUAUUUUUGGGAGGCGGAACCCUCCUUGACCUUCUGGUGAUUUUCCGGUCUCCUGGGACUUUCCCGGUUUUCUGAAACUUCUUUGGUGUUCUCCGAAACACUUCCGGUUCUCUAUUCAAAACAUUUUUUAUCUUCCCAAAACUUUUCCAGUGAGUUUCUCUCAAGCUCCUAACACUUCUGGUACUCAACAAACUGGUGAACCUUAUGCUUCUGAUCCCGUAGGUUCGGUAAACUGUAGACAUGACCCGAAAGUCCUUCCGGUCAAUAAUCAAUAGCGGGAUCUGGGCAUCCAUUUUGACUCCUACACUUAUACGAAUAAAUUAUUUUGUUUUCGCACAUCAUUCAUUUUGCUUCAUGAUACUUAACAAAACCUGAGGCGAGACUUUGGGUAUCCGUGUGAAGCAACAACUUGAUUACUAUACCAAGUUAUCCUCGUUACAGGUUUUGUUCCUUUUUCUGAUUUACGUAUUCCAGCAUCCCCAUGAUCAAUCAUGCUUUUUCUGGUAAGACGAUGAUGGAUACCAAAAUACCGAGAGGGCCCGAAGAAUAUCUCUUCAUCGUUGGAGGCGCAAAUCUCAAUCUUGAGCUAUCAAGUCCCUCGGCAUACUUUUUCCGAUGCACAUGAAAGUUGUUGUUAUAAUCACCAUAUUACGGAGAACGUUUGACGAACCACAAACUACACCGUCCGACAUGAAGGUACUCAAUACUAUUAUGGUCUAAGUAACCGAGCAUACGUUAACAAUUGCAUGUAUAUACUUAAAACACUAUGACGAUGUGAUCUUGAUGUUUAUCAUUUAGUUGGGUGUAUCCAGCAUAGUUCUGCCAACAAUGUGCUCCCAUUGUUAUCGACGUCCUUGUUACUUGAAAAUUGCCCUAUGAUAAGGAAAAUGGGCGCAUCAUGCAACACAUGAGCUAGUCCUAGGGGCGAGACUAGGGAACUACUUGGUGUUUAUGUUUUCACACGUGCAACUGGGUUUUUCUGUGAAUCUCAUAUUCAACAACAAAUGUAGUUAUAGCAUGGAACGUAAACAUUAAUUACGAACAUGGAAAAAAUAACAUUGUUAUUGCCUCUAGGGCAUAUUUCCUUCAAUAGGUGGCUAUGGUUUGGUCGCUCGCGGGGGGCUUCAUGGUGGCGUAGGGGAAUGGGGCUCCUUCGGCUAACAUUGGCCAUGGCACUAGUUCAUGCCUCCCGCCUGCUUACUCUCUUUGGGAAAGACGACAAGAGGGAGCCGGUGAGGUGGGCUGAGCCUGCUGAAGAGUUAGGUGAGGCCGAGUGGCGUUAUGCUUAGCGGUUCUCGCUUUUAGAAUAUGGUUGGGCCGACUAGGUUUCGGUUUAAAAGGCUUUUCCCUUUUUCUUUUUAUAGAAUUAGGGAAUAUGAUAGAUAUGGAAUUAUUUGGAGGGCCAAAUAAUUUUCAAAUGAGAUGAAAUUCUUAUGGUGGUCUUUCUGACAUUCAAAGCUACACUAAAAUUUCCAAAAAAUUGAUAAGGAUUUGAAUUUAAAUCAGGGAAAUGAUAUAACGGUGGUUUGAACUAGAGGUAUGAGAAAGAAGUGUGCUAAAUUUCCAAAAAUUUACGAUAGCUCUAAUAUGACAAAAGAACACCAUGUGCCAAGUUUGGGAGUGAGUCUUGAGGGUAGUAGCAAUAUUAAUUCAGGGUUGCAAUAAUAAAAAUGAUGUGGGAUUAACAUGAACAUGUUAAAUUAAUGAUAUUCAUUGGUGGCAUGAUGUCAUGAUGAUACAGAAGAACAAACGUGCAAAGUGGUUAGGAUAUUACUCUGUGGCGACUUCGUCACUCUCAAGAUGAUGUAACGGCUCCGUCUCUCGGAGGCGCUCAUAGGGAAGUGAUCUACACGCUCUUAUAUUUGUUUACGAAGGAAGUAUUUAAGAUCCAGCUCAGUCUUGUUUUCCGGCCAAAAUACGUAUCAAUUACUUGCCUCACUAAUCUUAAUGCAUUUGAUCUUUGCAUCAUCGGCGCAACUGGUCGUCUAGUGUACUUAACCUAAAACAAUACCCAUGUGAAACGGUACUAUCAGGAGCUAGAGUACAACACAGCAGAAUAUUUGAAGGUACAGGAAAAACUUUAUUAUUGCCUUUUUUAUAACCGUUUUAUUGUAUUAUUGCUCUUUUCCCUUUUUUCUUGGCGAGCAGAGAGAGCCUUCUUCUUCUUUUUCAGGCGAGGAGUGAAAGCAACAACGUGAAACGCAAAACAAUCGAGAAUGCAAAAGGAGCGAUUUGUGGGAGAAAAGGAAAAAGAAAAAGAAAAGGGAAGAAAAGGAAGGAAAGUUUUUUCGGACCUGCCUGUGCGUAACGUGCCCAAUACUCCAAGGUAACAGGCCGGGACUAGCGUCGAGCGCGGACUUUAUUCCGCCCUUUUCCGCUGUGGCAUGUGAUUUUCUCAUCACUAUUGCUUGGGGCGCAGAACAGUCGAGUAGAGAAGCAUCAAUCCAUGUUGCUGCGGCCUUGUUAUCUCGUGCCGCCACGCCUGACGGAAUAUUCCUCGCAGUCCACACAUCCCAAUCUACCUCUUCUAAUACCGGCAGAAUGCAAUGUAUAUACUCCUGUAUAAUCAUUUAUUAGCUAGAAAAAAGGAGUAUAUGCGUUGUAUAUUUGUACCUGAACUCUGCUUGAAUCUGGAAAGUACGGGUCGUGUACGCGAGCGAGACAGCAACAGACUUGCCCUUGACUCAAGCGUGGUGGCUGCGAGAAUCCGACAGGCCCUGAGGCUGACCGCCCAGUUCAUGAUCGCCUCGAGAGCCGCCAAGGUUACGUGCACACCUACCACUGUGCGCCCGUGCAUGGAUUCGCCGCGGCGAAAGCCCUCUGGUUCUGCAGAGGGAGGCGGGAAUUAUUUACGUUUUCGUCAAAUCAAAUCACGGUUGUUUGUUCACACGCCACCCCUUAAUUAGCUGCGGCGUGCUAAUCAAACUCAAAGUACUCCCUUAAUUUCCGAGUAACUGCUAAGUUAGGUGCCACUUUGGUCCUGGCCUCGGCGCAAGGACGUUUAUAUAGGACUAGAGCAAAAGGGUCACGCUAUCAAUCACUUUUUUUUCUGGCUGUUGAAAAGAAAAGAGGUCACGCCACGAUGUCAUCAAUCCCUGAGGCCUCAUCGUCUCAUGCAUGCCUGAGGCGGCAAAACAAAAGGUGAUGGGAUUAAAGAAAGAAAGGCGCAGCCGUAGGACAAGCUCGCUAGCUGGCUGGCUGGCCGUGUUGUACUGGUACUUGGCCUCUACGAUCUCAUCAAGUUAAGUCAAGCUAACCCCUGGGACAAGCUGUCCCGUCAGUUAGCUAGCCCGGUGCACGGGAGGGUGCUGUCCUGGCGCACGGGACGGGUCCUCCCCUUUUGCACCGAGGACGCCCGGCCGGCCGGCCGGCUGGCAAGUGGCAGGCGCCGCGCGCGGCCACAUGCCCACAUUGGCGCCUGCAGUGCACUGCAUUUACGUGCCUUUGGUCCGUCGCCCUGGCCUGCCCUGCGCAUGCUGCCCGCUGCCACCGCUCCUGCGCGGCAUGGCAUGGCGCCGCGGAUAAGCGAAGCCCCUGGAGCUAGCGAGCUGCUACAGUGCGCGCCACGCGCACGCGGAGACGGCACGGGCACGGGCACGGGCACGGGGCAGCGCCCUCCGCUGGCUCUCGGUCCCGGUGCCGGUUUUGGACGGGCUCGUACGUGCGCGGGCGGCGCUGCCCUCGAGGCUUUUGCCUCGCUCGGAGCCGGAGCCGGAGCGCGACGGCGGCGCGCGGGGAUCCGUAGCCCCACCGCGGGCCGGGCCGGGGUCGCGGGGGUUUGACGAGAACGGACAUCAAUAACUUUCUUUUUUUCUCUCUUCUUACAGUAACCCGGGAACCCGUUUUUUCACGCGGCAACCAUCGCUUUCCCUCCCGGUGGCACAGCGCGCCGCAGCUUUCAAGCCAUUGUAGACUUGUCGUACCACCGCCACUGCAGCGCCGCGCCAAGCAAAAUCAAUCAAUGGUUUUCGGUGCUCGUAGGCCUGUGGAGCUGCGUGCGUUGCAUGGCCUUGACGAGGACGAAUCCUACCGUUGCGUGGGCCGCUAGCGAUGAGGACCGGAGAGUAAAAUGGAAUUGCUUAAAUGUCGCUCUCCCCUUGUCAAGUCAGGAAAAGUAUGCAUAAAUAUCGCUGUCAAUUUGGUUCAUAUCUCGCGAGAUCGCCCUUUUACCGCUAAACAAACAAAAUAAAACAUAAAGGGUAAGGUAAGAUAAGAUGCUUGUUAAUUAUACAUAUUCUUGUCCCCCAAAUCAAGCAAGGCCGGGAGGAAAAGAAACUAACUUUAUACAGUCUCGCAUCCUAAUUUUGGUAAAGGAAAAGUAAAAACGCAGCAAGAGGAGGCAGAGGGAACCGGAAACAGAACUUGGAAAAGAAGAAAGGAAAAACACAGCAGAGCAGCACCGGACGGACGGAGGAAGACGACGACGUCCUAGAUAGAUAGUAAUAAGAAGAUUGACGGAACGAGGUGCAUUUCCAUGUCUCUGAUCGGUCCAAUCCCGAAGUAGUAAGAGCCAUGUGUGAAGCGACUGGAACGGUGGGAACCUUCUGCUGCAGCGACGAUGAUCAG